rnacentral:lncRNA from 1 species
ACCAGAAACAACAUGUGUGCAUGGAUAUACACUGGAGCAACAAUUUCACCAACAUAUAGCAUAUAACUCAUGUCUGACGAUCACAUAGAGAAAAUUAAGGUGGAAUACAUAGGAUAACUACUAGAAUCGAUCCAGUCUAAUUAUAUAGCCAGCGAGCAUUGCCCAAAUGGAGUAAUAUAAUUAACUAGUAGAGUCGAUCUGGAUAUUAACACUGCACUAGAUACGGCACUACUCCAUCAACCGUCACAGCAGAAUGAAUGCAUACUCUACGCUCUCAUCAGUACCUGGUGGAAUAUCACUGAUCCACGAACAUGAUCAGAAGAAAUAGGUUACGUACUUCAUGCCCCACCCAUCACCUCCCAGGAGGGCCCGGAAGCUGAGGAGGUCGCCCACCACGAUGAAGCAGAAGCCCGCGGUGAAGUAGAUCCUGCCGAAGAUGUAUCCUGGGUCGGCGGCGAGGAAGAUCCAGACGGCGCUGGCGUACAUGCAAUGGAAGAGGACGGUGACCGCAAGGGCGAGGUAGGCGAGGGCACGGCGGGCCCGGCGACGGCGGCAUGGGAGCAGCAGCGCCAGCGCCGCCGCGGCUGCCAGGGUUGGGGCGCAGCACAUCAUCCCGAUGCAGAGGGCGAUUACCCUCGCGGCCUCCGCGUCUGUCAGCUCGAUGCAGGGCAGAAUGAAGGAGGACUGCAGAGGACACCAUACCAGCUUGGCACAUGAUGGAUCGGUCUCAAUGUCAAGCAUCGGAAGGGUAGUGCACGGGUAGGUGGUUACCUGGCUGCACGAGACAUGGAUGUACUCGGCUAUGUAGCCGCUUGCUACGCCGCAGACCGUGGCGAAGGCGUUGAGGAGCGCCCAUCCGCAGACCAGUGGGACGUCAUCCCGGAUCUUCUUUUUGGCCUCGCUCAGACUCAGAGGCAGCAGAUGAGGCGUCUUGCCGUCCAUGGAGAUCCAACCUAGGUAGGAGUAGGAUGAGAUCACGAGAUCAGCAACAACGUAUGGUUAGUUUCUCUUCUCUAAUUUCAUGCCCCCAUUCGACAUAAAAGAAGAAGAAGAGGAGGAGGAGAAAGAAGAAGAGGAAAAGCACAUGACAUUAGCAAGAUGCCGGAGAUGGAGGGGACUCACCGUCACUCGCUCGUCGGAUGCAAGGGAGAUGUUCUUCCUAGCUUGUUAGCUUGGAUGGAAGGGGCUCGGGCUACAACUACAGAGCGCAACGACGACGCUAGCUAGUGGUGGAGGGGGGAGUUUAAGUGGCCGAGGGCACCGCAGCAGCGACGUGGGGCCGCCCCAAAACCCACUACGUGUCGAGCAGCCGCAGCAUGACCCACACACACACGCGCGCGCGCGCGCACACACACAGAGACAGAGGGAGGAGAGUCCGGUUCCUCUCAUGGCAAUGGCAGUGACAAAGGAAACUACCGCGAAGUUUGCGUCCGCGAAGCACCCAUACCCUCUUUGGCAAUGAGGGUGGCACACUCGGUGUCUUUGCAGGUUGACAAAAACGUGAAAACUUAUCACGCGCACAUGCAUACGGGGCAGUGAAAAGCUAGCUAGCCUGCUCUUUCUAAUUAGCUGCACGGUCAGUUUAAGUUUCAAACUAUAGCUAGUGUGAUUUCUAGUAGCUAGCAUACUGCAUACACAUGUAAUAAUUAAUAACCCCAGCUUCCUGCACGGUGCACCUGCAGCCACACCGUACCACUCCAACGACUGGCGGUGGCUCAUCCACAUUUGGAUGAGCUAGCUUACAAUGAUUUGACUGAAUUGUUUGGUUCAGUUAACCUUUUGUGGUGCUUGGAUGAGUUACAUUGUUGACGGUUAUCCAUUAUAUUUUUGAUUUAAGGAGCCCACUCAUCAACUUAUUUACCUGUGUCAAGAAUUGGAGGUGAAGCUCCACAACAAAGGUCUACACGCUUCAACUCCACCAUUGUCAAAAGAAGGAAAAACACCAUUGGUGAUAUGCAUCUAUCAAGGCAUAAAGCAUCCUAUACCCUGUUGGAAAUAUGAGCAAAUUACUAUGAGAUUUAAUCCGAAUAAACAAAAGAUAAAUCAUGACUACAGUAGCAGAGAUUAAACUAAUCAUGCGAACUAGCAUAGCAGAUGAACAGAUCACAUCUAGGGCACAUACUAGAAAUAUGAAUUCUAGCACGAUCUCGAAUAGGAAGGAUGGAAUCACAUACGUUGCAGCGGGAGCAGCACCGCCGGUGUUGACGUUGUCGCCCAUGUCGUCGAGGAUGAGGUUGCCGAGGUCGGGGAAGAAGUCGUCGUUCGCGAAGUCGUCGCUGCCAGCAGUUGCGCGAGUGCGCUCCCCAAAAACCUGAUCGCCUCUCUCCCGUACAGGAUCAUGAGAGGCGGGGUUCCGGAGGCCUGCUGUCCCUUCUCCCGGUGCAUGCCGAAAGGAGGGAUGGAGAAGACUUGUUUGGCGGCGCAAUGAUCUGGAACGGUGGUGAAAAACCAUACGAAGCGGCGGCGGCUAGGGUAGACGUCUGACUGACUAUAUAGUGCGGGCCAGGUAGGUCGUGGGAGUAAACCCCAUAUCCAAGUCGUCACGAUCCAAAAGAAUCAGAAACGGUUCAGUAAUUAACGCGUUCGUUAAUUAUUAAUUUUUCCCGAGCAGCAAAAAUAUAGACAACAUGCAUAGCUCUGUCCUCGGCUCGGCUCAAUCCUGCAACCCGCGGCGCGGCGCGUCGUGACGAGGCGAGGCGUGGCGUGGCGAGGCGAGCGAGGAGGAGGAGCGUGCGUAUAGGUCUCCUCUUCUCAUGCUCAUACAAGUGGUAGAAGAGCUCAUCUUAUAAAGAGGUACAACUCUCUCUUAACUUAUGAGGUGGGACUAAACUUUAGCCUCACUCACUCCACUCACAUGUGUACAUGAAUGGGCCAAGAGAAUUUCAGAAUUUUAGUUGGGCUUUGGGCCAAAAGCCCACUAGCAAAUUCCAACAAUCCCCCACAAAGUCUCAUUGGCACAUCUCACCAUUUGGUUCCAAAACAUUGUUAAUAUACCGGUGCUUAGUGGAGACUGUGAGUUGAACUUCCACUUAGAGAUUUAUGCUACACUAGAUCACAACUUGAAUAGUGGACUAUGCCUUGAACUACAAGUUUUCUGCGAGACUAGUUUCACACAAAUUCUUGAUCGAUAGUGGGCUGCCGCAAGGCUUCCCCGCGGGUGGAGCGUAUACGUCGUACUCCAGGGCCUUUUCAUGAAUUUAUUAGAGAACACCCAAUUCUCACAGACUGCGACGUUAACAGUCAAAUUCAUAUAGGUGUGUUCCUCAGAAGAUAUUCUGCAGGGCAACAUCUCUGCUUACCCGAAUAAGCCACUUGGAACACAUUAAGAUAAGUAUCAACCUGCCAUGCAGAUCAGGAGAGUAUUGCAUCUUCACGGAGUGGGAUAGUUAAUAUUGGGAUACUCUCCUCCCAGCUGACCAACAACUUGUCUCCCACUUCUACUUCACGGGAUCUCCGAUCACAUGGAGUGGGUUACCACUAUGGACAACUCGUGCGGUGGGUCUCAGACCCAUCUCCAUCGAUGCAUUAUCUAUCACAUUUUGUGAUAGACCCUUUGUGAAGGGAUCUGCCAAAUUUUCCGACAUUUGGAUAUAAUCCAACGUAAUAACUCCGGAGUUCCUCAAUUUUCUGACAGAUUUUAGUCUCCUCUUCACAUGCCUUGAGGACUUCAUAUUGUCCUUAGAACUGUUUAUCUUAACGAUCACAGUUUGAUUAUCACAGUUCAUCAGGAUAGGAGGUAUUGGUUUUUCAACCAUAGGUAAGUCCAUCAAGAGCUCAUGAAGCUACUCUGCUUCAAUAGUGGCAGUGUCGUGAGUUUUGCUUCCAUAGUUGACCUUGUUAAGAUGGUCUGCUUGCAAGACUUCCAAGAAACAAUGCUACCACAAAGAGUGAAAACAUAACCACUUGUGGCCUUAAUCUCAUCAGCAUCAGAUAUCCUGUUUGAGUCACUAUAACCCUCCAGUACCCUUGGAUACCCGGUGUAGUGAAUCCCAUAGCUCGCGGUGCCUUUCAUAUAGCGCAUAACUCUCUCAAGCGCAUGCCAAUGACCAUCUCCUGGUUUUGACACAAACCAACUCAGCUUGCUCACAGCAAACGAGAUGUCAGGCCUCGCGGCACUCGCCAAAUACAUAAGCGAGCCAAUAAUCUGAGAAUACCUCAGUUGAUCUCUAGCAAUCCGUCGAUUCUUUCGAAGCAACACACUAGCAUCAUAUGGAGUUGGAGAAGGCGUGCAGUCGCUAUACCCAAAACGACUCAAGACCUUUUCCACAUAGUGAGACUGAAGCAGUGUGAUCCCACCAUUCUCAUCUCUUAACAGCUUGAUGUUUAAGAUAACAUCAGCUGUUCCUAGAUCCUUCAUCUCAAAACAGCGAGAUAAGAAAUCCUUAACCUCCUUGAUUAAAUCAAGUUUGGUUCCAAAGAUCAAUAUGUCAUCGACAUACAAACAAAGAAUAACUCCUUCGCCCCACCAUGGCGAUAGUACACACACUUGUCACCAUCGUUUACUACAAAGCCGGCAGCAGUUAAUGUUCUUUCGAACUUCUCAUGCCACUCCUUAGGAGCUUGUUUAAGGCCAUAUAAAGACUUUAAUAACUUGCACACCUUUCCUUCCUGACCAGGUACUACAAAACCAUCUGGCUGAUCCAUGUAAAUUUCCUCCUUCAACUCUCCAUUGAGGAAAGCCGUCUUAACGUCCAUUUGAUGAACGAGAAGACCAUGUGAGGCAGCCAGUGAUAGUAGCACCCAAAUUGUGGUCAGUCUAGCCACGGGUGAGUAAGUAUCAAAGAAGUCUUCACCUUUUUUCUGGGUAUAACCCUUAGCCACAAGCCGUUCCUUGUACUUUUCAAUCGUACAAUCAGGUCUAAGCUUCUUCUUGAACACCCACUUACAUCCUAUAGGUUUGCACCCAUAAGGACGGUCAGUGAUCUCCCAGGUUCCGUUAGCUAAGAUGGAAUCCAUCUCGCUACGAACAGCUUCCUUCCAGUAGUCAGCAUCAGGAGAUGCAUAGGCUUCUGAAAUAGUCCUAGGUGUGUCAUCCACAAGGUACACAAUGAAAUCAUCACCAAAGGCUGUCUCUUGCUCCUCACAGGAGUUCCAUUGUCACCCUCAAUAGGAUUCUCAACGUGUUCCAUCGCAAUGGUGGGUGCAGGAAUUACAUCGAAUUCCUCACUAGAUGGAGAAGGUAUCUCCUGGUUUGAUGAACUCGACAUAUCCUUCAUAGGAAAUAUGUCCUCAAAGAAAGUCGCAUCAUUCGACUCCAUAAUCGUACCAACAUGCAUGUCGGAUACCUCAAAUUUUAUUAUCAAAAAUCUAUAGCCAAUGCUAUGAAAAGCAUAGCCCAGAAGAACACAAUCCACAGUUUUUGGUCCAAGCUUGCACUUCUUGGGAAUUGGUAUAUUGUCUUUUGCCGAACAACCCCAAGUACGUAGGUAAGAGAGUUUCAAUAUUUUCCUUUCCCAUUCCUCAAAUGGAGUCGUGGUCUUAUGCUUUGUGGGAGCUCGGUUUAGGACAUGACACACAGUCAUUAGCGCCUCCCCCCACCAUUCCUUGAAAAGACCCGAUGUGUCUAACAUAGUGUUAACCAUAUCAGUUAGAGUUUGGUUCUUUCUUUCGGCUACCCCAUUUGACUGAGGUGAGUAGGGAGGCAUCCUCUCAUGGAUUAUACCAUGUUCCGCACAAAACAAAUCAAAUUCAUUGGAAAAAUACUCUCCACCAUGAUCGGACCUAAGCCGUUUAAUUUUUUGAUCAAUGGUUCUCUGCCUCAGCUUUAUAGAAGACAGUUAAAACCUCAUCUUUUGAUUUAAGAAGAUACACAUAACAAUAUCUAGUGGAGUCAUCAAUCAACGCCAUGAAGUAUCUCUUUCCACCUUUUGUCAACAUGCCAUUCAUCUCACAAAGAUCGGAAUGUAUAAGCUCUAGUGGCGCCAAAUCUCUUGCCUCUACAGUCUUCUGGGACUUGCGAGGUUGCUUAGCUUGCACACAUACUUGGCACUUAGAGCCUUUGACAAUAGAUAUUUUCGGAAUUAAAUUCAUAUUGGCUAGCCGCGUCAUGCAACCAAAGUUAAUGUGACAAAGUCAUGAAUGCCAAAUAUCAGACUCAUUAUUGUGGCAAACAUUAUUAAUAACUUUAGUGCAAAUAUCUGACAAAGAUAGGCGGAACAAGCCUCCGCUCUCAUAGCAUUUUCCAACAAAUUGUCCAUACUUAGAAAUUACAACUUUAUUGGAUUUGAAAACCAACUUAAAACCAUCUCGACAUAAACGGGAACCGCUAACGAGAUUUUUAUUGAUGGACGACACAUGAUGAACGUUCUUCAGACGCACGGUCUUCCCCGAAGUAAACUUUAGAUCGACCGUACCAACACCUCGAACGAUGGCAUGUGACCCGUUACCCAUCAGUACGAGAGAAGUCCAUGUGGCCAUGAUUCCUUCAUAUCAGUAUCACCGAUGACAACAUUAGUGGACUUGCCGCUCUUCUCAUGUUCGCGCCCCUCAAAGCGGUUAGGACACUUCGGAGCCCAGUGAUUAGGAUCACCGCAGACAUGGCAAAGUCCCUUCCUCUUCUUAUGAGAAUUCUCUUGAAGUUGGUAGAAUGUGAUGGCUUGUUCUUUGUAUCAAACUUGCCUUUGCCCUGAGUUUUGUUCUUGGUGUUUUUGAACUUGUUGGACUGGAAGUUCUUCUUCUGUACCAUGUGGGCACUAGAAGCUCCCUCAGCAACUCGACCACGUGUGUCCUUUGCUCUCGCCUUCUCUUCAACAUCAAGAGUACCAAUGAGAUCCUUAACAGAAAACUCUUGUCUCUUGUGUUUCAGGGAAGUAGCAAAAUUGUUCCACGAAGGUGGAAGCUUGGCAAUGAUGCCUCCGGCAACAAAUUUGUCCGGCAACACACACUUGAAGUACUCAAGUUCUUUUGCGAGCGACUGUAUCUCAUUAGCCUGCUGUACAACAGAGCGCUGAUGUCUACUACACAACCUUCUUCUUGUAGACGUUGUUGGGCCUCCAAGUGCAGAGGUUUGUAGGACAGUAGAAAAUUUCCCUCAAGUGGAUGACCUAAGGUUUAUCAAUCCGUAGGAGGCGUAGGAUGAAGAUGGUCUCUCUCAAGCAACCCUGCAACCAAAUAACAAAGAGUCUCUUGUGUCCCCAACACACCCAAUACAAUGGUAAAUUGUAUAGGUGCACUAGUUCGGCGAAGAGAUGGUGAUACAAGUGGUAUAUGGAUGGUAGAUAAAGGUUUUUGUAAUCUGAAAAUAUAAAAACAGCAAGGUAACUAAUGAUAAAAGUGAGCACAAACGUUAUUGCAAUGCUAGGAAACAAGGCCUAGGGUUCAUACUUUCACUAGUGCAAGUCCUCUCAACAAUAAUAACAUAAUUGGAUCACAUAACUAUCCCUCAACAUGCAACAAAGAGUCACUCCAAAGUCACUAAUAGCGGAGAACAAACGAAGAGAUUAUGGUAGGGUACGAAACCACCUCAAAGUUAUUCUUUCCAAUCAAUCUAUUGGGCUAUUCCUAUAAGUGUCACAAACAGCCCUAGAGUUCGUACUAGAAUAACACCUUAAGACACAAAUCAACCAAAACCCUAAUGUCACCUAGAUACUCCAAUGUCACCUCAAGUAUCCGUGGGUAUGAUUAUACGAUAUGCAUCACACAAUCUCAGAUUCAUCUAUUCAACCAACACAUAGAACCUCAAAGAGUGCCCCAAAGUUUCUACCGGAGAAUCACGACGAAAACAUGUGCCAACCCCUAUGCAUAGGUUCAUGGGCGGAACCCGCAAGUUGAUCACUAAAACAUACAUCAAGUGAAUCACGUGGUAUCCCAUUGUCACCAUAGAUACGCACGGCAAGACAUACAUCAAGUGUUCUCAAAUCUUUAAAGACUCAAUACGAUAAGAUAACUUCAAAGGGGAAACUCAAUCCAUUACAAGAGAAUAGAGGGGGCGAAAACAUCAUAAGAUCCAACUAUAAUAGCAAAGCUCACGAUACAUCUAGAUCGUGCCAAAUCAAGAACACGACAGAGAGAGAGAGAGAGAGAGAUCAAACACAUAGCUACUGGUACAUACCCUCAGCCCCGAGGGAGAACUACUCCCUCCUCGUCAUGGAGAGCGCCGGGAUGAUGAAGAUAGCCACCGGAGAGGGAUUCCCCCUCCGGCAGGGUGCCGGAACGGGUCUAGAUUGGUUUUCGGUGGCUACGGAGGCUUCUGGCGGCGGAACUCCCGAUCUAUUGUGCUCCCCGAUCGUUUUAGGGUAUAUGGAGAUAUAUAGGAGGAAGAAGUGCGUUAGGGGAGCCACGAGGGGCCCACGAGGGUGGAGGGUGAGCCCAAGGGGGGUGGGCGCGCCCCCCUGCCUCGUGGCUUCCUUGUUGCUUCCCUUACGUGGACUCCAAGUCUACCGGGUUGCUUUCCUUCCAAAAAUAAGUUCCGUGAAGUUUCAGGUCAAUUGGACUCCGUUUGAUUUUCCUUUUCUGCGAUACUCUAAAACAAGGAAAAAACAAAAAACUGGCACUGGGCUCUAGGUUAAUAGGUUAGUCCCAAAAAUCAUAUAAAAUAGCAUAUAAAUGCAUAUAAAACAUCCAAGGUUGAUAAUAUAAUAGCAUGGAACAAUCAAAAAUUAUAGAUACAUUGGAGAUGUAUCAAGCACUCAUCAGUCAUCUUGUAGUCAUAAAAUUGCUCCAUGACGUACAACUCGCUGCCGGCGUCCGAGGUGUUGGGGAACGCAGUAAUUUCAAAAUUUUCCUAUGCACACGCAAGAUUAUGGUGAUGCAUAGCAACGAGAGGGGAGAGUGUCAUCCACGUACCCUCGUAGACCGUAAGCGGAAGCAUUAUGAGAACGCAGUUGAUGUAGUUGUACGUCUUCACGAUCCGACCGAUCCAAGUACCGAACGCACGGCACCUCCGAGUUCAGCACACGUUCAGCUCGAUGACGCCCCACGAACUCCGAUCCAGCAGAGCUUCACGGGAGAGUUCCUUCAGCACGAUGGCGUGAUGACGGUGAUGAUGUUGCUACGGACGCAGGGGUUCGCCUAAGCACCGCUACGAUAUGAUCGACGUGGAUUAUGGUGGAGGGGGGCACCGCACACGGCUUGGAACAAUCAACUUGUGUGUCCUAGGGUGCCCCCUGCCCCCGUAUAUAAAAGAGCAAGGGGAGGGGGCUGGCGGCCUCAUAGGAUGUGCCCCAAGGGUGGAAUCCUACUCCUACUAGGAGUAGGUUCCCCCUUUCCUAGUCCAAUUAGGAGGGGAAGGAAAGAGGAGUCGGGGAGAAGGAAAGUGGGGCCCAGCCCCCAAAGCCCUAAACCAAUUCGGUUUGGGCCUAGGGGGGCACACCCCACACUUCCUUGAUGCCCUCUCUUUCCACUAAGGCCCAUGAAGGCCUAUUGACCCCUCCGGCGAAUUCCCGUAACUCUCCGGUACUCCGAAAAAUACUCGAAUCACUCGGAACCUUUCCGAUGUCCGAAUAUAGCCUUACAAUAUAUCGAUCUUUAUGUCUCGACCAUUUCGAGACUCCUCGUCAUGUCCCCGAUCUCAUCUGGGACUCCGAACAACCUUCGGUACAUCAAAUCACAUAAACUCAUAAUAUCGAUCGUCACCGAACGUUAAGCGUGCGGACCCUAUGUGUUCUAGAACUAUGUAGACAUGAAUGAGACACAUCUCCGGUCAAUAACCAAUAGUGGAACCUGGAUGCUCAUAUUGGCUCCUACAUACUCUACGAAGAUCUUUAUCGGUCAAACCGCAUAACAACAUAUGUUGUUCCCUUUAUCAACGGUAUGUUACUUGCCCGAAAUUUGAUCGUCGGUAUCUCAAUACCUAGUUCAAUCUCGUUACCGGCAAGUCUCUUUACUCGUUCUAUAAUACAUCAUCCCGCAACUAACUCAUUAGUUGCAUUGCUUGCAAGGCUCAUAGUGAUGUGUAUUACCAAGAGGGCCCAGAGAUACCUCUCCGACAAUCGGAGUGACAAAUCCUAAUCUUGAUCUAUGCCAACUCAACAAGUACCAUCGGAGACACCUGUAGAGCACCUUUAUAAUCACUGUUGGAGUAAAUGACCACGGGUAGCCUAGCCGGUUCCCUCUGGCCCUUCUGAAAAAAUUACGAGCCGAUCCGGCCCUCAAGAAUCCAAGACGUGGGGCCGCCUUCCCCUUGCCGGCUGUCUCCCAGGCCGACUAUCGGAAGGCGGCCCGGCUUUAGCCCUCAUGAAGAAAGCCGCGGGAGGGCCGGCUCCAAGAAGCCGGCCGCAAGAAGCCAACUCCCACAAAGCGGUCAAGAUCGUACCCUCGAAGUCUGCAUCCACAUAACGGCGAUGUGACGGGGCGUGGCUACAGUAAAGCCUGCCACCCCCGAAUCCCGGAGCAUGCCUGUCACAGUGCGCCGUACGGGGUGGCCAUGACCCGUCCGGCGCGACACUAUUGCCAUGUUGACCCUGAUGCCACCCACGACGGGCUGUCAGCGCGGCCCACGGGCGGUGGGCCCCUUCAGGCAGAGAGACACCCGAAGGCGGCCAGGCCUCCCCCAGUCGGCCCAAGAUGGGGCCGGCUCCCCACAGCCGGCUUGCUUCCUCCCUCGAAGGAGAUGCCCCAGUAAGGGGACAAGACGAGGCGUGGCUACAGCGAUCGCCCGCCGGGCGGCGGCACUGUAGCCAUGCUUACCUCGGCGAAGCCCUAGUCACCAGUUUUGAGGCAACAGUGACCAGCCACCGACAAGGCCCUUGACAGUGGGGCCUGCCUGUCGACCAAGGAGCCGGCAGCCGGUGGGACCCACUAGCCGACGAGCCCCAGCAGCCGGUGUAGAAGCCGGCGAGCGUAGACACAGACGGCUAGGGCGCACGCCCAGCCAGAUUACCAUUGUACCCCCGGGGGGUGGGCCUAUAUAAACCCCCAGGGGCACCCAUGCAAAGGGUUGACCUGAGCUAGUUUUAGACGCCACAUAGAGAGGAGAGGAGAGCUAGCCGUGCCCUUCUUCUUCUUCUCGCCAAACAGCUCAAGGAGCAUCUUGUAGCCACUCGUUCAUCUAGUGAUCAUGCGGAGACCCCGCAGAGCAGCAGUAGGGGUGUUAUCUCCUUGGAGAGCCCUGAAGCUGGGUAAGAUUCGCCGGAGUGCAUGUCUUCGCCUCAUCCCGCUUCCAGGCACCGGCGACGUCUUACUGGCUCCCACAAUGAUAAGCCACCCGUUGGCAUAUGUCGCACCUAACACCCGACAUUUGGCGCCCACCAUGGGGCCAGGUGCACUGUAGUCCGGAGACCUGUUCUGGACGGGAACCCUCUUCCUCCCCAGCGAGCGUAGCCAGCCCGGCACGCCCGAUGGCGCUUGCCACGACAUGCUGCAAGGCGUCGCCAACGUCUGCGCAGCGAGCGGCCUCGCCGAUCUCCUUGACGAGACCCUCAUCUCCGACGAGCCCGCCUCUGACGCAGGCACCGACCACCUCAUCAACCUCCUCGGCCAGCUCCACGUCUCCGGCGAGCUUGCUGUGGACUCCACCGAUCCGAUGCCUGUCGACUCCGACACGGCCUCGCUCGACGCUUUCCCCACCAACGUCACGAUCUACAACGACCUGCUUCCCCGGGCCGAUGGCUGCGACGGCGCCACCACCGAGGUGAUGGUCAUCGGCCACGGAGGCGCUUUUGGCGAGAACGCCCUCGACGCCCCGCAUGCAGCGGUCCAUGACUUGUCCAUCCCCCUCCCGGCCGAUGCCGACGCCGAAGCACUGGAGGCUCGCCGCCUCGCCCUCCUCGUGGAGGGUCGGAAGUUGGCUUCCAUGAGACGCCUCACCGAAGCCCACCAGUGCGAAGCUGACUGCGCCACCUUUGGCAUGCCGCCCCCAGGCGGGCCAAGCCGAGCCGGCGUUGUCAGACAGCGCGACGCUGCCCUCGCCGACACGCUAGGAGUCGACCGCCCAGUCUACGCCACUCCACUCAAGAACCUGCGCGCCGCCCAGGCGGCCGUAGACGAGCUAGAUGGACUGGGGGCCGAAGAACUCCCCCACAUGACCAGACGCAUCCAGCAACUAAUCGAUGCAGCCGCACAGCGGCACGAAGCCGACGCCCGCGCGGAAAGCCCUCCCCCGCGCCGAGAGCACGGCACGACGUCCCGGACGCCGACUGCGGGUAAAACCCGCGCGCGACACGAGAAGGAGCCGGCUGCCAGCCGAAGCCGAACCCGGACCUCCAUCGAGCGAGACGCAGAAGGCCGUCCCCGGGCCUUGGAGCGGCGGGGCAACCCGCCUUCACCUCCGCCUCGUGGGGAGAGAUAUCCCACCCCACCGCCUAUCGCGCAUCCGACUCUCAGCGGCCGACUAGGUCUCCGUGAAGGAGUCGACGAGAACGACGCCCGCCAUCGGAUCGACCGCCUAGCGCGAUCCCUGGCGCUAGAAGAAGAAGAUGAUGUCGGCCCGCCUUGCUUCGGCCCCCGCAUCCACGACGAGCCUUUCCCCAAAGGGUUCUCGCUCCCAAGAGACACACCCAAGUACAACGGCUCCGUGAAGCCGGGAGAUUGGUUGAUCGACUACUCCAUAGUGGUUCGCAUAGCAAACGGCAACAGGCGCGUUGCCGUGAAGUAUGUGCCCCUCAUGCUGCAAGGCACGGCGCGGACCCGACUCAAUAGCCUCAGGCCCUACAGCAUCAACAGCUGGCUAGACUUCACAGAGGCCUUCGUCCGCAACUUCACCAGCACCUACAAGUGGCCCCCCAAGCCCAGACAGCUCUCCUUGUGCGUACAAGGCCCCGCCGAAUCCACUCGCGACUACCUCACACGUUGGGCCGAGCUCCGCAGCUCUUGCGAAGGGGUGCACGAGGUGCAAGCCAUAGAUUACUUCACCGCCGGAUGCCGAGAAGGCACCCUCCUUAAGCACAAGCUCCUCUGCGACGAGCCGACUACCCUCGACGAGCUUCUGGUCAUAGCGGACAAGUACGCCACCGCCGACUCCUCAAUGAAGACUGGACUCCGGGUAGAAACGUCCGAGAAGGUAAUCAACCCGGCGCCCAAGACGCCGGCUGGGGACUCCGGCCGACGCCCGUACCAGAACGACCACAAGCGCAAGGGCCCCGUGCCGCUCUCCACCAGUCGGCAGGUGGCCACAGUCGAGGACAAGCAGCCCGAAGGGCGGCCCGCACCCAAGAAGCAGAAGGGCGGCAGGCCGGCUUGGCAGCCGGCCUUCUCCUACGAGCAAACUCUCGACGCCCCGUGCAAGUUCCACAGCGGCGCGAAGCCGUCCAACCACACAACCCGGAAGUGCCACUGGCUCACCCGAAUCUCCAAAGGCGAAGGGCUCGCGCCGCCUCCGUCUGCUGGUCCGCCGCCUCCGGCUCCGCAGCUGCCGACCGCUCGGCCAGCAGUCGGAGCUGUGCACGGUGAGUUCCCUGACGAGCAUGCCGCCUAUGUCGUCUUUACAAGCCAGCCCGAAGGCCGGCGUAGCAGACGCCGAGAGCACCAGGAAGUCAACGUGGUGGCUACCAACCCCGCCGAGCACAUGCACUGGUCAAAAAAGCCUAUCAGCUGGAGCCGGGCCGACCACCCAGAGGUGAUGCCAUCUCCCGGCUCUUAUGCGUUGGUUUUGGAUGCCACCCUUGCAACAGACAGACGCGCCGCCCAUUUCUCCAGCGUGCUGAUAGACGGCGGGAGCAGCAUCAACAUCCUGUACCGUGACACUCUGGAGAAGCUGAACGUCAAGACGAAGCAACUCAUGCCUACUCGGACUGUGUUGCAUGGCAUUGUACCUGGCCUAUCCUGCGCCCCCAUUGGCAAGAUCAAGAUUGAUGUUCUCUUUGGGGACAAGGAUCAUUUCCGCCGAGAAGCGAUCUGGUUUGAAGUGGUGGACCUGGAGAGCCCCUACCAUGCAUUGCUUGGCCGUCCUGCCUUGGCCAGGUUCAUGGCUAUUCCCAACUAUGCUUACCUCAAGAUGAAGAUGCCGAGCGCCAAGGGCAUCAUCACCAUAGCCGGCGAUUACAAGAAAUCUUCCGAGUGCGCUGCAGCCAGCAGCCGGCUGGCCGAGUCCCUUGUGAUUGCCGAAGAAAAGAAGAUGUUGGACCGAGUCAUGGCCAUGGUCGGCAAACACCCGACCCUGCCCCCCGAUCCCAAGGAGUGUGAUGCCCAAGGAUCUUUCCAGUCGGCCAAGGAGACGAAGAAGAUACCUCUUGACCCCGGGCACCCAGAAAGGUUUGCCGUCAUUGGGGCAAACCUAAAUAGCAAAUAGGAAGGUGAGCUCGCCGACUUCCUCCGUGAGAAUCGGGAUAUCUUUGCAUGGUCCCCUAAGGACAUGCCAGGUGUUCCGAAGGAAUUCGCCGAGCACAAGCUACACGUCCGAGAAGGCACAAAACCAGUCAAACAACCCCUCCGCCGACUGUCGGAGGAGAAAAGAAGGAUUGUGGGAGAGGAGAUAGCCCGACUUCUGGAAGCCGGCUUCAUUAUGGAGGUUUUCUUUCCAGAGUGGCUCGCCAACCCGGUCCUCGUGCUAAAGAAGAACAAUAAGUGGCGCAUGUGCAUAGACUACACGAGCCUCAACAAGUCCUGCCCCAAAGAUCCCUUUGCCCUGCCAAGGAUUGAUCAAGUGAUAGUCUCCACGGCCGGAUGCGAGCUGUUGAGUUUCUUGGAUGCUUACUCAGGAUACCACCAGAUAAAGCUAGAUCCGGCUGACCGCCUGAAGACCGCCUUCAUCACGCCAUUCGGAGCUUUCUGCUACCUGACUAUGACAUUUGGCUUAAGAAAUGCCGGUGCCACUUUUCAGCGUUGCAUGCAGAAGUGCCUCCUCAAGCAGCUCGGCAGAAAUGCCCACGUCUAUGUAGACGACAUUGUGGUGAAGAUGGAGAAGCGCGACACCUUGCUGGAGGACCUCAAGGAAACAUUUGAGAACCUGUGCCGGUUCCAGAUCAAGCUCAACCCCGAGAAAUGUGUGUUCGGAGUGCCAGCCGGCCAGCUCCUAGGCUUCCUGGUCUCCGAACGCGGCAUCGAAUGCAACCCAGUAAAGAUCAAGGCCAUUGAGAGAAUGGCGAUUCCCACCAAACUUUGAGACGUCCAGAAGUUCACCGGGUGCUUGGCCUCCCUCAACCGCUUCAUCAGCCGGCUCGGAGAGAAAGCUCUCCCCCUCUACCGCCUCAUGAAGAAGACCACUCAUUUCGAGUGGAACGACCAAGCCGACCAAGCUUUUCACGAGCUGAAGAAGAUGCUGGCCACGCCGCCUGUCCUGGCGCCGCCGACUGAGAAAGAGCCCAUGCUCCUCUACAUUGCUGCAACCAGCCGGGUGGUCAGCACCGUCAUCGUAGUCCAGCGCCCAGAAGAGGGCCGAGCCCAGCCGGUCCAGAGGCUGGUGUACUAUUUGAGCGAGGUGCUGUCUACCUCGAAGCAGAACGACCCGCACUACCAGAAGAUGUGCUAUGGCGUGUACUUCACCGCCAAGAAGCUGAAGCCCUACUUCCAAGAGCACCCCAUCAUGGUCGUAUGCACCGCCCCGCUUGCCGAGAUCAUAGGCACCCGGGAUGCAUCCGGCCGGGUGGCGAAAUAGGCCAUCGAGUUGGCCCCCUACACGAUCUUCUACCAGCCUCGCACCGCCAUCAAGUCCCAAGCAUUGGCCAACUUCCUCGUCGACUGGGCCGAGACCCAGUACCUACCGCCAGCUCCCGACUCCACUCAUUGGCACAUGCACUUCGACGGGUCCAGGAUGCGCACCGGCUUGGGAGCCGGCGUCAUCCUCACCUCUCCCAAAGGCGACAAGCUCAUAUACACGCUGCAAAUUCACUUUGCCGCCUCCAACAACGUGGCCGAGUACGAGGCGCUCAUACACGGGCUCCGGCUUGCCAAAGAGCUCGGCAUACGCCGGAUCCUAUGUUACGGUGACUCGGACUUGGUAGUCCAGCAAUCAUCCGGCGACUGGGACGCCAAGGACGCAAAUAUGGCAAGCUACCGCUUCCUCGUUCAGCAGAUUAGCGGGUACUUUGAAGGAUGCGUGUUCCUCCAUGUACCGCGAGCCGACAACGAGCCAGCUGAUACCCUGGCUUGAAUAGGCUCCACUCGGCAAGCAAUACCAACCGGUGUCUCUCUGCAACGCCUCCUCAAGCCGUCUAUCAAGCCAUCUCCAGAGUCCGAUUCCAUCUUCGUGCCGCCUGACCCCGACGCGGCCGGGUCCGGCUCGAAGAACCAAGCAGGUGACCCGGGGACUUCGAUAGUCGGCCCGGGGACGUCAGUAGGCGGCUUGGUGAGUUCCAUAGUUACGCCCGACCUGGGGACUGCCACACCCGGCUCGGGGACUGCGGUAGUCGGCCCGGGGACUGCACCAACACAACAGGCGGCGGCCGACUCCAGGAUUUCACCACCCAGCCCGCCCGCCCUGGUCGCAGUAGCCGUGUUGGCAAUAGAAGAAGUCACAGCUCCAUCAUGGGCUCAGUCCAUCCUCAACUUCCUAAUAAACCAAGAUCUGCCGGCUGACGAAACAGAGGCAAGACAAGUCCAACGCCGAGCCGGAGCAUACACAAUCGUCAACAGAGAGCUCAUCAGGCGCAGUGUCACUGGAGUCUUCCAGCGAUGCGUCGAGCAAAAGAAGGGCAUUGCAAUCCUCAGAGACAUCCACCAAGGGGAAUGCGGCCACCAUGCGGCCUCAAGAUCACUCGUCGCCAAAGCUUUCCGCCAUGGGUUCUUUUGGCCGACUGCUUUGGAUGACGCCAAGGAGUUAGUUAAACAUUGUAAAGGGUGCCAAGUCUUCAGCUCCAAGCAACACAUGCCGGCUUCGGCACUCAAGACCAUUCCCCUCACUUGGCCCUUCGCCGUUUGGGGACUGGACAUGGUGGGCCCAUUCAAGACGGCGCGCAGUGGCAUGACACAUCUGCUUGUUGCCGUGGACAAAUUCACCAAAUGGAUUGAGGCAAAGCCGAUCAAGAAGCUGAAUGGGCCGACUGCCAUGACAUUCAUCGCAGAUAUAACAAAUUGCUAUGGCGUGCCACACAGCAUCAUCACCGACAACGGCACGAAUUUCGCCAAGGGAGCAUUGGCACGUUUCUGUGCGACGCAGGGCAUCCGAUUGGACUUAGCGUCCGUUGCCCACCCGCAAUCAAACGGCCAAGUCGAGCGAGCCAACGGCCUCAUCCUUUCCGGCAUCAAGCCCCGACUGGUCGUACCACUGGAAUGUUCGGCCGGCUGUUGGCUCGAUGAGCUGCCAGCCGUCCUCUGGAGUCUGCGCACUACCCCAAACAAGUCAAUCGGCUUCACUCCUUUCUUCCUCGUGUAUGGUGCCGAGGCGGUCAUCCCAACUGACAUCGAGUUCGACUCGCCUCGGGUAACCAUGUACACAGAGGCGGAGGCCAAGGAAGCACGAGAAGACGGCGUCGACCUGCUGGAAGAAGGCCGACUGUUAGCCCUCAGCCGGUCCGCCAUCUACUAGCAGGGCUUGCGCCGCUACCAUAGCCGGAAGGUCAGACCAAGAUCUUUCCAAGAAGGCGACCUCGUGCUCCGGCUGAUCCAGCGAACAGCUGGCCAGCACAAGUUCUCGGCCCCUUGGGAAGACCCCUUUGUCAUCAGCAGAGCGCUGGGAAAUGACUCCUACUACCUAAUCGACGCACAGAAGCCGAAGGUAUGAAAGAGAGACGACUCCGGCAAGGAGUCAGAACGAUCAUGGAAUGCCAACCUCCUCCGAAGAUUUUACAGUUGAAAUGCAGUAUAUAUCACGCUAACUUUUGUACUAAGUACGAGACAAUAGGCCCCCCGAGGAGAGCUCGGGGACUGCCAUCUUUUAUCUAUAAAUGAAGAGUAUCAUGCUUAUGAUCAUGUCAUUACAUUCACUUUUUUUCGUCCGGCACCGGGUUCGACUAGUCGGCCCGGGGACUGGCCGUCUUGAGUUAUAUUAGAAGUCCUACCCGUGGUCAGACAAGUAGUGUGCCGGCACCCAAGCCUUCUCUUGCCAAAAGUCGCAGUUCGAAGAACCGGCUGUCCGGCUGGCAAGAGUUAAAGGCAGGAAAGGACGCCCACACGAAAAACGGCUAGGGACUAAUGGACUAAUAUAAUAAGAGCCGGUUUUUCUCCCACCACCGACCGACUACCAAAGUAGCCGGCCGGCCGGCUUCCAUUCACCUCGCUUCAAUCUAAGAAAGCUCGAGUACUUGCCUUCCCCCCCCCCCCAAAAUAUAGCCAAGUUCUUCCCUAGCCACAAGCUGCAGAGCAGCUGCCGGUUGGGAAGGUAGCAGCAAGGGGAAGGCGGCAAAGGAAACAUCCUAAAGAUAAAAAGCAUACGCGAAUGGAAGCCAAACACACACACGAUCAUAUUUACACAAAAGGCCUUCGAAAGGCCAGCAUUUCAACAUAGUUUGAAUACACCCCCAAUGGGUGGAACUGCGCAAGUUUAAUAAAAAUUGUUCAAAGAGUAACAAGCAGGAAAAGCAAGGACGGCAGAUUAAGCCAAGGGAGCGACUGGCGAGUCGGGCAGGUCGGUAGAGACGAUAGUGCUGGCUGGAGGAGUGGCUGGCUGGCGAACCUCGGCAUGAUCACCACCUCCUGCAGAGGGCGCGCUAGCACACGCCUCGUUGCUGGAGGCAUGGUCAGGCUGGGGCUGGCUGGCCGCUUCACCGGCCGGCUCGACGUCUUCGCCUUCCUCUCCUUCGUCAUCUUCACCUUCAUCGCUGGAAGCGAUCUCCUCCGCCGAGUCCUCACCCGCUGCCGGGUCCAGCCCGAACCAUUUCUCCAGUUGGGCAACGCCGUCGUCAUUUAUCUCAGGAGCAAAUACGCUGAUGUAAGUGCACUCGGCGAUCGUCGAGGCACGCUGAGCGAUAGCCGGCCGCACCUCCUCCAUCUCCUCGUCAGCCUCCAGCCGCCAGGUGCGCAGCUGGUCUAGGUUCAGCCCGGGAUACCAGGCUCGGACGAACUCCAGCCCCGCCCAGCUCCAAGCCGGGCCGCCGAUGCCUUCCAGGCCUCGAAGCGGCCAACCGCAACCUCCAGCCAGUCGGCGGUCCAACUUGGGGUGCGAGGAAUCACUUCGCCUGGCCAGAGGGUGGCCAACACCUGUGCCCCGGCGUGCUGGAGGCGGCAGAGCAUGCGGUGAGCCGGCUGCAGCCGGGCUUGGACCGCCGAGAGUUGCUCCUCAAGCGUCCGGCUCGCGUCCAACGCGAUUUCAGCCCCCGCCUGCCGGUGCGCCUCGCGGUGGGCCUCGAUGGUCUGGGUGGCAAAGACGGAGUAGCCGGGGAAGUAGUUUGCACAAAGAAAAAAAAGCAGCACAAGUCAGAACACAAAUCAGGGGGCAAGGAGCAAGCAAGGAGUGAGGAAGGCGGCUUACCAUCGAUCAGAUCCUCAACCCGGCUGAAGCCCUCGCUCAGCGCUUGUUUUGCCUCAGCCCAGCCCGCCGCUUCGGUCUCGAACUCAGCUUUGAGGGCGUCCUCGCUGUCAUGCGCCUUCUUCAGGGCCGCCUUGUGGCUCUCCUCCUGGUCGGCCAACUUCUUGGCCAGGCGGUCACGCUCCAGGACCAAGGCAUUGUACUCGGCAUCCUUGGCGCGAAGGGCGGCCUGGGCCCCGCUGAGCUGCCCCCUCAAGUCGGCAUUGGCUCCUGCAAGCAUGAAGACAAAGGAAAAAUCAAUAAGGAAGAAGUCGUCAGAGAAGAUCCGACCCGACUGCUCAGCAGUCGGCCCGAAUCUCGGGGACUACACCCAGUGGAUGCGCUGACGCGCCCCCACAGGAGAUGAACGAGACAAAGCAUGCACUCCAGCUGUUGGUCAGGUCCUCAGUUUUCCGGCCCAGCUCCUGAGCCUGGGAGUUGAAGGCAGCAGCGCGGAGGUUAUGGUAUUCCUGGAAGAUCAGACAGGAUGCAAGGAUAAGAUAGCUGUCAGGACCUAGUAAGUUCCAAGCCGCCUGCUCAACAGCCGACUCGGAACUCGGGGACUACACCCAGUGGGUGCGCUGACGCGCCCCCACGGAAGAAAUCAAAAAAGCAAAACAACCAAGGCCAGAAGGCUCACCCGGAUGACGGCCCGCGUCGUGAGGAACUCUUGGGUAUAUCGCUGCAGCGAAGCGGCCUGGGCUUGAAGCCGGUUCCGGACCUCCUGGGCCACCGUGUUCAGCUCGGCCGUCCCCCCGCUGGGCGUCCACUCGGACGUGCUGGCGCUGGCGGCCUCCAGGGCCUCCGCCGUCUGGCUGGCGCCCGUAGCUCUGUGCGGCUCCGGCACGGAGGUAGCUCCCCCUGCGCACUGGCGAAAUGCCGGCUACACCUCGAGGCCGACCCCUGCCUCUGGCUCGCCCCCGACCGGCUGCUCUGGCGCCGCGGCUGGUUGGCCGCUUUGGCCCGCUCCAGUCGGCGCCGUCUGCGGCGCCUCCUCCACGAAGACCACGUGGUCCUCCCUCCUCUCCAUCAUCGGCGGGUCUUGGUCGACUUCCUCCGACGGGGGCACGGGGAUGUCGGGGUCCAUGGCGCGGAGGGGAACGACGAGCUGCGGAGGAUGGUUAUGCGAGGCCUCCGCCUCCGUCUCCGCGGCUGCCGCCUCCGCCCGGGCCUUGGCCGCCGUGUCGGCCUGCUCCUUCGCCGCCUGGGCAGUCCUUCGCUCCGCCGCCUCCCGCUCCUCCCGCGCCUCCCGUGCAUUCCUCUCCAUGGCCUCCAUGAGGUCGUCGCGGGGAUCCACGCGGCGGGAGCCUGAGGACCCUCCAGUCGGCCCGACUACGGAGCCGCCAGGACCUCCCUCGAGGGAAAUCGGUGCCCUGCCUGGCGAGCAAAGAGAGGUUUAGAAGAAUCUCAAUCGAAGAGGACAACAAAAAAUACAAGACGUUUAACGCUUACGCCAAGAUCGCUUGCGGCUGUUUCACCGCCUUGCGGAAGCGGGCCGCCUACGCGGCCGCCUCAUCCCGCUUGGUCGCUGCUGUGGAACCCUUGGAUUUCUUCGGCCGGCUGCCGAAGUAGGUCGACGCGGCCCGGCGUUUCUGCGCGCUGCCACGGGCAGCCGACGUGGCAGACGGGCCCGCGCCUUGAUGAUCAAGCGCCGGCUGGCGGUGCGGAAUGACUUCGACCUCGUCAUCGUCCGCCCAGUCCUCGAGGCCGGCCCCGAGCCCCGCGCCGCCUGCCUCGUCGCCUUCCCCCACAACGGCAUCUUCCAUGGCGGCCGCUCCCAGAUCAGGAUCAUCAACGUCGUCCACCGUGCGGUCGGGGAGGAGCUGGCGCUCUACCCCUGCGGCCCCGGCCGUCGGCGGAAGAAGCGGGUUCUGCUAAGGACAAACCAAUUGAUCAGUAGUCGGCCAUCAUGAGGCCAGCUACAAAAAGGAAGAAAAGAAGAAAAACUUACGGCAAGCGGAGGGUUGGCGCGAGAAUACGGCCCCUUGCCGUAUCGCUAAUCCUCGGCGAGCUUGCAGUUGGAGAUGUAGUUCACCAUGUAAGACACCUCGGCAUGAGGCAUCUCCCUGGUGCUCAGCCAGCACGGGUCGAAGCGGCCGCUCAUUUGGCAAAUCAUGUGAGGCCAGCCUUGGAGCGGAAGUACUCGGCGCUCCACGAAGGCGGCCACUAGGUCGGCUCCGGUCAGGCCCUCCGACUGGAUCAUCACCCGGAGCCGGGAGACGGCUGCGUUCCCGGCCUGAGACAACGACCUGGCCCGGUAGCUCCACGAGGGUUGCCUCCCAGCCGGUGGGCCGGCUACGUAAGCCGGAGGUUGACAAAGUCGCCUUGCUGGGCGACGUUCUUCACGUAAAAAUAGGACUUCUGCUAGAGCUUCACCGACUGGAUCAACGGGAUGGGCGGGAACGGAUUGUUCUCGCCCGUCCGCCUCAUGGCAAUGAAGGCUCCGCAGGGGGCGGGCAUGCCCGCGACAACGGUGCCAAGCUUGCUCUGGAAGAAUUCUCCCCAGAGCUCGAGAGUGGGGAGAACCCCAAGAAAGCCCUCGCACAGGGUGACGAAAGCCGACAGCAGCAUCACCGUGUUGGGCGUGAGGUGAUGCGGCUGGAGGUGGUAAAAUUCAAGAAAAGCGCGAAGGAAUCCGCUCGCUGGGAGGCCGAAGCCGCGCAGGCAGUGCGAGCGGAAGAUUACCCGCUCGCCCUCCUCCGGUGCCGGCGAAAUCUCCCUCGCCGGCGCACGAUGAACCCGCACGUAGUUCUCGCCCGACAGACGCCGCGUCCGGCGGAGGAACUCAACGUGGUCCUCGUGGACGUUGGAGCCAUCCCACGAGCUCGACAACGCCAUGGGAGCGACGCGGCAAGGAACAAGGCGAUGUGACGGCGGAGACGCGCACGACCCCGCUACGGCGGGACCAAAGGAACCGAGAGGUCCAACGGCGGAGCGGCACGGCAAUGGGUCGCUGCGGUGGCGAAGGGAAGAAGAAGGAAGGUGAGAAGGGGCGGAGCGAGGAAGAGCGUGCGAGCCUCUGCCGCUCCCUCUCCUCCCCCUACUUAUAGACCCACGCGGUGGAGCCGAGGAGGCAUGGUGUGGGGGAACGUGGGAUCAACUGCGCCCACUCCCCCACGUCCCGCGAUUAUUGCGCCCUGAUGGCGUAAUAAAACCGCCGCGGGAAGGUGAGCGGUCCGUUGUGGGCCGCAGAAGAUCCACGCUCGGGCCGAGGCCUAGGAGUGGCGGGCCCGGGCCUGCAGCGGCGUACCAUCGCGCGCGUGCAUUGGCAGGUUUUCCUUGCCAUGUGGCCCACGGGAUGGCGCGCGGUCAGCCCGCAGGCCGACCCACGUUCCCGCCUACAAGAAACGGAGCUUUCCGAAGACGGCGCGCAUAAGCAAAGCCGGCUCCUCAGGAUAGGAAGCUGACCAAGCUUCUCGUCCCUUUGUCAGCCUCGAAGCUCGAUCAGCUUUGGGGACUACUAUCAGAGUAAAUGACCACGGAUAGCCUAGCCGGUUCCCUUUGGCCCUUCUGAAAACAUUACGAGCCGAUCCGGCCCUCAAGAAUCCAAGACGUGGGGCUGCCUUCCCCUUGCCGGCUGUCUCCCAGGCCGACUAUCGGAAGGCGGCCCGGCUUUAGCCCUCAUGAAGAAAGCCGCGGGAGGGCCGGCUCCAAGAAGCCGGCCGCAAGAAGCCGACUCCCACAAAGCGGUCAAGAUCGUACCCUCGAAGUCUGCAUCCACAUAACGGCGAUGUGACGGGGCGUGGCUACAGUAAAGCCUGCCACCCGGAGCACGCCUAUCACAGUGCGCCGUACGGGGUGGCCAUGACCCGUCCGGCGCGGCACUGUUGCCAUGUUGACCCUGAUGCCACCCACGAUGGGCUGUCAGCGCGGCCCACGGGCGGUGGGCCCCUUUAGGCAGAGAGACACCCGAAGGCGGCCAGGCCUCCCCCAGUCGGCCCAAGACGGGCCGACUCCCCAUAGCCGGAUUGCUUCCUCCCUCGAAGGAGACACCCCAUUAAGAGGACAAGACGAGGCGUGGCUACAGCGAUCACCCGCCGGGCGGCGGCACUGUAGCCACGCUUACCUCGGCGAAGCCCUCGUCACCAGGUUUGAGGCAACAGUGACCAGCCACCGACAAGGCCCUUGACAGUGGGGCCUGCCUGUCGACCAAGGAGCCGGCAGCCAGCGGGACCCACUAGCCGGCGGGCCCCAGCAGCUGGCGCAGAAGCCGGCGAGCGUAGACACAGACGGCUAGGGCCCACACCCAGCCGGAUUACCAUUGUACCCUCGGGGGGUGGGCCUAUAUAAACCCCCUGGGGCACCCAUGCAAAGGGUUGAUCUGAGCUAGUUUUAGACACCACAUAGAGAGGAGAGGAGAGCUAGCCGUGCCCUUCUUCUUCUUCUUCUCGCCAAACAGCUCAAGGAGCAUCUUGUAGCCACUCGUUCAUCUAGUGAUCAUGCGGAGACCCCGCAGAGCAGCAGUAGGGGUGUUAUCUCCUCGGAGAGACCUGAAGCUGGGUAAGAUUCGCCGGCGUGCAUGUCUUCGCCUCAUCCCGCUUCCAGGCACCGGGGACGUCUUACUGGCUCCCACAAUGAUAAGCCACCCGUUGGCAUAUGUCGCACCUACCACCCGACAAUCAUCCAGUUACAUUGUGACGUUUGGUAGCACACAAAGUGUUCCUCUGGUAUUCGGGAGUUGCAUAAUCUCAUAGUCAUAGGAACAUGUAUAAGUCAUGAAGAAAGCAAUAGCAACAAACUAAACGAUCAUUGUGCUAAGUUAACGGAUGGGUCAAGUCAAUCACAUCAUUCUCUAAUGAUGUGAUCCCGUUAAUCAAUUGACAACUCAUGUCUAUGGUUAGGAAACAUAACCAUCAUUGAUUCAAUGAGCUAGUCAAGUAGAGGCAAACUAGUGACACUCUGUUUGUCUAUGUAUUCACACAUGUACUAAAUUUCUGGUUAAUAGCAUGAAUAAUAAACAUUUAUCAUGAAAUAAGGAAAUAUAAAUAACAACUUUAUUAUUGCCUCUAUGUAACGCCCUCGAUGCGGCUAUAUCUCCCAUGUGCCGAAGCACGACUUAGAGGCAUAACCGCAUUGAAAGCAAUGUCGCAAGUGAGGUAAUCUUCGCAAACAACCCAUGUACAUAAAUAAAGGGGAAAGGUACGUAGUUGGCUUACACUCGCCAUGUUGCACAGAUACAUAAAUAAGUCAUUACAAUCAUCCAAUACACUCAGGGUCCGACUACGGAACCAAAAUAAAGAUCAACUCCCAAAUGCGACAAAGACCCCGAUCGCCCCGACUGGGCACCACUACUAAUCAUCUGGGAAAGACACAUAGUAAUGACGAGAGUCUUCUUCGAACUCCCACUUGAGCUCAAGCACAUCAUCUGGAACGGUAUCAUCGGUCCCUGCAUCUAGUUUUGGAAGGAAUCUGUGAGUCACGGGGACUCAGCAAUCUCACACCCUCGCGAUCAAGACUAUUUAAGCUUAUAGGUAAGGUAAAGGUAUCAUGUGGAGCUGCAGCAAGCGACUAGCAUAUAUGGUGGCUAACAUAUUCGCAAAAGAGAGCGAGAAGAGAAGGCAAAAGCACGGUCGAACAACUAUAAUCAAGAAGUGAUCCUAGAACAACCUACGUCAAACAUUACUCCAACACCGUGUUCACUUCCCGGACUCCGCCGAGAAGAGACCAUCACGGCUACACACGCAGUUGGUGCAUUUUAAUUAAGUUAAGUUUCAUGUUAUCUACAACCGGACAUUAACAAAUUCCCAUCUGCCCAGAACCGCGGGCACGACUUUCGAAAGUUCAAAUCCCUGCAGGGGAGUCCCAACUUAGCCCAUCACAAGCUCUCACGGACAGCGUAGGAUAUUCCUUCUCACAAGACAAUCCGAUCAGACUCGGCAUCCCGGUUACAAGACAUCCUCGACAGUGGUAAAACUAAACCAGCAACACCACCCAGAUGUGCCGACAAAUCCCUAUAGGAUCUGCACAUAUCUCGUUCUCAGGGCACACCGGAUGAGCAAGACGCCGGGUAGGCCAGCCCAGAGUUGCCCCUGGUAGCCUCGGACAUCGCUUAGUUGGACCAACACUUAGAGAAGCACUGGCCCAGGGGGGGAGGGGGGUUAAAAUAAAGAUGACCCUUGAGUCCAGGAAACCCAAGGGAAAAAGGCUAGGUGGCGAAUGGUAAAACCAAUGUUGGGCAUUGCUGGAAGAGUUUUAUUCAAGGCAAACUGUCAAGGGGUUCCCAUUAUAACCCAACCGUGUAAGGAACGCAAAAUCCGGGAACAUAACAUCGAUAUGACGGAAACUAGGGCGGCAAGAGUGGAACAAAACACUAGGCAUAACGCCAAGACUUCCACCCUUUAACAAGUAUAUAGGUGCAUUAAAAUAAACAAGAUAAUAUUGUGAUAUCCCAACAAAAAACAUGUUCCAACAAGGAACGAUCUCCAAUCUUCACCUCCAACUAGCAACGCUAUAAGAGGGGCUGAGCAAAGCAGUAACAUAGCCAAACAACGGUUUGCUAGGACAUGGUGGGUUAGAGGUUUGACAUGACAAUUUGGGAGACAUGAUAAGCAAGUGGUAGGUAUCAUAGCAUAGGCAAAGCAAAAGAGCGAGCAUCUAGCAAGCAAAGAUAGAAGUGAUUUCGAGGGUAUGGUCAUCUUGCCUGCAAAGUACUCAAAGUUGCCUUGAUCCUCAUAAUCAAACUCAACGGGCUCCUCGUUCACGAACUCGUCUCCCGGCUCUACCCAAACAAGAACAACAAGCAAAAGGAAUACAAUCAACCACGUGCAAUGCUUAAACAACAUGAUGCAGACAUGGUAUGAUAUGCGGGAUGCGGUAUGCGAUUGCAUGAUUUGCAAAGGAAUGAUUGAACCUGGCCUCAACUUGGAAAUCCAAGAGUGCCACUGGAAAGGUGAGGUGAUUUUGGUUGAAAUCGAUAUAAAGAUCACCGGAAUUGGAUGCACGGUUUGGAAAAGGCAAGCAAAACAAUUAUGGCACCGGUCUGCGAUAAUCAGCAAGUGAUCAACUAAAUGCAACAAGAUAAAUAUGCUACAACACUCAAACAUGGCAACAAAAUACAUGGCAGGGAUCCACUCAUGAUGCUUGACAAAAGAUGAACAAUGAGCUACGCCUAAUUCAUGCAUUAACAAGUUCAAACAAGCAUGGCAAAAGUGCAAAUGAUAACAGGUUUCAGACUUAGUGAAAUAACAACAAAUCAGGAAUUUAUCAUCAGGAAGCAAUAUUUAGAGCAUGAAAACUACAUGCUACAGGAACACAUCAUGGCAAAUCAAGGCAUGACAUGAAGCUACUCUAAGCAUAUAACAAAAGUCCCUUAGUGACCUUGAGCCAAAAGGGAUCAAAAAAUACAAUUGCAAGCAUGUGAACAUAGCCAAAACAUAAACAGAUUCAGACUUAGUGAAAAACUGGAGCAUGCAAAACAGUUAACGAGUAGGCAUGUUUACGAGCUCGAUGCACUCACUAUAGAGCAUGGCAUGACAAACUAAGAAUACACCCAUCAAGAAGACAUGGCAUAGAAGCUAGACAUGGCAAGAAUAAUAACAUAGCAUGCACGGAUCAAUAGCAACAUCCUCGGCAAAAUCGCUAAACACGUCAACAAUCUGUCAGGAUCAUUUUAUAGCAAAAGUAGAGCUCGAUUGACUCAAGCUAGGGUGCUCCAUAAAUUCAAACAAAGACAUGGAUGGAUAGAUCACCACAAUAUUAUCCUUACUGAUCAUCCUCAAAAGAGGCACGAAUCACUAGGAAACAACAUGAACUUAUGGCAUAAAAACAAAAUCAGGACAAGGACUUAGUGAAAUUCUAAGUCCCUGAAAUCAGCAUCAACGAGUAGGCUACUUUGCAUGCUUGUCCUAGUCACCACAAAGAUCACAAAAAUACAUGGUAAGCACCUCUGUAAAGAUAACAUGGCAUUCAUCAAAACACAUGUAGAGCCCAGGAUCAUAGCAUGCACACAUUAAUCAUGGCAAAAAAGACAAAAGGCCAUUUGCUGAAACAGAUCUGACAUAUUCCUCACAUAGCCCUCUUCCAACAGCAUUUCGAGCAUCAAGAUGAGCUCAAAUGAAAAUGAUGCAAUGAGAGGAAAUGAUGUACUCGUUGAGACGAACAUUUUGAUAUGCUACACGCACGAAUCGGAGCUAUGGAUGCAGAGUUAUGGCAUAUCAAAUAUAGCAAAAAAUUCUAGGGUUCGGGGAGGAAAAAGUCAACCGAUCUCCCAGAUCCAGAUCUGGAUCCACUGUAGCAGCACGACGAUCGAGGUUUGCCGGCACCGGAGUUGCAGUCGCCGGACUUGGCCGGCCGGGAGGAGGAUGGAGAGGCGGCACCGCGGCGGAGGUCGGCGGAGCGGGGCGGCGCCGGUGCGGGGCGACGCGGGAGCGGGGUGGCGCCGGAGCUCCGGGUGCGCGGCGAGUCGGCGGUGAUGGCCGGCGCGGGAAACUGCGGCGGUGCCUGGUGGAGGAGCGGGGCAGCUCGGGUGAGAGGAGGCGCCGGCGCGCGCCUUGGGCUGGGGAGGGCCCGCGGCGAGCCUCGCGGGCCGCGGCAGAGUGAGAGGAGGCGGGCGGCAAGUGGCGGGUCGUGGUUGGCGGCGGCGGUGGUGUCCGGCCGGACCGGACGUUGUCCGGCGGCGGCGAGAGGAAAUUUUAGGGUUUGGGAAAAAGGAGAUCCGGGAAUUUCAGGAGGGGGUCUAUAUAUAGAGGUAGGAGGAGCUAGGAAGCUCCAAAUGAGGUGCGGUUCUCGUCCACGCGAUCGUGAUCGAACACUCUAGCCGAUAGAAGAGGUUUAGGUGGGUUUUGGGCCACUUUGGAGGGGUGUUGGGAUGCAACACACACGAGGCCUUUUCGGUCCCUCGGUUAACCGUUGGAGUAUCAAACGAAGUCCAAAUGGUACGAAACUUGACAGGCGGUCUACUGGUAGUAAACCAAGGCCACAUGGCAAGUCUCGGUCCAAUCCGAAAACGUUUAACACCCACACACGAAAAGAGGUAGAAAGGGGCACCGGAGGACAUAGGAGCGCCGAAAUGCAAAACGGACAACGGGGAAAAUGCUCGGAUGCAUGAGACGAGCACGUAUGCAAAUGCAAUGCACAUGAUGACAUGAUAUAAGAUGCAUGAUAAAUACAAAAACACACGGAGACCAAAAACCCGACAACGAUGAAAUAAAAUAACUUAGUGCCGGAAACGGCAAGAGUUGGAGUACAGAUAAGGUAAAUUACAUCUGGGGUGUUACACUCUAGGGCAUAUUUCCUUCAGUCUCCCACUUGAACUAGAGUCAAUAAUCUAGUUCACACCAUCAUGUGAUUUAACACCAAUAGUUCACAUCUUUAUGUAAUUAGUUCACAUCUCCAUGUGACUAACACCCAAAGGGUUUACUAGAGUCAAUAAUCUAGUUCACAUCGCUAUGUGAUUAACACCCAAAGACUGAUCAUGUUUUGCUUGUCAGAGAAAUUUAGUCUAUGGGUCUGCAACAUUCAGAUCCGUAUGUAUUUCGCAAAUUUCUAUGUCUACAAUGCUCUGCACGGAGCUACUCUAGCUAAUUGCUCCCACUUUCAAUAUGUAUCUAGAUCGAGACUUAGAGUCAUCUAGAUUGGUGUCAAAAGCUUGCAUCGACGUAACUAUUUAGGACCAACUCUUUGUCACCUCCAUAACCGAGAAAUAUUUCCUUUGUCCUCUAAGGAUAAUUUUGACCACUGUCCAGUGAUCUACUCCUAGAUAACUAUUGUACUCCCUUGCCAGAAUCAUGCUAAGGUAUACAAUAGGACUGGUAAACAGCAUAGCAUAUGAGGGAGUCCUGGAUUAAGGGGUCUCCGGACAGCUGGACUGUUGGACUAUGAAGAUACAAGAUUGAAGACUUCGUCCCGUGUCCGGAUGGGACUCUCCUUGGCGUGGAAGGCAAGCUUGGCAAUACGGAUAUGUGGAUCUCCUCCCUUGUAACCGACUCUGUGUAACCCUAGCCCCCUCCGGUGUCUAUAUAAACCGGGGGGUUUAGUCCGUAGGACAACAACAAUCAGACCAUAGGCUAGCUUUUAGGGUUUAGCCUCUACGAUCUCGUGGUAGAUCAACUCUUGUAAUACUCAUAUCAUCAAGAUCAAUCAAGCAUGACAUAGGGUAUUACCUCCAUCGAGAGGGCCCGAACCUGGGUAAACAUCAUGUCCCCUGCCUCCUAUUACCAUCUGCCUUAGACGCACAGUUCGGGACCCCCUACCCGAGAUCCGUCGGUUUUGACACCGACAUUGGUGCUUUCAUUGAGAGUUUCACUAUGCCGUCACCAUAAGGCUUGAUGGCUCCUUCGAUCAUCGGUAAUGAUGCAGUCCAGGGUGAGGUUUUCCUCCCCGGGCAGAUCUUCGUAUUCGGCGGCUUCGCACUGCGGGCCAACUCGCUUGGCCAUAUGGAGCAGAUCGAGAGCUACGCCCCUGACCAUCAGGUCAGGUUCGGAAACUUAAACUACACUGUCGACAUCCGCAGAGACUUGAUCUUCGACGGAUUCGAGCCCUUGUCAGGUGCGCCGCACAAUCACGACGAGCAUGACGUAACUCUGCCGUCGGACAGUUUUCGGGAGAUCACACCUGCGACCACUCCGGCCUUCAAUCCGGAGCAAAUUGCGCCAUCCGAGGAUGGGGGGAUAGACCCCGCCAUGGAGGCCGCACUCUCAGUGGCGAUGGAGCCGGAUACUGACUUCACCUCUUACGAGAGCCAUGUUCCCGAACCACUAGAUUCGUCUCUGGCCAUGGACUCCGAGCCGCCUGCGUCCAUGCCUAUCGAAUCCGAUUGGGCGCCGAUCAUGGAGUUCACCUACGCGGAUAUCUAUCAGCACUCACCUUUCGGCGACGUGCUAAAUUCAUUAAGGUCUCUCUCCUUGUCAGGAGAUCCUUGGCCGAAUUAUGUCCGGCUAGAAUGGGAUGCAAACGACGAAGAAAUUCGCUCCCCACCCACCACCCAAUUAGUAGCCACUGUCGACGAUUUAACCGACAUGCUCGACUUCGACUCCGAAGACAUCGACGGUAUGGAAGACAAUGCAGGAGACGAACAGGAACCACCGCCCACAGGGCGCUGGACCGCCACCUCUUCAUAUGAUAUAUACAUGGUGAACAUCCGCAAAGAAGGCAAUGGCGACGAGACAGCGGAGGAUGACCCCUCUAAGAAACAACCCAAGCGCCGACGUCAGCGGCGCCGCUCUAAGUCCCGCCAUAGCAAAAGUAGUGAUACCGGCACAAGAGACAAUAACACUCUGGAUAGUGCCGAAGACGACAACAAUCCCCUCCAGCACGAUUUAGAGCGGGAGGGUGAACAAGCUAGCCCUCCAGAGCAGGCAGCAGAUGGAGAAUCGGAGGAGGACAAUUACAUGCCUCUCUCCGAAGACGAGGUGAGCCUCGGCAACGAAGAAUUUAUCGUGCCUGACGAUCCCAUUGAGUAGGAGCACUUCAAGCGUCGGCUUAUGGCCACAGCAAAUAGCCUGAAGAAAAAGCAACAACAGCUUCGAGCUGAUCAAGAUUUGCUAGCAGACAGAUGGACCGAUGUCCUGGUAGCCGAGGAAUACGAACUUGAGCGCCCAACCAAGAGUUAUCCAAAGCGCAGGUUGCUACCUCACCUCGAAAAGGAGGCAUUGAAACCUACAUCACCAGCGUAUGAUGCGGCUGAUGGGCUACCUUGUGGCCGAGACAGAGAGGCAUUUCAGCCUGAAGUCCAGCCCGCACCUCACCUCCAAUCGAACAAAAAUACCAAGGCCCGGGGCAACACGCGGGACCUGCAAGACGUAUUGGAAAACAAGGCAAAACAUGCAAGAUCGAUUUACGGAUCACGGGGGCGCGCACCACCACGCGACGAGGAUUGUCACGCCGGAUACACUCAAAGCAAAUCCGGCCAAGCCAAACAUGGCAGACAAGACUCAUAUAAAUCGCGUCGUAUAGACCGACACAGAGGCGCCGCACACCCCUUAUGCUUCACUGAUGAAGUAAUGGAUCACGAAUUCCUAGAAGGGUUUAAACCCAUAAACAUUGAAUCAUAUGAUGGUACCACAGACCCUGCGGUAUGGAUAGAAGACUUCUUCCUCCACAUUCACAUGGCCCGUGGGGAUAACCUACAUGCCAUCAAAUAUCUCCCGCUAAAACUCAAAGGGCCGGCUCGGCAUUGGCUCAAUAGCUUGCCGGCAAACUCCAUCGGAAGUUGGGAGAACCUAGCAGAGGCAUUCCAGGACAAUUUCCAGGGCACUUAUGUGCGACCGCCGGACGCUGACGAUUUAACUCAUAUAACUCAGCAGGCAGGGGAAUCGGCCGGAAAAUUCUGGACCCGGUUCCUAACCAAGAAGAACCAAAUUGUCGAUUGUCCGUAUGCAGAGGCCUUAGCGGCAUUUAAGCAUAAUAUCCGUGAUGAAUGGCUCGCCCGGCACCUUGGCCAAGAGAACCCAAAAUCCAUGGCAGCCCUCACGACACUUAUGACCCGCUUUUGUGCGAGCGAAGAUAGCUGGUUGGCUCGUAGUACCAAUACAACAAGCAAACCUGGCAUAUCAGAAGCCAGGGGUAGCAACGGCAAACCACGACGCAACAAACACAAGCGCCGCAAAUAUGGUGAAAACGCCGAAAAUACGGCAGUUAAUGCCGGGUUCAUGGGCUCAAAGUCCGGUCAGCGGAAAGGACCACCCAAAAAUAAAAAUCCGGGUCCAUCCAUUGUGGACCGCAUACUCGAUCGCCAAUGCCAAAUUCAUGGCACCACAGAAACGCCAGCCACCCAUACCAACAGAGAAUGCUGGGUCUUCAAACAAGCCGGCAAGGCAGGUGCCAAAGAUGAAGAGGGGUCUCAAAGCGACGAUAGCGACGAAGAGCCCAGAUCAUCAAACACAGGAGGGCAAAAGUUCACCCCCCAUAUUCAAUCGGUGAAUGUGGUAAAUAGCACACAAAUUGCCAACUCGGACCAGAUAUGCACCUUAGGGAUGGCGACUCAACGGAACUAGCCGUCCCACAAUUCAAACUAGGGCCGGUCACCUUUAACCGCAUGGAUCGUCUGGUUAACGCCAAUCAGGGCAAUCCGGCCGCACUAAUCCUCGACCCAAUAGUAGACGGGUUCCACCUCACUCGAGUCCUUAUGGACGGAGGUAGCAGUUUAAAUCUGCUUUACCAGGACACAGUGCGCAAGAUGGGCAUCGAUCAUUCAGCGACCAAACCCACUUAAGCCACUUUUAGAGGCAUCAUACCAGGUAUGGAGGUUAGCUGUACAGGCUCCAUUUCCCUUGAGGUAAUCUUUGGAUCACCAUAAAAUUACCGUAGCGAAUAGUUAAUCUUCGAAAUCGCCCCUUUCCACAGUGACUAUCGAUCACUGCUCGGGUGAACCGCGUUCGCUCGAUUCAAUGCGGUGCCACAUUAUGCCUACCGUAAGCUCAAGAUGCCCGGUCCACGCGGCGUCAUCACGGUUCAUGGCAAGGCCGAACCUUCGUUCAGCACCAACAAAUACACCACUGCCUUAGCAGCAGAAACAACGAGCAGCACCUUGCAGCCGAACCUCGAGUCGACAUCCAGGCUCCAGGACACCGUCAAGGGGCUCCAAACUACUUCGUGGAAGGAUACUCCGUCUCUCCUAGAGUUCAACUAAACACUCUGGCGAAGGCCAUGACAGGCCGAACUCAGCGGUUCAACCGCCCUCCGGCAAGUAAACAUUUCUUAUAUUUCCUUCGCGGGUUCACCUUUGCACCGACCAGGACGAACUACAUGGAGGCAGCUUGAACGCGUUAGGGAAUCCUUAGACAUUCCCCGCAGUAAUCGUCCGGCUAUAUUAUGGAUCCGCACUCAACCACUUCCCCCUGGUCACAACAGGCUUUGCUAUCACAACCUCUUUUUUUAUUAACAUUACUUGUACCCAUACGCAUAGACGUAUCAUUCAAAUACAACAUGUGGAUUUAUAUGACUUUUACCUGCCGAUUAUUUCUUAUCGAAAUCAUUUUGUCAAGUGGCAUCCGUACACAGCGAUAUGCCUUAAAUAUGCUAGGGGCUUCGUUUUUCCCGUAACACGGCAAUAAAAGUCUGAACACCUUCAUGGAAGUUCGGCACCCCGAACCUAUAGCAUUAUAUGCAUCAGCUCCGAAUCAUGUCUUGGGUUAAUAGUUGGGUUUGCCCGGCUCCCAUGUUUUGGUACCUUACGUUCCGCUAUAUCGGCUAAGGUAGCAUUGGGAGAACUACUGCAAUUGUGUCCCGGUUCUUCCGGAUGAGCAGCUCAGUAGAGAAAGCCGAAAACUGACUGUCAUGAUACGGCAAGAGCUGGUCAGCUGUUCGAGCGGUUACCAAAUCUUUAAAGAUUUCUCAUGCAUAAUGCCAUAACCAAUGCAGUAUGCGAUUGAUCGGUUUUUCUCCGAUCAGGCGCUUAUAGAGCCCCUAGUACGGUCUUCCGAACACAAGGGGCUGCGCCUGCUACCUCUUAAGCACUGCGUUGGUUUUCCCCGAAGAGAAAGGGAUGAUGCAGCAAAGUAGCAUAAGUAUUUCUCCCAUUGCAAGAAAGAUCAAUAUAGUAGGCCAAAUCAAACUGAUAAUUCGAAGAGACUUGCAAAUAUAACCAAUCAUACAUAAAAGAAUUCAGAGAAGAUUCAAAUAUUGUUCAUAGAUAGACUUGAUCAUAAACCCACAAUUCAUCGGCCUCAACAAACACACCGCAAAAAGAAGAUUACAUCGAAUAGUUCUCCACAAGAGAGGGGGAGAACAUUGUAUUGAGAUCCAAAAAGAGAGAAGAAGCCAUCUAGCUAAUAACUAUGGACCCGUAGGUCUGAGGUAAACUACUCACACUUCAUCGGAGGGGCUAUGGUGAUGAUGUAGAAGCCCUCCGUGAUCGAUGCCCCCUCCGGCGGAGCUUUGGAAAAGGCCCCAAGAUGGGAUCUCGUGCAUACAGAAUGUUGCGGCGGUGAAAUUAGGGUUUUGGCUCCACAUCUGAUCGUUUGGGGUACGUAGGUAUAUAUAGGAGGAAGGAGUACGUCGGUGGAGCAACAGGGGGCCCACGAGGGUGGAGGGCGCGCCUGGGGGGAGGCGCGCCCCUACCUCAUGGCCUGCUCGUUUGUGUCUUGACGUAGGGUCCAAGUCCUCUAGAUCAUGUUCGGUAAGAAAAUCACGUUCCCGAAGGUUUCAUUCCGUUUGGACUCCGUUUGAUAUCCCUUUUCUUCGAAACCCUAAAAUAGGCAAAAAACAACAAUUCUGGGCUGGGCCUCCGGUUAGUAGGUUAGUCCCAAAAAUAAUAUAAAAGUGGAUAAUAAAGCCCAAUAAUGUCCAAAACAGUGGAUAAUAUAUCAUGGAGCAAUCAAAAAUUAUAGAUAUGUUGGAGACGUAUCAGCGCCGACCAUACUAAAGCUCCUAUGGCUAGGUGAGAGUGAUAAAGUCCUAUAGUCUGAUUGCCUGGUUCGUUGUGCUGAGCACCUCCUUCGAAGGACCCAAAACUGGGAUAAAGAGUGCUCAGUUUUAUCCCAAACACCCCCAUACUUCUCAUGUGGGUGCAGAAGCCGACGACUGGCCAACUCUCAGGUUUGACAUAACAACGGCCGCACAGGAGGGUAAACUUUUACAUAACAGGCGACAUAUAAACGACCUUGUUCAAACAUUACAAAGGACAACAUGAUUGGCAUUCAUGGAAAUAUAACGUCCUUGGUGCAUAGCUCCGCUGCAAGGUAGGAUCCUUUCAGGACACUCUUAUAAUAUAAUUCGGGCUUGCGGUGCUCCUUCCCCUCUGGCGGUCCUCCGGUCACCAGCUUUUCAGCAUCCAUCUUCCCCUAGUGCACCUUUGCGCGGGCGAAGGCCAUUCGCGCUCCUUCUAUACAGACCGACCACUUAAUGACGUCAAGUCUAGGGCAAGCGCUUACAAGCCGCCUCACGAGCCCGAAGUAGCUACUUGGAAUCGGCUCGGCAGGCCAUAGCCGGAUAACCAUAUCUUUCAUGGCUAGUUCCGCCGCCUUAUGCAGUUCGAUCAGCUGUUUUAGUUGCUCGGCAAAAGGCACCGGAUAAUUUGGCGCCAAAUACUGCGACCAGAAGAGCUUAUCCGCGGUGUUCCUUUCUUCGGCUCGGUAGAAUUGGGCGGCAUCUGAUAUGCUGCAAGGUAGCUCGGUAAAUACACCUGAGAAAUCCGGAUUCAAAAUCAGAAACAUAGUUUUCCCUUCCAAUACUUGCUUUACAUGGGAAAAGCAUUACCUGCCGCGAUCUUUCUCGCCUCUUGGAUCCCCUGCAGGGCUCUUUGGGUUUUCCCCAGGCAUCGCUCGUGGCUUGACGCGCCUUGGUGAGUUCGGACUCUUUCUCCGUUAAACUCUGCUGCAAGGUCUCGCAUUUACUUUUGGCCUCUUGCAGCUCCUGCUCAGCUUCAAUAACUCUGGCCUCGUGUUUCUCAUGAAGAGUCCGCUCUGUGUCCGCCUUUUUCUCGGCCUCAGUAACGGCCCUUUUGAGGGCCUUGACUUCGGUCAUAACCCCUAGCACAAAAUUAUGCGGCUUAUUUCAUACUGAGCAUCUAUUUUACAAUAAAUGCGCGCAAACGCUUGUGCAUACCUUUUUUAUCCCUCAACUGCAUUUUCAAUUGGCCAAGUUCUUCUAUGGCCCACUCCAGACUUUGAUUCAGUCCGGAGAUCUCCGUAGUACGAGAGGCAGCAGCCGCUAUAGGUACCUGCUCGAAACAGAAGAGAAAUCAAUGCCAUUCAAUGAGUCUUCCUGCGAUCAUCAAUUCGAUCCCCUGUCCGGUUCUUUCUUUCACCGAACAGUGUAUCAGGGGCUACUAUCUAUACUAUGACACUCUUCGACAACUCAUAAAACAUACCUCAAAGCCUCUUAUAAGGCUGAUACGGGCUUCAUUCAGUCCACUCUCAGUUGACUGAAUCUUCUCAAUCACCGCACCCAUAAGGGCACGGUGUUCAUCAAUGAUGGAGGUGUCUUGCAACGCCACCAACAAAGCAUCCGACACUUCUGGAUGGACAGAGGUCGCCGGCGGAACAGGCACGCCCCCUCCAGACGACGGAGGCUACCUUGUUGAUUCUGGAGACAUAUAGGCCUCUGGAAUCGCAUCCGGAGGGGAGCCGAACUCAGGAUCGCCCCCGCCGUCAGACCCCAUGGGAAUCUUUUCCCCCAUGUGUCCGGCCCCUGCAGUUUGACCCCCAGGCGCCGCCUUCACGGUUUCUUCCUUUCCUCCUUGGCCAAGGUCCUUCUGGGACGAAGCCUCGGUGUUAUGCACCUGUUUGGAGGAAGGGGCCUUUGAGGGCAUCCCGCUCUCCAUAGCAUUUGAGCUCAGCAGGUCCUCUGAUGAGGAUUGUUUGGUACGAGACCUCACCGGACUACAAAAAAAUAUGGCUUAGGUUAAAAUACUAAGACAUGGUGAGUUCGGACGCUUAAACGUACUCAGAUUUUAUACACUUACGAGUUCACCAGGGGCUGGGCCCCAGGAUCCCAUGCCAGGCCGCUGUCGGCGGCGGCAGUGGACUCCUCCAGAAGAGGAGCCUUUCCCCUUUUGGGCAGUUCGGCCUCCAAGGGUGCGGAGGCCGUCCUUUUCCUUCUUCCCCCCGCAGGGGAGUAAUCUUCCUCCUCUUCAGAGGCGGAAUGGGCAUUAGAGCCUUCGGGUAUUGUGUCUGAAGUGCCGCGACGACGAAGGCCGCCCCGGGUCUUUUUGGCCUCCUUCUCGGCCGUCUUCUUUGGCACCUUGUAAGGCGUGGGGACUAGCAUCUUCGUCAGAAGUGGGAUGGUCGGGUCUUCGGGCAGCGGGGCCGGACAAUGGAUCCGCUCCGCCUUCUCCGCCCAGCCCUGGGAGAGUUGAAUAAACACGCAUUAAGCGCUUCCUUUGGGUCAUGCAGAUAGAAAAGUUUGAUAAACUCACCAAACUUGUAGGGCGGGACAGUUGGUACCCGCGGUCCUCGGCGGAGUCCGGCCAUGAUUUGCUGGACUUGAAAAGCACCUUCCAAAUGUCCUUGUGCGAUGAGCCGAAGAACCCUCGCAAGGUUUGGUGCCUGGCCGGAUCGAAUUCCCAUAGAUUGCAAGUCUGGUGUUGACAAGGCUGUAUCCGGCGGACUAACAUCACCUGGACUAUGUUGACAAGUUCAAUGUUCUUAUCUCCCAUAUCUUUAACGCACGUCUGGAGCACCGAUAGUUCGUCGGACGAGGACCAGUCCAGGACUUUCUUAACCCAGGAUGUAAGCCGCAGAGGGGCGUCGGAUCGAAACUCGAGAGAGGCGGCCCAUUCCUUGCCGCACGGCUCAGUGAUAUAAAACCACUGCUGUUGCCACUCCUUGACAGAAUCAUUAAAGGUUCAUGUUGGCCAUAUGAUGUUGGGCAUCUUGCUCACCAUAGCGCCCCCACACUCGGCAUGCUCGCUGCCCACCACCUUGGGCUUCACAUUAAAAACCUGCAGCCAUAAACCGAAGUGCGGCGAAAUGCGGAGAAAAGCCUCGCACACGACAAUAAAUGUCGAGAUGUUGAGGAAAGAAUUAGGGGACAGAUCGUGAAGAUCGAUCCCAUAAUAAUACAUGAUGCCACGAACGAACAGGUGGAGGGGAAACCCUAGCCCGCGGACAAAGUGAGGGAGGAAUACAACCCUCUCGUGGUGUUCCGGAGUGGGGACGAUUCGUCCCGCCGUCGGGAGACGGUGGCUGAUUUUCUUGGUGAUACGUCUCCAACAUAUCUAUAAUUUUUGAUUGCUCCAUGCUAUAUUAUCUACUAUUUUGGACAUUAUUGGGCUUUAUUAUCCACUUUUAUAUUAUCUUUGGGACUAACCAAUUAACCGGAGGCCCAGCCCAGAAUUGCUGUUUUUUGCCUGUUUUAGGGUUUCGAAGAAAAGGAAUAUCAAACGGAGUCCAAACUGAAUGAAACCUUCAGGGACAUGAUUUUCUCAACGAAGAAGACCCGGGAGACUUGGACCCGACGUCAAGAAAGAAAAGAGGAGGCCACGAGGUAGGGGGCGCGCCUGCCUACCCCAGGUGCGCCCUCCACCCUUGUGGGCCCCCUGUUGCUCCACCGACAUACUCCUUCCUCCUAUAUAUACCUAUGUACCCCCAAACGAUCAGAUACGGAGCCAAAACCCUAAUUCCACCGCCGUAACUUUCUGUAUCCACGAGAUCCCAUCUUGGGGCCUAUACCAGAGCUCCGCCGGAGGGGGCAUCGAUCACGGUGGGCUUCUACAUCAACACCACAACCUCUCUGAUGAAGUGUGAGUAGUUUACCUCAGACCUACGGGUCCAUAGUUAGUAGCUAGAUGGCUUCUUCUCUCUUUCUGGAUCCCAAUAAAAUGUUCUCCCCUCUCUUGUGGAUAACUAUUCGAUGUAAUCUUCUUUUUGCAGUGUGUUUGUUGAGACCGAUGAAUUGUGGGUUUAUGAUCAAGUCUAUCUAUGAACAAUAUUUGAAUCUUCUCUGAAUUCUUUUAUGUAUGAUUGGUUAUCUUUGAAAGUCUCUUCGAAUUAUCAGUUUGGUUUGGCCUACUAGAUUAAUCUUUCUUGCAAUGGGAGAAGUGCUUAGCUUUGGGUUCAAUCUUUCAGUGUCCUUUCCCAGUGACAGUAGGGGCAGCAAGGCACGUAUUGUAUUGUUUCCAUCGAGGAUAACAAGAUGGGGUUUUCUUCAUGUUGCAUGAGUCUAUCCCUCUACAUCAUGUCAUCUUGCUUAAGGUGUUACUCUGUUUUUAACUUCAUACUCUAGAUGCAUGCUGGAUAGUGGUCGAUGAGUGGAGUAAUAGUAGUAGAUGCAGGCAGGAGUCGGUCUACUUGUCUCGGACGUGAUGCCUAUGUACAUGAUGAUACCUAGAUAUUCUCAUAACUAUGCUCAAUUCUGUCAAUUGCUCAACAGUAAUUUGUUCACCCAUCGUAGAAUACUUAUGCUCUCAAGAGAAGCCACUAGUGAAACCUAUGGCCCCCGGGUCUAUCUUUAUCAUAUUGAUCUCGUACUACUUAGUUAUUUCCUUUGCUUUUUACUUUGCCUUUAUUUUACUUUGCAUCUUCAUCAUAAAAAUACCAAAAAUAUUAUUUUAUCAUAUCUAUCAGAUCUCACUCUCGUAAGUGGCCUUAUAGGGAUUGCCAACCCCUAUUUGCGUUAGUUGCGAGGAUUUAUUUGUUUUGUGUAGGUAUGAGGGACUCGCGCGUAGCCUCCUACUGGAUUGAUACCUUGGUUCUCAAAAACUAAGGGAAAUACUUACGCUACUUUGCUGCAUCAUCCCUUCCUCUUCGGGGAAAACCAACGCAGUGCUCAAGAGGUAGAGGCCAUCCAUUUGCCUCCUUCUCCGGAUCCGGACAUCUUUGGAAGACCUUUUUGUGGGCAGAGAAGGUGAACGCUUGGGCGCUGGAGCCUGAGCAGAAGGGAAUGAAUCAGGAAGAAGGCGUGGGUGAAAAGAAUGAAUCCUUGUCCCUUUAUAAGGGCGGAAGAGGCGAUGCGCCUCCCCACUCACCUGGUAAAACCUCUCAUUCCCCAAGCACCGUAAUUAAUGGCGCGGUUGGGUUACCCGCAUCCGUAUUGAUGAGAAUCCCAUGAUAAGGGGACGCGAUCUCUGCUUUGACAAGAUGUGCCAAGGAAGCCACCUCGCGAUAUGUGUAGUAGCUGGUUGAGAAAAAUGGUUCGAAUAAUGACCGGGCCGUGGUAUGAUGUCAUGUUGUCAAAUGUGUCAGCAGAAUAGAUUUGUGGAAAUAUUAUUCUCUCUAUGGAGGUAUGUGGAACUUGUUUUGCAGAGAUGGACACUAUCCUUGUGUUCGAAAUCUUCUAUGGAAUAUUCGAAGGAAGAACCCGCCUUGCAAUGCCGAAGACAAAUCUGUGCGCCGGACUCAUCGUCAUUGAAGCCUGGUUCAGGGGCUACUGAGGGAGUCCUGGAUUAGGGGGUCUCCAGACAGCCGGACUAUAUCCUUUGGCCGGACUGUUGGACUAUGAAGAUACAAGAUUGAAGACUUCGUCCCGUGUCCGGAUGGGACUCUCCUUCAUGGAAGGCAAGCUUGGCAAUACGGGUAUGUAGAUCUCCUCCCUUGUAACCGACUCUGUGUAACCCUAGCCCCCUCCGGUGUCUAUAUAAACCGGGGGUUUAGUCCGUAGGACAACAACAAUCAGACCAUAGGCUAGCUUUUAGGGUUUAGCCUUUACAAUCUCGCGGUAGAUCAACUCUUGUAAUACUCAUAUCAUCAAGAUCAAUCAAGUAGGACGUAGGGUAUUACCUCCAUCGAGAGGGACCGAACCUGGAUAAACAUCGUGUCCCCUGCCUCCUGUUACCAUCCGCCUUAAACGCACAGUUCGGGACCCCCUACCCGAGAUCCGCCUGUUUUGACACCGACGGGAUACUUUAUAGAACCUAUGACUGAGGCACAGGGAAUGACUUUCCAUUCUCUUUCUAUUUUCUGCUGUGGUUGGGUUUUGAGUCCUUACGCAAAUUCACACCUUGCAACAUAGGCAAGAACUCCUUCUUUGACUGUUCCAUUUUGAACUACUUCAAAAUCUUGUCAAGGUAUGUACUCAUUGAAAUAACUUAUCAAGCGUCUUGAUCUAUCUCUAUAGAUCUUGAUGCUCAAUGUGUAAGCAGCUUCAUCGAGGUCUUUCUUUGAAAAACUCUUUUCAAACACUCCUUUAUGCUUUCCAGAAAAUUCUACAUUAUUUCCGAUCAACAAUAUGGCAUUCACAUAUACUUAUCAGAAAUGUUGUAGUGCUCCCACUUACUUUCUUGUAAAUACAGGCUUCACCGUAAGUUUGUAUAAAACCAUAUGCUUUGAUCACUUUAUCAAAGCGUAUAUUCCAACUCCGAGAUGCUUGCACCAGUCCAUAGAUGGAUCGCUGGAGCUUGCUCACUUUGUUAGCACCUUUAGGAUUGACAAAACCUUCUUGUUGCAUCAUAUACAACUCUUCUUUAAGAAAUCCAUUAAGGAAUGCAGUUUUGACAUGCAUUUGCCAGAUUUCAUAAAAUGCGACAACUGCUAACAUGAUUCAGACAGACUUUUAAGCAUCGAUACGAGUGAGAAAAUCUCAUCGUAGUCAACACCUUGAUCUUGUCGAAAACAUUUUGCGACAAUUCUAGCUUUGUAGAUAGUAACACUACUAUCAGGGUUCGUCUUCCUCUUGAAGAUCCAUUUAUUCUCAAUGACAUACCGAUCAUCGGGCAAGGUAAUCAAAGUCCAUACUUUGUUCUCAUACAUGGAUCCCAUCUCAGAUUUCAUGGCGUCAAGCCAUUUUUCGGAAUCUAGGCUCAUCAUCGCUUCCUCAUAGUUCGUAGGUUCGUCAUGGUCUAGUAACAUGACUUCCAGAACAGGAUUACCGUACCACUCUGGUGCGUACCCUACUCUGGUUGACCUAUGAGGUUCGGUAGUAAUUUGAUCUAAAGUUUCAUGAUCAUCAUCAUUAGCUUCCUCACUAAUUGGUGUAGGAAUCACUGGAACUGAUUUCUGUGAUGAACUACUUUCCAAUUAGGGAGAAGGUACAACCUCAUCAAGUUCUACAUUCCUCCCACUCACUUCUUUCGAGAGAAACUUAUUCUCUAGAAAGGAUCCACUCUUAGCAACAAAGAUAGUGCCUUUCGGAUCUGUGAUAGAAGGUGUGCCCAACUGUCUCCUUUGGGUAUCCUAUGAAGACACAUUUCUCCGAUUUGGGUUCGAGUUUAUCGGUUUGAAACUUUUUCUCAUAAGCAUCGCAACCCCAAAUGUUAAGAAACGACAACUUAGGUUUCUUGCCAAACCAUAGUUCAUACGGUGUCGUCUCAACGGAUUUCGAUGGUGCCCUAUUUAACAUGAAUGCAGUUGUCUCUAAUGCAUAACCCCAAAACGAUAGUGGUAAAUCGGUAAGAGACAUCAUAGAUCGCACCAUAUCCAAUAAAGUAUGAUUAUGACGUUCAGACACACCAUUACGAUGUGGUGUUCCAGGUGGCGUGAGUUGCGAAACUAUUCCGCAUUGUUUCAAAUGAAGACCAAACUCGUAACUCAAAUAUUCUUCUCCACGAUCAGAUCAUAGAAACUUUAUUUUCUUGUUACGAUGAUUUUCAACUUCACUCUGAAAUUAUUUGAACUUUUCAAAUGUUUUAGAUUUAUGUUUCAUCAAGUAGAUAUACCCAUAUCUGCUCAAAUCAUCUGCGAAGGUCAGAAAACAACGAUACCUGCCGCGUGAUGUCUACUACACAACCUUCUUCUUGUAGACGUUGUUGGGCCUCCAAGUGCAGAGGUUUGUAGGACAGUAGCAAAUUUCCCUCAAGUGGAUGACCUAAGGUUUGUCAAUCUGUAGGAGGCGUAGGAUGAAGAUGGUCUCUCUCGAGGAACCCUGCAACCAAAUAACAAAGAGUCUCUUGUGUCCCCAACACACCUAAUACAAUGGUAAAUUGUAUAGGUGCACUAGUCCGGCGAAGAGAGGGUGAUACAAGUGGUAUAUGGAUAGUAGAUAAAGGUAUUUGUAAUAUGAAAUUAUAAAAACGGCAAGGUAACUAAUGAUAAAAGUGAGCGUAAACAGUAUUGCAAUGUGUUGAAACAAGGCCUAGGGUUCAUACUUUCGCUAGUGCAAGUUCCCUCAACAAUACUAACAUAAUUGGAUCACAUAACUAUCCCUCAACAUGCAACAAAUAGUCACUCCAACGUCACUAAUAGCGGAGAAUGAACGAAGAGAUUAUGGUAGGGUACGAAACCACCUCAAAGUUAUUCUUUCCAAUCAAUCCGUUGGGCUAUUCCUAUAAGUGUCACAAACAGCCCUAGAGUUCGUACUAGAAUAACACCUUAAGACACAAAUCAACCAAAACCCUAAUGCCACUUAGAUACUCCAAUGUCACCUCAAGUAUCUGUGGGUAUGAUUAUAUGAUAUGCAUCACACAAUCUCAGAUUCAUCUAUUCAACCAACACAAAGGACCUCAAAGAGUGCCCCAAAGUUCUACCAGAGAAUCACGAUGAAAACGUGUGCCAACCCCUAUGCAUAGGUUCAUGGGCGGAACCCACAAGUUGAUCACCAAAACAUACAUCAAGUGAAUCACGUGGUAUCCCAUUGUCACCAUAGAUACGCACGACAAGACAUACAUCAAGUGUUCUCAAAUCUUUAAAGACUCAAUCCGAUAAGAUAACUUCAAAGGGGAAACUCAAUCCAUUACAAGAGAGUAGAGGGGGGAAGAAACAUCAUAGGAUCCAAAUAUAAUAGCAAAGCUCACGAUACAUCAAGAUCGUAUCACCUCAAGAACACGAGAGAGAGAGAGAGAUCAAACACAUAGCUACUGGUACAUACCCUCAGCCCAAAGGGAGAACUACUCCCUCCUCGUCAUGGAGAGCACUGGGAUGAUGAAGAUGGCCACCAGAGAGGGAUUGCCCCCUCCCGCAGGGUGCCGGAACGGGUCUAGAUUGGUUUUCGGUGGCUACGGAGGCUUCUGGCGGCGGAACUCCCGAUCUAUUGUGCUCCCGGAUGUUUUUAGGGUAUAUGGAGAUAUAUAGGUGGAAGAAGUACGUCAGGGGGGCCAUGAGGGGCCCACGAGGGUGGAGGGCGCGCCCAGGGGGUGGGCGCGCCCCCUACCUCGUGGCCUCCUCGAAGCUUCCCUUACAUGCACUUCAAGUCUUCUGGGCUUCUUUCCUUCCAAAAAUGGGUUCCGUGAAGUUUCAGGUCAAUUGGACUCCGUUUGGUUUUCCUUUUCUUCGAAACCCUAAAACAAGGUAAAAACAGAAACUGGCACUGGGCUCUGGGUUAAUAGGUUAGUCCCAAAAAAUGAUAUAAACAUGUAUAAUAAGCCUAUAAACAUCCAAAACAGUAGAUAAUAUAGCAUGGAGCAAUCAAAAAUUAUAGAUACGUUGGAGACGUAUCACCGCGAGCCUCAACACUCAUCGGACUGCAUACAUCAGUAUGUAUUAUUUCCAACAAGUAUGUUGCUCGCUUCAUUGUUCCGGAGAACGGAGUCUUAGUCAUCUUGCCCAUGAGGCAUGGUUCGCAAGCAUCAACUGAUUCAUAAUCAAGUGAUUCCAAAAGCCCAUCAGCAUGGAUUUUCUUCAUGCACUUUACACCAAUAUGACCUAAACGGCAGUGCCACAAAUAAGUUGCACUCUCAUUAUUAACUUUGCAUCUUUUGGCUUCAAUAUUAUGAACAUGUGUAUCACUACGAUCGAGAUUCAAUAAACCAUGCAUUUUGAGUGUAUGACCAUAGAAGAUUUUAUUCAUGUACAUAGAAUAACAAUUAUUCUUUGACUUAAAUGAAUGAACGUAUUGCAAUAAACAUGAUCAAAUCAUAUUCAUGCUCAAUGCAAAUACCAAAUAACAUUUAUUUAGGUUUAACACUAAUCCUGAAAGUAUAGGGAGUGUGCGAUGAUGAUCAUAUCAAUCUUGGAACCACUUCCAACACACAUCGUCACUUCACCCUUAACUAGUCUCUGUUCAUUCCACAACUCCCGUUUCGAGUUAUCACUCUUUAAUAACUUAACUAGUAUCAAAAUACCGAGGGGUUGCUAUGAACACUAGUAAAGUACACAUCAAUAACAUGUAUAUCAAAUAUAUCUUUGUUCACUUUGCCAUCCUUCUUAUCCGCCAAGUAUCUAGGGCAGUUCCACUUCCAGUGACCAUUUCCUUUGCAGUAGAAGCACUCAGCUUCAGGCUUGGGUCUAGCUUUAGGCUUCUUCAUGGGAGUGGAAACUUGCUUGCCAUUCUUCUUGAAGUUCCCCUUCUUCCCUUUUCCAUUUUCUUGAAGCUAGUGGUCUUGUCAACCAUCAACACUUGAUGCGUUUCUUGAUUUCUACCUUCGUCGAUUUUAGCAUCACGAAGAGCUUGGGAAUCGUUUCCGUUAUCCCUUGCAUAUUAUAGUUCAUCACGAAGUUCUAGUAACUUGGUGAUAGUGACUAGAGAACUCUGUCAAUCACUAUCUUAUCUGGAAGAUUAACUCCCACUUGAUUCAAGUGAUUGUAGUACCCAGACAAUCUGAGCACAUGCUCACUAGUUGAGCUAUUCUCCUCCAUCUUGUAGGCAAAGUACUUGUCAAAGGUCUCAUACCUCUCGACUCGGGCAUGAGUCUGAAAUACCAAUUUCAGCUCUUGGAACAUCUUAUAUGCUCCGUGGCGUUCAAAACGUUUUUGAAGUCCCGGUUCUAAGCUGUAAAGCAUGGUGCACUAAACUAUUAAGUAGUCAUCAUACCGACCUUUUUGUCAAACAUUCAUAACGUGUGCAUCUGCUCCUGCAAUAGGUCCGUCACCUAGCGGUGCAUCAAGGACAUAAUUCUUCUGUGCAGCAAUGAGGAUAAUCCUCAAAUCACGGAGCUAGUCCGCAUCAUUGCUACUAACAUCUUUCAACAUAGUUUUCUCUAGGAACAUAUCAUAAAAAAUGGGGAGCUACAUCACGAGCUAUUGAUCUACAACAUAGUUAUGCAAAUACUUCCAGGACUAAGUUCAUGAUAAAUUAAUGUUCAAUUAAUCAUAUUAUUUAAGAACUCACACUUAGAUAGACAUCCCUCUAAUCAUCUAAGUGAUCACGUGAUCCAUAUCAACUAAACCAUGUCCGAUCAUCACGUGAGAUGGAGUAGUUUUCAAUGGUGAACAUCACUAUGUUGAUCUUAUCUUCUAUAUGAUUCACGCUCGACCUUUCGGUCUCUAGUGUUCCGAGGCCAUAUCUGCAUAUGCUAGGCUCGUCAAGUUUAACCCGAGUAUUCUGCAUGUGCAAAACUGGCUUGCACCCGUUGUAUGUGAACAUAGAGCCUAUCACACCCGAUCAUCACGUGGUGUCUCAGCACGAAGAACUUUCGCAAUGGUGCAUACUCAGGGAGAACACUUAUACCUUGAAAAUUAGUGAGAGAUCAUCUUAUAAUGCUACCGUCGAACUAAGAAAAAUAAGAUGCAUAAAGGAUAAACAUCAAAUGCAAUCAAAAAUAUAUGACAUGAUAUGGCCAUGAUCAUCUUGCACCUUUGAUCUUCAUCUCCAAAGUACCGUCAUGAUCUCUAUCGUCACCGACAUGACACUAUGAUCUCCAUCAUCUUGAUCUCUAUCAACGUGUCUGCACAUGGUCGUCUCACCAACUAUUGCUCUUGCAACUAUUGCUAUCACAUAGCGAUAAAGUAAAGCAAUUAUUUGGCGCUUGCAUCUUAUGCAAUAAAGAGACAACCAUAAGGCUUCUGCUAGUUGCCGAUAACUUCAACAAAACAUGAUCAUCUCAUACAACAACUUAUAUAUCAUCACGUCUUGACCAUAUCACAUCACAACAUGCCCUACAAAAACAAGUUAGACAUCCUCUACUUUGUUGUUGCAAGUUUUACGUGGCUGCUACGGGCUGAGCAAGAACCGUUCUUACCUAUGCAUCAAAAACCACAACGUAGUAUAGUGAUUGCUUUUUGAUAUUCAGAAAGAACCCUGUUCAUUGAAUCCGAUUCAACUAAAGUUGGAGAAACUGACACCCACCAGCCACAUGUAUGUGAAACACGUCGGUAGAACCAGUCUCGCGUAAGCAUACGCGUAAUGUCGGUCUGGGCCGCUUCAUCCAACAAUACCGCUGAAUCAAGAAUCAACUAGUGACGGCAAGCAAUAUGUAUAUACCCACGCCCACAACUCCUUUGUGUUCUACUCGUGCAUAUAACAUCUACGCAUAAACUUGGAUCGGAUGCCACUGUUGAGGAAUGUAGUAAUAUCAAAAAUUUCCUACGCACACGCAAGAUCAUGGUGAUGCAUAGAAAUGAGAGGGGAGAGUGUCGUCCACAUACCCUCGUAGACCGUAAGCAGAAGCGUUAUGAGAACGCGGUUGAUGUAGUCGUACGUCUUCACGAUCCGACCGAUCCAAGUACCGAACGUCCGGCACCUCCGAGUUCAGCACAUGUUCAGCUCGAUGACGUCCCAUGAACUUCGAUCCAGAAGAGCUUCACGGGAGAGUUCUAUCAGCACGACGGCAUGAUGACAGUGAUGAUGUUGCUACCGACGUAGGGCUUCACCUAAGCACCGCUAUGAUAUGAUCAAGGUGGAUUAUGGUGGAGGGGGGCACCGCACACGGCUUGGAACAAUUAACUUGUGUGUCCUAGGGUGCCCUCUGCCCCCGUAUAUAAAGGAGCAAGGGGAGGGGGGCGGCGGCCUCAUAGGAUGCGCCCAAGGGUGGAAUCCAACUCCUACUAGGAGUAGGUUCCCCCUUUCCUAGUCCAACUAGGAGGGGAAGGAAAGAGGAGUAGGGGAGAAGGGAAGAGGGGCUGGCCCCCAAAUCCCUAAACCAAUUCGGUUUGGGCCUAGGGAGGGCGCACCCACACUUCCUUGCUUCCCUCUCUUUCCACUAAGUCCGAUGAAGGCCCAUUGACCCCUCCGGCGAAUUCCCGUAACUCUUCGGUACUCCGAAAAAUACUCGAAUCACUCGGAACCUUUCCGAUGUCCGAAUAUAGCCUUCCAAUAUAUCAAUCUUUACGUCUCGACCAUUUUGAGACUCCUCGUCAUGUCCCCGACCUCAUACGGGACUCCGAACAACCUUCGGUACUUCAAAUCAGAUAAACUCAUAAUACCGAUCAUCACCGAACGUUAAGCGUGCGGACUCUACGAGUUCAAGAAAUAUGUAGACAUGACCGAGACACGUCUCCGGUCAAUAACCAAUAGCGGAACCUGGAUGCUCAUAUUGGCUCCUACAUAUUCUACUAAGAUCUUUAUCGGUUAAACCGCGUAACAACAUACAUUAUUCCAUUUGUCAUCGGUAUGUUACUUGACCAAGAUUCGAUCGUCGGUAUCUCAAUACCUAGUUCAAUCUCGUUACCGGCAAGUCUGUUUACUCGUUCCGUAAUACAUCAUCCCACAACUAACUCAUUAGUUGCAUUGCUUUCAAGGCUUAUAGUGAUGUGUAUUACCGAGAGGGCCCAGAGAUACCACUCCGACAAUCGGAGUGACAAAUCCUAAUAUUGAUCUAUGCCACCUCAACAAGCACCAUCGGAGACACCUGUAGAGCACCUUUAUAAUCACCCAGUUACGCUGUGAUGUUUGCUAGCACACAAAGUGUUCCUUCGGUAUUCGGGAGUUGCAUAAUCUCAUAGUCAUAGGAACAUGUAUAAGUCAUGAAGAAAGCAAUAUCAAGAAACUAAACGAUCAUCGUGCUAAGCUAACAGAUGGGUCAAGUCAAUCACAUCAUUCUCUAAUGAUCUGAUCCCGUUAAUCAAAUGACAACUCAUGUAUAUGGUUAGGAAACAUAACCAUCAUUGAUUCAACGAGCUAGUCAGGUAGAGGCAAACUAGUGACACUCUGUUUGUCUAUGUAUUCACACAUAUACUAAAUUUCCGGUUAAUACAAUUCUAGCAUGAAUAAUAAACAUUUAUCAUGAUAUAAGAAAAUAUAAAUAACAACUUUAUUAUUGCCUCUAGGGCAUAUUUCCUUCACGAGGCACCAAACAUGGCCUCGAGCACAGCCCACAUGUCCUUGCUGUUUUCAAACAACAUAUACGAAUCCACAAUGGAAUCAUCCAGAACACUCAGAAAAGCGCCUUUAAAGAGAGUAUCGAUCUUCUCAAAAACUUCCAGUUGUGCUAGAUUAAGAUCGCCCUCAGGCUUGCCCUUGGUGGCGUCAUAGCAGCCCAUGGUCUGAAACCAGUAGACUGCUCUCGUGCGCCACCUCUUAUAUUGCGCCCCCUUAAAGGUAGGCGGUUUCAGAUGCGCAACAAAACCAUUCGGAGUAAAUUUCCUAUAAUCAGGUUUUUGGAUUGUUGGAAAUAUGAGCAAAUUACUACAAGAUUUAAUCCGAAUAAACAAAAGAUAAAUCAUGACUAUAGUAGCAGAGAUUAAACUAAUCAUGCGAACUAGCAUAGCAGAUGAACAAAUCACAUCUAGGGAACAUACUAGAAACAUGAAUUCUAGCACGAUCUCGAACAGGAAGGAUAGGAUCACAUACGGUGCAGCGGGAGCAGCACCGCCGGCGUUGACGUUGUCGCCCAUGUCGUCGAGGAUGAGGUUGCCGAGGUCGGGGAAGAAGUCGUCGUUCGCGAAGUCGUCGCGCGAGUGCGCUCCCCAAAAACCUGAUCGCCCCUCUCCCAUACAGGAUCAUGAGAGGCGGGGUUUCGGAGGCCGUCUGUCCCUUAUCCCGGUGCACGCCGAAAGGAGGGAUGGAGAAGACUUGUUUGGUGGCACAAUGAUCUAAAACGGUGGUGAGAAACCAUAUGAAGCAGCGGCGGCUAGGGUAGACGUCUGCCUGACUAUAUAGACAAUGUGCAUAGCUCUGUCCUCGGCUUGGCUCAAUCCCGCAACCCGUGGCGCGUCGUGACGAGGCGAGGCGAGGCGUGGCAUGGCGUGGCAAGGCGAGCGAGGAGGAGGAGCACGCAUGUAGGUCUCCUCUUCUCAUGCUCAUACAAGCGGUAGAAGAGCUCACCUUAUAAAGAGGUGCAACUCUCUCUCAACUUAUGAGGUGGGACUAAACUUUAGCCCCACUCACUCUGCUCACAUGUGUGCAUGAAUGGGCCAAGAGAAUUUCAGAAUUUUAGUUAGGCUUUGGGCCAAAAGCCCACUAGCAAAUUCCAACAUACCCUCUUUGGCAAUGCAGUGGGGCGCUCAAUUUAUAUGCUGGUCUACCCAAAUGUGAAUAUGCACACAUGCAUGGCAGUAGCUAGCCAUCUCCUUUUGAUUUUGGAGUACUGCGCGGUCAUUUUCAAUUCAACUAAUGUGAUUCCUAGCAGCAGCAUGCAUGCUGCACAUGCAUGCAAUAAUAACCCCGGCUUCCUGCAAGGCGCACACCAGCCACACCACUCCAAUGACUGGCGAAGGCUCAUCCACAUUUUGAUGAGCUAGCUAGCACAAUGAUUUGACUGAGUUGUCUGGUUUAGUUAAUCUUCUUUUACGCUCGGUUCAUUUACAUUGUUGACGGUCACUUAUUAGGUUUUUGAGGACCCAUUCAUCAAUUUGUUUAUCUUUGUUGAGAAUGGGAGGUGAAGCUCCACCAAAAGUCUAGUACACGGGUUUUUUAGAGUACGCCUAGGCAUACCAUAGCUUUAUAGAAGACAUAAUUGUAAGUACAAGAAGACUACCACUCGCUGCGAACAACGAGCAUAGCACGAACACCACAUACAGGCAUGUCCAGGGACAACCACCAACGACCAUAAAACACUACAAAGCACAAGCGCUUGCCCUAACCGAUAAACAAUACAACGUCUCGACCCACAUCGGCACCUCCGAAGACCAACUCAUGCCACUGAACUUCGCUUGUCGAUGCACCAUCCACCCUGAAUGCCAAAGAGGACGUGGCAGGUAAAUGGAAGGACUUGCUCCGAUCCGAGAAAGAUGCCGUCUUGGAUGCACCGAUGACCGUCGUGCAUAGCGCCAUCGGGAAUCAGAAUAGGACCACUGCCAACACCGGAGAAGAGCAACGAGGAAUGAAGUCGAGUCUCCAAACACGAUGCCCUCAAGAGAGGAGCAACGUCGAGUACGCCGCCAUCAUGCCGAUCCGAAUGAAUCAAGGCUUUCGUCCAGAGAAAACAACCAACUCCACAUGAGCGAGGGAAAUGUCGAAUUCACCUCGACGAUGCCUCCAAGAAGGGGGAUGAGACCCAUAGGCGCCAACGCCGCCGGCCCGACAAGAGCCAUGCAUGAUUUUUUUCAUCUAAUCAUCUCACAUCUCCACACCUCGAUGGAAUUGAGUAGCACCGUCCAAGAUGCUUUGCACUGCCGCCACCGCAAUGCCUUGCGAUUGUAGCUGUAUAGCCAAGGCCAACCGAAAGACCACACAACAAGGAUAAACGCCGCCAACCAAACACCUACAACCCGGUCGAGGAACCACAACCACCCAACUCCUCCAGCAAGGGCCAGAACCGCCACCGAAAGCUAGCAUCUGCUCCAAAGUGAUAGCCUUCUGAUGAUCAACCACCUAGCCGUGGGCAACUCCCACACAUGCACCAUCGGAAGACCGCCGUCGCUGGCCACACAGCUCAGACAUGGCCCGGACGCUCGCUGCUCACCAGGAACUCCAUCCUAGCUGAGCCAUCACAGCUCCGCCACCAACCUGGAUGGUGGUUCACGCCGCCGCUUCCAGUACACACCGCUGCCACCAGCCUGCCUCCCCACACCGGGGCUGUCCCCACCAAGACCGAUGCAUCUCCACGUCAGCCGUUGUGCUCCAUCAUCAGCCACCACCACACCGAGCCCCCAACGCCACCGCCAGCACCACCACUACGCCCAUUAGCUGGGGGGUCACCACGCUUGGGUCCCGAUAGGCCAGAUCUAGACAAGGAGGGGAUCAUGACGGAAACUAGACUUCCGGCCAUCGCAGCCGCAGACAACACCGCCGACGGAGCUCACAUCACCCCCAUAGCCACCGCGCCCUCGCAGCACCAGGACGCCAAGCGUUGCCACCUGAGCACCGCACUGUGGCCAUGGGACGGGGAGCUUUGGGGAGGAGGCCCCGCCGUCGCCGGCCCUGCCCGUGCUUUUCCCGGCAGCGACCCUUGGUGGCGGGGAUAUGGGGUUCCCCCAUGUCGCUCGAGUCUAGUACACAGUUCAACUUGACCCUUAUCUACAAGGCAUAAAGUAGUCAUACCCUCAUUGGCAAUGAAAAGCUAGGUAGCCGCUAGGAUGCCUAAUUUCUUUGCAAAAAAAUAUAGAUGUGGAUGAAUACAUGGCCUCUGCAUCAUCGUGAUGUACACAAUUAUGUUUGUUAAUUAUUAAAUGGAGUACAAUGCAAUCGCAACCACGGUUGAACCAUUACAAGAUAUUAAAUAAACACCUAUGACUAAGUUGACUUCUUUCGCAACAACACCUCUUCAAGGAAUUGUGUACGGAAUUUCCAAGGUUGUUUUCCAUUUGUGCAAACCCGAUGGUGCUCCUCCCCACAGUUGGCCACCAUGUCUAGACGGACAUCUUGUUCCGACGGUCAUUUGGUCAAGUGGAGAUCGUAGAGUGGGCUAACUUGUGGGCUGCCCUUUUGUCGGUGCUUGCGGAUAUUCCGGACACCGUUUCUAGGCAUCUUGCACCUUCGGGUGUGUUCUCUGUCGGUCGGCAUACCAUGCUCUAUGCCAUGGGCAGACUAUUGCCUGGAACUCUCCUAUAUGGAAGGCACCUGUCCCACUAAGAAAUAUUUAUGUCACAAUUAUUGAGAGAUCACCCCCUUAUGGGACGGAGGUUAUCAAGAGGCAUGGCCAAGGGAAUGGGAUUUGUCCCCUUUGUGGUGUUCCAGAGAUGGGCACCCACAUCCUUUUAUUGUGCAUGACAGCAAGAGCUCUCUGGGGUUUUGUUUGUGAUGCUUUGGGCCUAACGGGGAGGCCAUGGACCUGGCUGGGUUUCUCUAAACUAGAGCCAAUCAGACCGGUAGGAAGUGGUGGCUACUCUAGCUUUUGUUUGCAGCAUUAGCUGGGACCUUAUGGACGACGUAAUAAGAUGGUGAUUGAGAAGGUCUUGAUGACUCACAAGUAUAGGGGAUCUAUUGUAGUCCUUUCGAUAAGUAAGAGCGUCGAACCCGAUGAGGAGCAGAAGGAAAUGAUAAGCGGUUUUCAGCAAGGUAUUCUCUGCAAGCACUGAAAUUAUCGGUAAUAGAUAGUUUUGUGAUAAGGUAAUUCGUAACGAGUAACAAGUAAUAAAACUAAAUAAGGUGCAGCAAGGUGGCCCAAUCCUUUUUGUAGCAAAGGACAAUCCUGGACAAACUCUUAUAUAAAGGAAAACACUCCCGAGGACACAUGGGAAUUAUUGUCAACCUAGUUUUCAUCACGCUCAUAUGAUUCGCAUUCGUUACUUUGAUAAUUUGAUAUGUGGGUGGACCGGUGCUUGGGUACUGCCCUUCCUUGGACAAGCAUCCCACUUAUGAUUAACCCCUAUUGCAAGCAUCCGCAACUACAAAAGAAGUAUUAAGGUAAACCUAACCAUAGCAUGAAACAUAUGGAUCCAAAUCAGCCCCUUACGAAGCAACGCAUAAACUAGGGUUUAAGCUUCUGUCACUCUAGCAACCCAUCAUCUACUUAUUACUUCCCAAUGCCUUCCCCUAGGCCCAAAUAAUGGUGAAGUGUCAUGUAGUCGACGUUCACAUAACACCACUAGAGGAAAGACAACAUACAUCUCAUCAAAAUAUCAAAUGAAUACCAAAUUCACAUGACUACUUAUAGCAAGACUUCUCCCAUGUCCUUAGGAACAAAUGUAACCACUCACACAUCAUAUUCAUGUUCGUAAUCAGAGGGGUAUUAAUAUGCAUAAAGGAUCUGAACAUAUAAUCUUCCACCAAAUAAACCAACUAGCAUCAACUACAAGGAGUAAUCAACACUACUAGCAACCCACAGGUACCAAUCUGAGGCUUAGAGAUAAAUAUCGGAUACAAGAGAUGAACUAGGGCUUGAGAUGAGAUGGUGUUGGUGAAGAUGUUGAUGGAGAUUGACCCCUCCCGAUGAAAGGAUCGCCGGUGAUGAUGAUGGUGAUGAUUUCCCCCUCCCGGAGGGAUGUUUCCCUGGCAAAACAGCUCCGCCGGAGCCCUAGAUUGGUUCCGCCAAGGUUCCGCCUCGUGGCGGCGGAGUUUCUCCCGUAAGCUUGCUUAUGAUUUUUUCUCGGACGAAAGACUUCAUAUAGCAGAAUAUGGGCACCGGAGGCCUGCCAGGGGGCCCGCCCAGGGGGGUAGGGCGCGACCCCCACCCUCAUGGCCAGGGUGUGGGCCCCCUCUGGUUAAUUCUUUCGCUAGUAUUUUUUUAUAUAUUCCAAAACGUGCCUCCGUGAAGUUUCAGGACUCUUGGAGUUACGCAGAAUAAGUCUCUAAUAUUUGCUUCUUUUCCAGCCUAGGAUUCCAGCUGCCGGCAUUCUCCCUCUUCAUCUAAACCUUGUAAAAUAAGAGAGAAGAGGCAUAAGUAUUGUGACAUAAUGUGUAAUAACAGCCCAUAAUGCAUAAAUAUUGAUAUAGAAGCAUGAUGCAAAAUGUACGUAUCAGUCUUCCCAGGACAAGCCUCUGACACAUACUUCGAAUUCCUCAUUUAUAUAGCACUGUCACCUGUCUAGGCAUUGCGAAUGCAAGCGUCUGGGACUUACGAUGGAUGUGUUGCAUACUACCGCUCGUCGACUAUCAUCGCAGCGGUCCCCUUAACUCUGUGACCACUUGGUGGUCCUUUCCUUGUUUCUCUUAUGAUUUCUUGGGCAUGUUUGUGCAUGUGACCCAACAUACAAUGUUAUUUUGUUGCACCUAAUUUUUUUAUAUAGACAUGAUGUUGACUUUAUUUAUAAAGUGGGGUGAAAUCCUACUUUGCGAGAGAGAGAGAGAGAGAGAGGGAUUUUCAUCCUGGUUGUGUAAGUGCAUCUAGUGCCCCUUAGUGAUUUUGGUGUAUUCAAGAUUUAUAGGUUAAGGGACUAAUGCGUUUGUGAUUGUACACAGGUCUAUAAGACUAUGAGGAGUUUGAUAUUUACAGAGAAAGUCGACCCCUAAAAAUUAAUGUCUUCAACUGAAGACUUUGGAUUUCUGAAGACUUUGAAAGUGAAUAAAUUGGUGUGACCGUGAAGACUUGAUAUUCAUGCGAGGAACAUGAAGCGUGAGGACUUUUGUUUUCGUAGUUUCAUAUUCUCUUUCUUGAGUCAUAGGAAACAUCGUACACUUAAACGGGGUCGAGGUAAAACUAAGGAAAAGUUUCCAAGUGAUACUCAUCUCAAAAUCCUACACCUACCAACCCCUUCGAGUGAAGCCAUUGGAAAUCUCAUAAAGUUCAGCCAAUUUCUUCAGUGACAGAGACGAAGUUCUUCUGGUCUCUGAGGAAUUUUUCUGACUUAGGAGUUACAAAUUCGCUAAUGCGGAUUGCCUACAAGUGAGGAACAUGAUAGCCCUGAGGAAUUUGAACUCAAAUUUCCGACCGUUGAUGUGCUACGUGCCAGCUGUCCCAAAAUAUCUACCCACCUAACGGUCAUAUCAUUGAAGGGCAUUUAUGUCUUAUCAUGUCGGGAUGCUCCCUAGGCUAUAAAUAGCCACCCCCUACAACCACUAGCUGGUUGGCUGCUCCGCAAGAAACUGACACUUGUCAUUGAGAGCAUCCCAUCCUCCGAGGACUUUGAGCGAAAAUCAUCUAGUGAGGAAAAACCCAAAACCCCAAACCAAACACUGCUACCUCUUGAGCAUCCGUUGGUUUUCCCUUGAAGAGGAAAGGGUGAUGCGGCAAAGUAGCGUAAGUAUUUCCCUUGGUUUUGGGGAACCAAGGUAUCAAUCCAGUAGGAGAUAACAUGCAAGUCACCUAGUACCUACACAAACAAUCAAGAACCUUGCAACCAACGUGAUAAAGGGGUUAUCAAUCCCUUCACGGUCACUCGCAAAAGUGAGAUCUAAUAAAGAUAAUAAGAUAAAUAUCUUUGGUAUUUUCGUUGUAUAGAUUGGAAAGUAAAGAUUGCAAAAUAGUAAACGAGAUGUGAUGUAAAUAAAAGAGAUGCAAUAUAAUAAGAAAGAGACCCGCGGGCCAUAGGUUUCACUAGUGGCUUCUCUCAAGAUAGCAUAUAUUAUGGUGGGUGAACAAAUUACCGCCGAGCAAUUGAUAGAAGAGCGCAUAGUUAUGAGAAUAUCUAGGCAAUGAUCAUGAAUAUAGGCAUCACGUCUGUGUCAAGUAGACCGAGUCGAUUUUGCAUCUACUAUUAUUACUACACACAUCGACCGCUAUCCAGCAUGCAUCUAGAGUAUUGAGUUCAUAAGAACAGAGUAACGCAUUAAGCAAGAUGGCAUGAUAUAGAGGGAUAAACUCAAGCAAUAUGAUAUAAACCCCAUCUUUUUAUCCUCGAUGGCAACAAUACAAUACGUGCCUUGCUGCCCCUACUGUCACUGGGAAAGGACACCGCAAGAUUGAACCCAAAGCUAAGCACUUCUCCCAUUGCAAUAAAUAUCAAUCUAGUAGACCUAACUAAACCGAUAAUUCGAAGAGACUUGCAAAGAUAUCAAAUCAUGCAUAUAAGAAUUCAGAGAAGAACCAAAUAUUAUUCAUAGAUAAACUUGAUCAUAAAUCCACAAUUCAUCGGAUCUCGGCAAACACACCGCAAAAGAGUAUUACAUCAAAUAGAUCUCCAAGAACAUCAAGGAGAACUUUGUAUUAAGAACCAAAGAGAGAGAAGAAGCCAUCUAGCUAAUAACUAUGGACCCGAAGGUCUAGGGUAAACUACUCACACAUCAUUGGAGGGGCUAUGGUGUUGAUGUAGAAGCCCUUCAUGAUUGAUUCCCUCUCCGGUAGAUCGCCGGAAAAGGCCCCAACAUGGGAUCUCACAUGUACAGAAGGUUGCGGCGGUGGAAAAGUGGUUUCGUGGCUCCCCCUGAUGUUUUAGGGUAUAAGAGUAUAUAUAGGCGAAAGAAGUACGCCGGUGGAGCUCCGUGGGGCCCACGAGGGUGGGGACGCGCCUACCUCCCCUGGCGCGCCCUCCUGCCAUGUGGCCGCCUCGCGGAGUUCUAGACUUCAACUCCAAGUCUUUUGGAUUGAGUUUGUUCCAAGAAAGAUCCUCACGAAGGUUUCAUUCCGUUCAGAUUCCGUUUGAUAUUCCUUUUCUACGAAACACUGAAAUAGGCAAAAAAAACAGAAACUGGCACUGGGCCUUCGGUUAAUAGGUUAGUCCCAAAAAUAAUAUAAAAGAGCAUAUUAAAGCCCAUUAAACAUCCAAAACAGAUAAUAUAAUAGCAUGGAACAAUCAAAAAUUAUAGAUACGUUGGAGCGUAUCAAGCAUCCCCAAGCUUAAUUCCUGCUCGUCCUCGAGUAGGUAAAUGAUAAAAAUAGAAUUUUUGAUGUGGAAUGCUACCUAACAUAUUUUUCAAUGUAAUUUUCUUUAUUGUGGCAUGAAUGUUCAGAUCCAAAAGAUUCAAGACAAAAGUUUAAUAUUGACGUAAAAAUAAUAUUACUUCAAGCAUACUAAACAAGCAAUUAUGUCUUCUCAAAACAACAUAGCCAAAGAAAGCUCAUCCCUACAAAAUCAUAUAGUUUGGCCAUGCUCCAUCUUCGUCACACAAAAUGCUCCAAUCAUGCACAACAACGAUGACAAGCCAAGCAAUUGUUUCAUACUUUAGUAUUCUCAAACUUUUUCAACUUUCACGCAAUAUAUGAGCGUGAGCCAUGGACAUAGCACUAUAGGUGGAAUAGAAUGCUGGUUGUGGAGAAGACAAAAGAGGAAGAUAGUCUCACAUUAACUAGGGGUAUCAAUGGGAUUUGGAGAUGCCCAUCAAUAGAUAUCAAUGUGAGUAAGUAGGGAUUGCCAUGCAACGGAUACACUAGAGCUAUAAGUGUAUGAAAGCUCAACAAAAGAAACUAAGUGGGUGUGCAUCCAACUUGCUUGCUCACGAAGACCUAGGGAAAUUUGAGGAAGCCCAUCAUUGGAAUAUACAAGCAAAGUUCUAUAAUGAAAAAUUCCCACUAGUAUAUGAAAGUGACAACAUAAGAAACUCUCUAUCAUGAAGAUCAUGGUGCUACUCUGAAGCACAAGUUUGGAAAAAGGAUAGUAGCAUUGUCCCUUCUCUCUUUUUCUCUCGUCAUUUUUUUGGGCCUUCUCCCUUUUUUAUGGCCUCUUUUUUUUCGUCUGGAGUCUCAUCCCGACUUGUGGGGGAAUCAUAGUCUCCAUCAUCCUUUCCUCACAUGGGACAAUGCUCUAAUAAUGAAGAUCAUCACACUUUUAUUUACUCACAACUCAAGAAUUACAAAUCGAUACUUAGAACAAAAUAUGACUCUAUGUGAAUGCCUCCGGUGUUGUACCGGGAUGUGCAAUGAAUCAAGAGUGACAUGUAUGAAAAAUUAUGAAUGGUGGCCAUGCCACAAAUAUGAUGUCGACUACAUGAUCAUGCAAAGCAAUAUGACUAUGAUGAAAGCGUGUCAUAAUAAACGGAACGUUGGAAAGUUGCAUGGCAAUAUAUCUCGGAAUGGCUAUGGAAAUGCCAUAAUAGGUAGGUAUGGUGGCUGUUUUGAGGAAGGUAUAUGGUGGGUUUAUGCUACCGGCGAAAAGUUGUGCGGUACAAGAGAGGCUAGCAAUGGUGGAAGGGUGAGAGUGCGUACAAUCCAUGGACUCAACAUUAGUCAUAAAGAACUCACAUACUUAUUGCAAAAAUCUACAAGUCAUCAAAACCAAGCACUACAUGCAUGCUCCUAGGGUGAUAGAUUGGUAGGAAAAGACCAUCGCUCGUCCCCGACCGCCAUUCAUAAGGAAGGCAAUCAAAGAAACACCUCAUGCUUCAAAUUUGUCACACAACGGUUACCAUACGUGCAUGCUACGGGACUUGCAAACCUCAACGCAAGUAUUUCUCAAUUUCACAAUUACUCAACUAGCAUGACUCUAAUAUCACCAUCUUCAUAUCUCAAAACAAUCAUCAAGUAUCAAACUUCUCAUAGUAUUAAAUGCACUCUAUAUGGAAGUUUUUAUUAUACCCAUCUUGGAUGCCCAUCAUAUUAGGACUAAUUUUAUAACCAAAGAAAAUUACCAUGCUGUUCUAAAAGACUCUCAAAAUAAUAUAAGUGAAGCAUGAGAGAUCAAUAAUUUCUAUAAAAUAAAACCACCACCGUGCUCUAAAAAGAUAUAAGUGAAGCACUAGAGCAAAAUUAUCUAGCUCAAAAGAUAUAAGUGAAGCACAUAGAGUAUUCUAAUAAAUUCCGAUUCAUGUAUGUCUCUCCCAAAAGGUGUGUAUAGCAAGGAUGAUUGUGGUAAACUAAAAAGAGAAGACUCAAGUCAUACAAGGCGCUCCAACCGAAACACAUAUCAUGUGGUGAAUAAAAAUAUAGCCUCAAGUAAAGUUACCGAUAGACGAAGACGAAAGAGGGGAUGCCUUCCGGGGCAUCCCCAAGCUUAGGCUUUUGGUUGUCCUUGAAUUUUACCUUGGGGUGCCUUGGGCAUCCCCAAGCUUAGGCUUUUGCCAGUCCUUAUUCCAAAAUCCAUCAAAUCUUUACCCAAAAACUUGAAAACUUCACAACACAAAAUUCAACAGAAAAUCUCAUGAGCAUCAUUAGUAUAAGAAAUAAACCACCACUUUAAGGUACUGUAACUCAUUCUUUAUUUAUAUUGGUGUUAAACCUACUGUAUUCCAACUUCUCUAUGGUUCAUGCCCCCCGAUACUACUCAUAGAUUCAUCAAAAUAAGCAAACAACACACGAAAAACAGAAUCUGUCAAAACAGAAUAGUCUGUAGCAAUCUGGAUGUUUCGAAUACUUCGGUCACUCCAAAAAUUCUGAAAAAAUAGGACGACCAGGAUAAAAAGUAUAUUGAUCUACUUCAGUUGGAUUUGGUAUUUUAUCCCUCUCUGGUAAAAAAUGAUAAUUAUUUACGUGAGCAUAUACUUUCUGUUUUUAUCAGCAAGAUCAAACAACAAUCACCCAAGAAGAUCCUAAAGGCUUUACUUGGCACAAACACUAAUUAAAACAUAAAAAACACAAUCAUAACAUAGGAUAGAUGAAUUAUUUAUUACUAAAUAGGAACAAAAAGCAAAAAAACAAAAAUAAAAUUGGGUUGCCUCCCAACAAGCGCUAUCAUUUUAACGCCCCUAGCUAGGCAUAAAGCAAGAAUAGAUCUAGGUAUUAUCAUCUUCUGUAAGCAAUUCUUCAAUUGAACACAUAUGACCCUUAGGAGGUUCUUUGGUUUUAUCAAUGAUCAAACUCCUAGGCAAGAAAUCAAGAAAUUAAUUUGUAGCAAAAGGUUCCUUAAUGAUAUCGAAAAAAUUGGGGUGAAUACUUAUUGAUUUAAGGUCUUUAUUUUCUUUACUAGAAGAUUCACCCUUAUUUUUAGGAACAUAGAUAAACUUGGCAACUAUGGUAGGAGGAGGAUUUGAGGUAUUUUUUGUGGAAGGAAAAGAAGAUCCCAAGUUGGUAAUAAUAUCUUCAAGUUUAUCAAUUCUAGUGGAAUCUUGGUCUAUCUUCUCAAUAACUAUGGGUUCCUUUUCCCUAAUAUUUUCCAGAGUAACUCCUACGUUAGAUCCAUAUUGGGUAAUGUGGUUGUGGAUCUUUUUAUCCAAAUUUUCGAUUAACUCUAUAGUGGCAAUUUUAUUUUCAAUGAUAUCAAGCCUUUGCAUCACAUGUUCCAAAGUUAAAAUAGUUCCAUUGACCAAAAGAGGUGGUGGGCCAAACAAAUCUAUCACAGCAUUAUAAGAAUCAAAAGUAUGGCUCCCCAAGAAAUUUCCUCUCGUAAUGGUGUCAAGAACAUAUCUAUUCCAAGGAGUAAUUCCUACGUAAAAAUUGCAAAGAAGAACGAAAGUGGAUUGCUUUUUAGUAGAUCUAUUUUGAGCAUUGCAAAUUCUAUACCAAGCAUCUUUUAAAUUUUCUCCCUCCCUUUGUUUAAAAUUGAGAACUUCAUUAUUGGGAGUAUAAACAGUGAUAGGUGGCCUAGCCAUUACGGCGAAACAAACGAUCUAACACAAAACACACAAAGGGCAAGCGAAAAGAGGCGAACGGAAAAGGGGCGAAGAAAAGGCAAAGGUUUUUGAAAAUCGUUUUAGAAGUGGGGGAGAGGAAAACGAGAGGCGAACGGAAAAUAGUGUAAUGCGAGGGAGAAGAGUUUGUGAUAUGUACUUGGUAUGUCUUGACUUGAGCGUAGAUCUCCCCGGCAACGGCACUAGAAAUCCUUCUUGCUACCUCUUGAGCAUGCGUUGGUUUUCGCUUGAAGAGGAAAGGGUGAUGCAGCAAAGUAGCGUAAGUAUUUACCUUAGUUUUUUAGAACCAUGGUAUCAAUCCAGUAGGAGAUAACAUGCAAGUCACCUAGUACCUGCACAAACAGUCAAGAACCUUGCAACCAAUGCGAUAAAGGGGUUGUCAAUCCCUUCAUGGUCACUCGCAAAAGUGAGAUCUAAUAAAGAUAAUAAGAUAAAUAUUUUUGGUAUUUUUGUUGUAUAGAUUGGAAAAUAAAGAUUGCAAAAUAGUAAACGAGAUGUGAUGUAAAUAAAAGAGAUGCAAUAUAAUAAGAAAGAGACCCCGGGGCCAUAGGUUUCACUAGUGGCUUCUCUCAAGAUAGCAUAUAUUAUGGUGGGUGAACAAAUUACUACUGAGCAAUUUAUAGAAUAUUACGUUCAUAUGAACAGAGUAAUGCAUUAAGCAAGAUGACAUGAUGUAGAGGGAUAAACUCAAGCAAUAUGAUAUAAACCCUAUCUUUUUAUCCUCGAUGGCAACAAUACAAUACGUGCCUUGCUUCCCCUACUGUCACUGGGAAAGGACACCGCAAGAUUGAACCCAAAGCUAAGCACUUCUCCCAUUGCAAGAAAGAUCAAUCUAGUAGGCCAAACUAAACCGAUAAUUCGAAGAGACUUGCAAAGAUAUCAAAUCAUGCAUAUAAGAAUUCAGAGAAGAACCAAAUAUUAUUCAUAGAUAAACUAGAUCAUAAAUCUAAAAUUCAUCGGAUCUCGGCAAACACACCGCAAAAGAGUAUUACAUCGAAUAGAUCUCCAAGAACAUCAAGGAGAACUUUGUAUUGAGAACCAAAGAGAAAGAAGAAGCCAUCUAGCUAAUAACUAUGGAUCCGAAGGUCUGUGGUAAACUACUCACACAUCAUUGGAGAGGCUAUGGUGUUGAUGUAGAGGCCAAAGUGAUUGAGCAUCUCUUAAGAGAUUGUUCCUGUGUGGAACCGAUGCUUGUUACCUUUGAGGACUGUGCAUCCUCUAGACGUUUAGGCGUCAUGGUCUAGAGCAUCCAAGAGGAAAUUUUGGAUCGCUGGGUGACCGAGUUUGUGAAGGUUUGGAAGUCACCUGAAGACUUACCACGAGUGAUUGGACGAGGUCUGUGUGACCUUAGCUCAAGGAGAAUAUAGUGAGGACUUUGUGUCCGGGACUGUGUGUCCUCGGGUUUAAAUACCUAGCCACUCCAACCAGACGUACAACUAUCACAUCAGUUGGAACUGGUCUACCAAAUCAUUGUCUUCAUCGAGCUAACUGGUUCUAUUUCCUCAACCCUUCCAUUUCCUCAUUACUGUGUUGUGUGCUUGUUCAUAUCUGUUUGAAGACUUUGAGUGAAGACUUUCUCAAUUUCCUCAGUUCAAUUUCUUCAGUCUGUUUGUCUUCAUCCUGCUUUAUCCUAUGCCUACGCUUUUUGUACUCUCUGUUUGUUUUCAUUUCGUCAUGAUGUCCAUGCUUAUGUUAUGUUAUGUCUGCAUCUGAGUACUUAUUCUGCUGCAAAUAGUUCUUCGCUUAGGAAUUUCCUCACCCUGUAAUUCCUCAGUGAAGAAUUCAUAAAAAUCGCCUAUUCACCCCCCUCUAGUCGACUUGACGCACUUUCAAUGGGUAUCAGAGGAAGGUACUCCCUUAUUCUGUGUGAUUUUGGUUUAACCGCCUGGAGUUUUAGUUAUGUCGACCACAGGAAUGAAGACAGUGACAUGCCCCAUCUUUGACGGUCAUGAUUAUCCCAAGUGGAAGGCCAUGUUGAAGAAGCGCCUCAUGGCGAUGAACAACGAGCUCUGGACCGUCACUGAGAUUGGUCUUACUUACCUAUGCAAUAUGGUGGAGGCUGAUGAUAUUCGCAAGUACACUCUACUUAACCUCAUAGCAAAGGAGAUCAUCUGCUCCGGCUUGUCCCAAAAUCAGUUCAGGAACGUUGUGUAUCUCUGCCAUGCGCAGCUCAUCUGGGACCGACUCUCUGAGGUCUAUGAAGGUCAUAGAUCUCACCAUGAUCCCUGGUUUGAGGAUUUCAUGGAAUCGCGCAAGGCUAUGACUUCCAAUCCAGAAUCAUCAUCCUAUGCACCAUGCCUUAUGGCAAAAGGUUCCAAGGUAACCGAAUGCUACUUAUCUGAGUCUAGUGAUGAUGAAUUUGGACCCAGUUAUACCAAACUUGCUUCCCUUGCCACUAAACAACAAAGAGCUUUGGAAAAAGUUCAAAACAUGCUAGAUGAGAGCGAUGAUAUGUUGGGUGAAGAAAUGGAUCGUUCCAAAGAUUUGGCUGAAUGUCUUCAGAGACUUCAGACUGAGUUUGAUAAUCUUUAGAGUCAUCAUAACACUCUCUUAUUUGAUCAUGAGAAGCUUUCUUAUGAAUUUCUUCAAAGAAAGCAAGACCUUGAGCAGUUAAGAGUGAGUUAUGAAGAUCUUCAAAAGGAGUGUGAUUCAUUACUUGCUCAACAAAUCAGCAUUGCUCAGGAAGAAUUUAUUUCUCCAUGUUUGAAAUGCAUUGAAUGUGAAUCUGCUAACUCUUCACCUGUAAGUUCAAAUGCUUUUAUUGCUGCAAAUUCUUCAACUGUCUUUGCUAUCACUAAUUCCUCAUCUAAGGAUGCUGCGAGUAUCACUGACCAUGCAGGGAUGAAGGAAUUGUAUGUGACAGGCAUGUACAAAAGCCUUAAAGGGCAUCAAGCACUUUGUGAUGUGCCUAAGAAGCAGAUCCUCAACAGGAACCCUAGGAAAGAGGCUAUUGCCUUUGAGAGGAAACUCAAUGCUGAUGGGACCUACUGGAAGCCUGAGCAGUAUCCCAAAACCUCAUGGGUUGCUGCAAAGGGACCUUCAGUAGAUCCAUCUACUGAAUCUGGCUUUGCAUGUGAAUCUUCAUAUUCUUCUGAUGAGUCAUUUGACUCCAACUAUAAGUUGUUCAAAAAUCAGAAUGGUGAAGUAUUUGCUAGAUAUGUUGGCACUAACUGCAGGAACGGUGCUCCUAUGAAGAAAAUCUGGGUUCCCAAAAGGUGCCUUGAAAGUCUUCAGGUCAAUGUCAUUAUGACACCACCUGUGAAGAAUAGGAAUCCCAGAUCAAAUUCCUCAUAUGGAUCAAAGUCCUCCUAUGAACAUCAUCGUGCUAACACUUCUGUUUCGCAGGGAAGAACUAAGGGCUAUGAAUAUGUGCAUUAUUCUUCAAACCAUUAUGUUCAUAAGUCCUCGAACAAUUUCUCUGCUUAUUCAUAUGCUUAUCCUAACUCCUCUUAUGUGAAACGAAGUGGACUGACUUCUAUGCUACCUUUCUCUUAUGGAGCUCGCAGAAUGAUGAACUCUUUGCCACCCCUUCAGAUGUGGGUGGUGAAGAAAAAGAACUAAACUCUUAUGCAUGGUUAGGUCUCCAGACGAACUUAAACGUCUGAAGAAUUUGCUGGAGACCUGAAUAUGCUUGAAAGGACGCAAGCUAAUCAUGAAGAAAUGAAUUUUCAUUUCUCACGUCCUCAUAUUUCUAUAUCUGUUCUAUUGCUUGAUGAAAUUGAUAUGAUGAAUUUGAUAUCAUAUUCUUCACUGAUGAAGUAUAUGAGUUCAUAAGCUGCACUAAUUCAUCUGCAGGAUGAUAAACCCAAAGCCACUGAGUGGGUCCUCGAUAGUGGAUGUACAAAUCACAUGACUGGUGACAAGAAUCUAUUGAUGGACGCUCCCUUAUCUCCAUCGCAUCUGAAGCAUAUCACCUACGUUGACAAAGGCAAAAGAAAGGUAUUGGGUCUAGGUAAGGUUGCAAUCUCAAAGGAUCGACACAUGGACAAAGUCAUGCUUGUCGAGUCCUUAGGGUUCAACCUCAUGUCUGUCUCAAUGCUUUGUGAUCUUGAUAUGGUUGUUGUCUUUGGCAAGUAUCGUGGAAGCUGACAAUUCCAAAGUCUUUGAAGGCUUUAGGACAUGAGAUUUGUAUAUUGUUGACUUCUCUGUAGGACCACAACCUGCUAUAUGUCUACUUGCAAAAGCUUUAGAAGGCUGGCUAUGGCAUCGACAUUUUGGUCAUGUUGGCAUGAGGAACUUGCACAUGCUCGCGAAGAAGUAGCAUGUCAUUGGCAUCAAGGGUGUCAAAUUCCUCAAGGAUCAUUUGUGUGGAGCUUGUGAAGCUGGAAAGAUGACCAAGGCCAAGCAUCCCUCAAAGACCAUCAUGACUACCACUCGUCCAUUCGAAUUGCUUCACAUGGAUCUAUUUGGCCCUACUCAUUAUGCGGCAUUUACCAAUGCUGCAUCUCUAUAUGGCUUUGUCAUUGUUGAUGAGUAUUCUCGUUAUACAUGGGUGCAUAUCAUCACUUACAAAACGGAAGUGCAUGAAGUCUUCAAAUGAUUUUCCUCGAGGGCUUCAACCAACUUUGGUGUGAAGAUCAAGCACAUCAUAAGUAACAAUGGAAUUGAGUUCAAGAAUACCUGUCUUGAUGACUAUCUUGAUGAACUUGGUAUUACUCAUGAGUUAUCUUCUCCUUAUACUCCUCAGCAGAAUGGCAUCGUGGAGAGAAAGAACAGGACUCUUGUUGAGAUGGCCCGCACUAUGCUUUAUGAGUACAAGAUGCCUCCUCGCUUCUGGCCUAAGGCAAUUGAUAUUGCGUGCCACAUCAUCAACAGGGUAUAUCUUCACAAAUUCUUCAGAAAGACCUCAUAUGAACUCCUCACUGAUAAGAAACCCAAUGUGAGUUAUUUCAAAGUCUUCGAUGCUAAAUGUUGGAUUAGAGAUCCUCAUCACAACUCAAAAUUUGCACCGAAAGCACAUGAAGAUUUUAUGGUUGGUUAUGGUAAGGACUCGCACACCUACAGAGUAUUCAACACCUAUCACCACAAGGUUGUUGAAACUGUAGAUGUGUGGUUCGAUGAAACUAAUGGCUCGCAAAGAGAGCACCUACCUCUUAUGCUAGAUGAAAUACCACCUGAGGAAUCCAUUAAGUUCAAGGCUACUGAGGAUGCCAUUCCUACCGAAGAAUCUGCUGAAGAAGUCAUUCCAGACCGUGAAGAACAUCAUGCUGGUGCACCUGAGGAAAAUGGAUUUGAAGAAAAUGCUGACCAAUUCCUCCUCGCCAACCAGCUCAUCCUCGCGUUGCAAAUGAAGUGCAGAUUGAGAGAAUCAUCAACGACAUCAAAGCACCAGGUCCACUCACAGGCUCAAAAGCUUCACAUUUGUCUAACUUUUGUGGGCAUUUUGCUUUCGUCUCUAUCACAGAGCCCACUAAGGUAGAUGAAGCAUUUCUGGAGCCUGAGUGGAUUCAAGCUAUGCAAGAAGAAUUACAUCAGUUCAAACUCAACAAUGUCUGGGAGCUUGUUAAGCGACCAGAUCCAUGCAAGCACAAUAUCAUCGGCACAAAGUGGAUCUACCGCAACAAGCAAGAUGAAAAUGGCCUUGUGGCGAGGAAUAAGGCAUGACUGGUAGCUCAAGGCUACACACAGGUUGAAGGAAUUGAUUUUGAUGAAUCUUUUGCACAUGUUGCUAGACUUGAGGCUAUUCGCAUAUUACUUACUUAUGCUAACCAUUAUGAUAUCAUCUUAUAUCGAAUGGAUGUGAAAGUGCAUUCCUCAAUGGUAAGCUUGAGGACGAAGUAUAUGUUGCUCAACCCCCAGGUUUUGAAGAACCAAAGCAUCCUGACAAAGUCUUCAGACUCAAUAAGGCCCUCUAUGGCCUCAAGCAUGCCCCUCGGGCGUGGUAUGAUACUUUGAAGGAAUUCCUCAUGAAGAAAGGCUUCAAACCUGGUUCACUUGAUCCCACUCUUUUCACCAAAACUUAUGAUGAUAAAUUAUUCGUAUGCCAAAUAUAUGUUCAUGAUAUCAUCUUUGGCUGUACUGACCAAUGUCACAGUGAUGAAUUUGCCUAUAUAUGAUGAGUGAAGAAUAUCAAAUGUAUAUGAUGGGAGAAUUGAAAUUCUUCUUAGGUCUUCAGAUAUGUCAACAACACAAUGGCAUCUUCAUAUCGCAGGAGAAAUACCUCAAGGAUGUAUUGAGGAAAUUCGGCAUGCAAGAUUGCAAAGGCGUUAAAAUCCCUAUGCCCACAAAUGGCCAUCUUUGCACUAAUGAAAAUGGUAUUGACUUCGAUCAAAAUGUAUACCGCUUCAUGAUUGGCUCUUUAUUGUAUUUAUGUGCAUCUAGGACAGAUAUUAUGCUUAGUGUUUGCAUGUGUGCCCGCUUUCAAGCUACACCGAAGGAAUCACACCAUAAGGAUGUGAAGCAUAUUCUUCGAUAUCUAGCUCACACUCCAACACUUGGAUUAUGGUAUCCCAAGGUCUCGGCUUUUGAUCUCAUUGGAUAUUCUGACUCUGACUAUGCUGGUGAUCGUGUGGACCGCAAGUUAACAUCAUCCACAUGACAUUUCCUCGGACGAUCCUUGGUCUGUUGGUCCUAUAAGAAACAUAACUACAUAUCACUUUCUACUACUGAAGCUGAGUACAUUGCUGCUGGUUCGUGAUGUGCUCAAUUGCUAUGGAUGAAGCAAACCCUCAAGGUAUGCGUCAUCAAUGUGAAGAAUGUGCCACUGUACUGUGACAAUGAGAGUGCCAUCAAGAUUGCUCAUAACCCCGUUCAGCACUCGAAGACUAAGCACAUUCAGACUUGUCAUCAUUUUCUUCGUGAUCAUGUGUUGAAGGGCGACAUCUCCAUCGAGGACGUGAAGACUGAAGAACAGCUAGCCGAUACCUUCACAAAGCCCUUGGAUGAGAAGAGAUUUAGCAAGUUGCGGUGUAAGCUAAAUAUCUUAGAAUAUUCGAAUGUCCUUUGAAAAGGACACACACCCUAACACUUAUGCAAAAUUGAUGACUUAGAUGUGCAACACACGAAGUAAAAAUUUUGUUUAAUCAAUGAAGACUAACCCUCUAAGUGUGAAGAAAUUAACGAAGAAUUUGAUUCUCAGAGCCCUACGACAAUUGUACACGGCGUCUGAAAUUAGCAUUCUUAUACGUACGGUGGGUCACACCACCAACAAAAGUUGAAAAUAUUCAAUUUGAGUAUUUCUUCAGUUUUGAAAUUCCUCAGUUGUUCAAUUUCUUCAACUUUGCAUUAUCUUCACUAUUUCCUUCAUUUUUCUUCAUUGGUUAUAUAUACAUAUAUGAGUUUAUGUCCUCUACAACAUUCACUUAUUGCUAUAUCCUCAAGUUGCUUUUUCUGCUAAGUGAAUGUGAUCGGACCCUUCCCUCUCUAUGCUAACUCAACCCAGUCUGUUCACAAAUUCUUCAUGUGCGUUCUGUUUGAAACACGUUCAAAAUCUUCACUAUGUCCUUGUCAGCUGAAGAAUUUGCGAACGAAACCUUAAGAUAUUCUAAUCUGAAUUUUUGCCUUUACCGCUCAUAUCGCUCCACAUUCCACGAUAUGUUUAUUCUAUUUACCCACGAUCUCACACGAUCUCCACCUCUCUAUACAUGGGUGACACAUGUCACAAGAAUGAGAAGGGUCAGGGGCACGUUCAUCCAUUUUCUUCGGGCGAACGGUUUUUAACCUCGGCUAUAUAUACCCCUCACCCUCCUCAGACUGUUUUUACUCCACUCGACCUCACUCCCUUGCUCGAGCUCUCAAAACCUAGUGCCGCCGCUACUUCCAUCAUCAAUGGUGAGUAAGGGCUUCGCUACCUCGACCUCGUCGCCAUCGUACUCGCGCCGGCCGCGGAUUUCUUCACUCUGCCGCCGCCAUAGUUGUCUUCCUCAGCCAAGUUAGGGCGUGGAAGAUCUGAACCGACGAGCUUCGAAUAUACUAUUCUCAGUUCGUCGUGUGCUUCGUCAAUGGUAAUUAAAAGUCAAUUUUACUGCCCUUAUUGCUUCCAGUGAUUUCUACAAAAUCUUCAAAAGGUGUCUAUUCUUCAAUCUUCACACUCUGAACACCUCACACAAACAACUACUCUUGAUUUGUUUCUCUAAGCAACGUUUUUCUUAAAGAUUCCUCAUGUGUGGAUUUUCAAUAUAUACAACUCUGGAACCUAAGACAAAGAACGCUUAGUGAAAUUCCUCAAGACACAUCUGGUCAAAUUCCUCAAACUUGUUCAUUUUGCAAAAACUUCUAAGAAUGCAUAUGAUCUCUCCAAAUUCUUCGCACCUAUACUCUGUUCACAGGUACACAUGACUGCUACUGAAUCACUAGGUUCUCAUAAACUUACCUCAUUUGCAACGUUCCACGAAGAAAAGUUGCAUACCUCUUUAGAGAAUUCUGUUGUUCAGAUUCCUCAGCUAAAGAAAAUGGCUGACAGCAAGAAACCUCAUAAGGGAGGGAAGAAACUUGAAGUCAACACUGCGUUUGAGAUUCCUGGUGACAUCUAUGCAGGGUACUACACUCCUCCUCAUGAAACAAAGAAUGAGCACAAAGUGCGCAUUCAGAAGAUAGAGAGGAGAUGGGCCAGAGAAUGGAGGGAGUAUCGCUAUGUCACUCCAAAGUACACGAAGAAAUUCGUUGUACACCCUCCAUGCCCAAGACCUCCACUGGUACCUGGCCAAGAAGCUGAUCCCUCAAGCAUCAGACGUGGUGAGGAAUUUCCCACUGAAUGGGCCAAGCGUCAAGAUAAACUGGCCAAAAUGGCAAAAGAGGCAGUGAAGAAAUUCUAUGAAGAUUCAGCUGUUGCCACUACUGAGGCCUCUGCUAGCAAGCCUAAGAACGCUAUGCCCAAGAAGCCCGCACACAUGCCAAGUGUUUCUCCUUCAAUGCCCUCACGGCCAAGCACCUCAGCAAUGCCCUCACGACCCAGUUCUGCAAAGCCCUCACAGAAAAUUCCUCAUUCUGCUCCUGCUCCUCCUCAGUCCUCAGCUCCUCCGGCAAAGUCCUCAGCCAUGUGCAUCUUGCCUCGUGUCAAAGGACCAUAGGCAAAUCAAUUGCCUCAGGAGCCUCUGCAAGUUCUUCAGCUCCUCCACAUUCCUCAACAGGCCCACCUUGCUAAAGAUCAAGGCCACUGCUGGACGAGGCACUAGACCAAGUCCUCACAAGAAGCAGGUUACCUUUCAAGUACCGUCUAGUGAUGACGAAGCUGAUGAUGAGGAACUCGCCGAAAUCAUCAGAGACAGACAUCAAAGGGCCGCUAGAGCCAAAGGCAGUAAUGCGCCAUUGAUGCUGGAUCUAAAGUUGAUCCUCGACUUCAUCGACUUAUUUCAUAAGGACCCCAACACACCUUUGCCUGAGAUGAACCUCACUCCUGGUCAAAGUCAUAUGUUGACUGCCUUCAUUGGUGAGGAAAAAUGGAAAUAUGAACAGGGGAGGAGGGUAAAGAAAGCACAGUAUAAGAAAGAGCGCUUUCUGAAGCAAAAUGUGUUGACGCUUUCACCUGAUAAACUCGUAGCUCUGCAAUCAGAGAUCAAGAAUCUCAGUGAUGAAUUUGAUCGCUACUAUGCUGACUGGCUUGGAGCCAAAGUCAGAUUUGUGAAGUUAACUGAAAAAUUCACUUCAAAUGAUGAAAUCUCUUCAGGGUGAAGCAUCUGCUUAGCCCACUGAAGAACAUGCCAGCACCGCUGAUGAAAAUCAUGCUGCUAAUGAAACUGCUAGUACUAGGGCUGAUGACUCUAUUCCAGCCACUGAUGAAAUUGCCAGGGCAACCACUAGAGUUGUGCCUAAGGAACAAUCCAGGCCAGCUGAGACAUCAACCACUGAGCCUAAAGAAACCGAACCAACCAGGCCAACUGCAUCAGUUGUGCCUGAGGUUAAUGAACAAAUUUCCUCUGCUCCUCCUGCACCAACACCAAAUCCGGUUCUUCCUUCUGCAUCAGAAGCGAAGAAAACCAAGGCGGCGGAGCGAGUAGCAGUGAAGAAAAGGAAAGCAUCAGCUUCAUCAGAUUCUUAAGCCCCGAAGAAGAUGAAGACAUUGAUCAGCUCUUUUGAGAAUCCUAUUGAUGAUGUUCCUGUCUCCAGUAUGCCAUCAAAGGAACUCGUUCCCUUUGGUGAAGAUUAUGUGAUCCCAAGAGGAUCUGAUGAAGACGUUCCUUCUGUUGCUUCAUUAGAGCAGUUGGAUGAAGAAAUUGAAGCGGAUAAUAUCCCUUCAACCCCGGUUGUCUCAUCGCCUAUGCCUCAGUUCACAGCUGAAGAGGCAGGCGUUGAAGAAUUGAAUGAAGAAGAUGAAGACUUGGACAUUGGAUGCUCUACUCCAGUGCUGAAUGAUGAUUAUUGGGGUAGUCAGCACCCCAACUCACCACUCUUCACACCACUGCAACAAAUUCCUCAGUCCCCGGUGCACACUGAAAUUCAAAUGGGUUCUAAAGAACAUCACUCCACUCCUUCCAUUCAUGAAGAAAUUCCAGCCACUAGUGCUGAUGUUAAAGUCGAUGAAGAAUUGAAGACCCAGGCUGCUACUGAAGCAGAAACUGAAAUUCCUCAGCAUGUGGUUCCUGAGAAUAUGAUUCAUGAGGUUGUGAUGACUUUGACUGACACUCAUCAGCCCAAGUCGAAGAAUCCCUACUCCAAGAAGCAGAACUUCAAGGCUCAUGAUUUCUUCCAUGAGCAUGUAUUCUUCACAAAUUACAAUCCGUAUGAUUCUGCUCGUCUGCGAAGGAAGCGUUUCUGGACCGCAAGCCAAGCCAACUUCUAUUCUUCAUUGCUUUUUGAUAAGGACAAUGUAUUUGAUCAUGAGCAUAUUCCUCAUGUAGACAUGGAAUCACUGCCUUACUUCACACCAGUCCUCAAUGUGCUUCAUGAAGCUGGGCUACUAAACCUCUGCACAGACAUCACAGACUAGAAUGAAGAGCUAAUUCUUUAGUUCUACGCAACGGUGCACAUCACAAGAAAUGCUGAAGAUGUGAAUUCUUGGGUGUUGGACUGGAAGACAGAAAACACUCACUUCAAAGCACCGGCCUUUGAAUUGCUUCAUGCCCUGCCUGUCAGUCCUCCCCUUGAAGCUGUAUGUUGUAUAUAUCAUAAACCUGAGCUAUCUGACCAUUACAUGCAAGUACUGAUGAAAUCUCUGAAGCCUGGUCAAGCCCCCAAGGACCAAUUUCCUUGUGAAGGAAUUGAUGUAUGUGCCACGGACUGUCUAUCGCAUUCUGACCAAGACGUUGAGUCAUAUCAAAGGCCACGACUCGAAUGAAGAAGAGGUCGUUGGCAUCAUGAAGAAUCUACUUUUCAACAUCAUUCAUGGCGUUCCAAUCAACUACCAUGAUUUCUUCAUGAGGACUCUGGCAAAUGUUGCAUUAUCGCCUUUUGAGUUGAAGCCUUAUGCUCCUUGGAUUAUGAGAUUGCUCAGAAUAAGGUCUUCAAUCAAUUUCAAGGAUGACUUUCAAAAUCAUCUGAGCUACUUGCCCCAAAUAGAAGUCCUCAAGCGGACAUUUUCCUCAGCUAAUGAGAAGGGCAAGGCACCUGCUGUUAUUGAUGAAGGCGUUCGUCCAUUGGAUGGUCAGUUCCGCAAAGCUGCAUCUUACUCCACCAAUGAUGACUCUGCCACUCAUGACUCUGCCUCCAAUGCCUCAAAGCAAAAUCCUCAAGGCACAACUCCAAGGGUGAUGACUGAUCAUGAGAUUCUCCUCAGUCUUCACCAGAAGGUCGAUCGCAACCAUAAGUGGGUAAAAAGACAGUUUGGUUCAAUUCUUCAGAACAUGACCAUCACUCAAAAUUUAGUGAAGAAGAACCAUUUCUAUCUGCAUGAAGUAUUUGAUCGCACCUGGGUUGUUCUAUCUCAUCUCUACGAUGAAGAAGAUCUGAAACAGAUGGGCUUCAAGCAGGACUUUGACUGGUCUCAGCCACCGUCGAAGAAAUUCAAGAAAGUCAAAGUUCCUCCCUUGGUGGCCACAUCGUAUUCUUCAUUGCGCGAGACUGAUGAGCAUGAAGAUUUGAACGACACUGCGGCAGUACCUACUUCAAUGGACGACCCCAACAAAGUUGGCGCUCCUCCAUCGACUUCAUGAUGAUGUUCUUCAGGGGCGUUAAUCCUCACUUUUCGUCCCUUUUGGUCAUUCGAUGACAAAGGGGGGAUUUGAGUUAGUCUUCAAGCGGGUCUAUAUAUAUGGGCGUUUUUUUGCUAAGUUACAACUCUCAUUCUUUUUGAAGACUUUGUUGGAUCGAGUUGUAAUCUUAAACCCGAUGGUGGUCUGAUACUUUCGCUGUGUUUUUCUGCAUGCCAUUUCCUCAGUUAUGAUAAUGCACGCAUGCUGAAUUACAUCAGUCACCAUAUUUCAUCAUCCAUUUCAAAUUCUCCAUAUCAUAUGUAAAAUGCAUGUAUGAAUUACAAGAUAUAGGGGGAGAUCUCUAUGAUUCUACUCUUCAAAUGUGCAUUGCCUCAAGAGCAAAUUCCUCACUAUGCACAUCUUCAGGGGGAGUUCUUCUAUAUCUUGCAAUCAAAUUCCUCGGUAUUAGUAAUUACACUUCAUAUGUUUAUCCCCAUUGAAAAAUUAACUUAUAUUAUCAUCUAUCACCAAAAAGGGGGAGAUUGUAAGUGCAUCUAGUGCCCCUUAGUGAUUUUGGUGUAUUGAAGACUUAUAGGUUAACGGACUAAUGCGUUUGUGAGUGUACACAGGUCUAUAAGUCUAUGAGGAGUUUGAUAUUUAUAGAGAAAGUCGACCCCUAAAAAUGAAUGUCUUCAACUAAAGACUGUGGAUUUCUGAAGACUUUGAAAGUGAAGAAAUUGGUGUGACCGUGAAGACGUGAUAUUCAUCCGUGGAACAUGAAGUGUGAAGACUUUUGUUUUCUUAGUUUCAUAUUCUCUUUCUUGAGUCAUAGGAAACACCAUAUUGUUAAAGGGGGUCGAGGUAAAACUAAGGAAAAGUUUCCAAGUGAUGCUCAUCUCAAAAUCCUACACCUACCAACCCCUUCGAGUGAAGCCAUUGGAAAUCUCAUAUUGUUCAGUCAAUUUCUUCAGUGACAGAGACGAAGUUCUUCUGGUGUCUGAGGAGUUUGUUCUGACUGAGGAGUUAGGAAUUCGCCAAUGCAGAUUGCCUACAAGUGAGGAACAUGAUAGCCCUGAGGAAUUUGAACCUCAAAUUUCCGACCGUUGUUGUGCUACGUGCCAGCUGUCCCAAAAUAUCUACCCACCUAACGGUCAUAUCAUUGAAGGGCAUUUAUGUCUUAUCAUGUCAGGCUACUCCCUAGGCUAUAAAUAGCCACCCCCUACAACCACUAGCUGGUUGUCUGCUCCGUGAGAAACUGACACUUGUCAUUGAGAGCAUACCAUCCUUCGAGGACUUUGAGCGAAAAUCAUCUAGUGAGGAAAAACCCAAAACCCCAAAACAAACACCUACAAACCCAAAGUGAUUGAGAAUCACUGAAGAGAUUGUUCCUGUGUGGAACCGACGCUUGUUACCUUUGAGGACUGUGCAAUCCUCCAGACGGUUAGGCGUCAUGGCCUAGAGCAUCCAAGAGGAAAUUAUGGAUCGCCGGGUGACCGAGUUUGUGAAGGUUUGGAAGUCACCUUAAGACUUACCACGAGUGAUUGGGCAAGGUCUGUGUGAUCUUAGCUAGAGGAGAAUACGGUGAGGACCGUGUGUCCUCGGGCUUAAAUAGCUAGCCGCUCCAACCAGACGUACAACUGUCACAGUAGUUGGAACUGGUCUACCAAAUCAUUGUCUUCACCAAGCUAACUGGUUCUAUUUCCUCAACCCUUCCAUUUCCUCACUAUUGUGUUGUGUGCUUGUUCAUAUCUGUUUGAAGACUUUGACUGAAGACUUUCUCAAUUUCCUCAGUUCAAUUUCUUCAGUCUGGUUGUCUUCAUCCUGCUUUAUAUUGUGCCUAUGCUUUUUGUACUCUGUGUUUGUUUUCAUUUCGUCAUGAUGUCCAUGCUUAUGUUAUGUUAUGUCUAUAUCUGGGUACUUAUUCUGCUGCAAGUAGUUCUUUGCUUAGGAAUUUCCUUACCCUGUAAUUCCUAAGUGAAGAAUUCAUAAAAAUCGCAUAUUCACCCCACCUCUAGUCGACUUAACGCACUUUCAGGUUGCCAAGAUCAACUAUCAAAGGCCAGCAUAUUAUAAAUGAGACAAUGCCUUCAAUAAGCUAACGAUGCAAGUUUGCCACUGCUGUGUCAAACCAAUCAAGGCUAGAUUCAAUUAACCGUGGAACAGAGAAAUUCUUGUAUUACUGUCGGUGUCAAAACCGGCGGAUCUCGGGUAGGGGGUCCCGAACUGUGCGUCUAAGGCGGAAGGUAAUAGGAAGCAGGGGACAUGAUGUUUUACCCAGGUUCGGGAACUCUUGAUGGAGGUAAUACCCUACGUCCUGCUUGAUUGUUCUUGAUGAUAUGAGUAUUACAAGAGUUGAUCUACCACGAGAUCAUAGAGGCUAAACCCUAGAAGCUAGCCUAUGGUAUGAUUGUAUGUUGUCCUAUGGACUAAACCCUCCGGUUUAUAUAGACACCGGAGGGGGAUAGGUUUACACAAGGUCGGUUACAAGGGAGGAGAUUUACAUAUCCGUAUUGCCUAGCUUGCCUUCCACGCCAAGUAGAGUCCCAUCCGGACACGGGACGAAGUCUUCAAUCUUGUAUCUUCAUAGUCCAAUAGUCCGGCCAAAGGAUAUAGUACGGCUUUCCGGAGACCCCCUAAUCCAGGACUCCCUUAGUAGCCCCUGAACCAGGCUUCAAUGACGAUGAGUCCGGCGCGCAGUAUUGUCUUCAGCAUUGCAAGGCGGGUUCCUCCUCCGAAUACUCCAUAGAAAAUUUUGAACUCAAGGAUAGUGUCCGGCUCUGCAAAACAAGUCCACACCCCACCGUAGAGAGAAUAAUAUUUCCAUAAAUCUAAUCUGUUGACACGUUUUGGUAGCACAACAUCACGUCACGGCCCGGUCCUUAUAUGAACCGUUUUUCUCAACCAGCGUUGCGCAUAUCGUGACGCGGUUUUUCUGACACGUCUCGUCAAAGCAGAGAUCGUGUCCCCCUUAUUACGGGAUUCUCAUCAAUACGGACAUGGGUAAUCCAAUCGUGCCUAUUGGUAUGACUCCUAGAUCUUAGGUAAGUCCCAAACGGCCACAAGGAGGAUGCUUGAUAUUCACCUCUUUUAUAAAGAGGGCGAGGCCUGUCCUUCUUUCCCUCUCGUGCUCAAUCGAAUCCUUCCCCCGCCUCGAGUUCUAACACCCAAAGCUCAGGUCAGGCGCUUCGGACCUUCAACUAUGCCCGGAUCCAACCUUCAAGGUCGGUGGAUGCCUUCCUCUAUCACAGAGGAGGACAUCAAGAAGCUGAGAGAGGCCAGAUAUCUGACCACCGAAAUUUCGCAUAGGUUGCCUGCCCGAGGGCAGGUCAUCCCUACUCCCGAACCCACCGAGAGUGCCGUUUUCAUCUCCCACUUCCUCCGAGGACUAGGCCUUGCUCUGGUUCCCUUUGUUAGGGGUCUUAUAUUCUAUUAUGGGCUGGAUUUCCAUGACCUGGCCUCGGAUUCCCUUCUUCACAUCUCGUCAUUUAUUGUCGUAUGUGAGGCCUUCCACCGCCUUACCCCUCACUUCGGCCUGUGGCUCAAGACCUUCGAUGUGAAGCCAAAGAUGAUCGAGGGUCGGCACGCAGAGUGCGGAGGUGCCUUAAUAAGCAAAAUCGCUGAUGCUCCAUGGCCAUAGGGUUCCUUCCUAGAGGUGUCCAGACUGUGGCAGCGGGAGUGGUUUUACAUCAUAGCUCCUCAAAGUGCCAAGUGGGUAGCCGCCCCCGCCUUUCGCUCGGGACCCCCAUCGCAACUGAUGUCAUGGAUCAGCAGGGGGCUGAGCUGGGGUCCAGCAAAGGACGUGCCAAAUUGCAGAGCCGUAUCCGAGAUCUCUUUGAGAGAGAUUUCAGGCUGGUUAUGGUGAUGCAAGUUAUGCUAGUUCGUCGAGUCCAUCCUUGCAAACGUUGGCCCCUCCGUAUGUGGGAAUUCAACCUAGAAGGACCGCAAGCUAUUUAGCAUUUCCUCGGCAUGACGCUCGAAGAGAUGUACAAAUCAUUCUUCGGACCCCAAAUAAAGUGUCCGGACACCACCGAGGAUGUGGGUUUGAGCUGCAACCGCCCUACUACCCAAGUAAGUGAUCCCAUGGCCGAACCCGUUGUCCUUCUGUUUAUCAUAGCAUCAUUCUAAAGAGUCGAUCUUUGACCAGGACUGGAUAGGAAAGGCAAAUAUGAUCAGGUGUUCGACCCCCUUCCUGAGGGCUUGGACAAUCCGGUACUGGACAAGAUGCUCGAGCCGGCGCCUUAUCUAGUGCCCUCAAAGGAAGAUGAAGGGGGGGAAUAAAGAGGGCGAAAGCGGGCCUCACCCGCUACUUACUCCAACCGGGGGAAUGAGCGCCUCCGCGAGGGAGGAUGACCAUGAGGAAGAAUCUGACAUUCUCUCUCCCCGGGGAAGGAAGAAGACUACCUCUGAAGAUCCGAAAACUAAGGUUUCCAAACGGGAGAAGAAAUCUUCGCCAGAGGGUCCUGCCUCGGAGGGUAUUCUUGCCGCACAAUGUCCGCACGGAGAUCAGCCUUCUAACGAGCUGUAAGUAAUCAAAAAGUACUUAAUAGUGAAAAUAUCCUACCUUACUUCUGACGACAAUAACCGAUGCUUAUAAAUUGUAGUCCGGAUUGUAGCCCUUCUCGACAAAGUUCGUCUUUGGGGGAUCUUCUUCCGAAGAUGAUGGAGAGCGAAACGCCUCCCCCUGACACCCCGCCUCAUGAGGUGGGCGACCCUGAAGUGUCAUCGCGGAGGGUAUCUCCAGAUCCACUAAGGCCAGAGGAUAACCCUUUGGCUACCCGGAAUCCCCAGUAUCCGGCUCCUGAGGAGAGCGGCAGCAAGAGUCCGGAACCGUACAGUGUGCGGUCGGACGCACUGAGGAGAGCGGCAGCUGAGGCUUCGGUGGCUAGCCGAACUAAUGGAUUUGCCGAGCUAAAGCGGCAAAUUGAUGUGGCCGAUGCCGAUAUCGUGCUUGUCAACCAGUGGCUUGACGAGGCACAGGGUAAGUAAUUUAUCUGGUGAUCAUCACAUAAUAAUAGGAGCAUGAUGCCAGUAUCUUUAAUAUGUUGUGACUGCAGAUGGAGCUGCCACCGUGGAGACCCUUCGGGCGGAGCUUGCCCGAACCAAGGAACAAGCAAGGAGUAGCAAUGCAGCCGCUCUAAAGGUGACCGAAGAGUUGAGGGCCGAACAGGCCGCGCAUUGCGAGAGCAAGGAAAGGAUGGCCAAAAUGGCUGUAGAGUUAAAAGAUGCCGCUGACUGUUACCAGCUUCUUGAAGAAGAAAGCCGAGCGAGGGCGACGGACCUGGAGAAGGCCCUGGUAGCUGCCAAGCAAGCCCGUUCCAAAAUUAGAGCGACGAAGGAGGAGCUGCAUCAAUCUGCAGAUAUCGUGUCUGGGAAGCCCUUCUUGUUGCGAACUAAAUUCAGAGAUCCGAAGUAUGCUCCUCUUGACCCAUUAUGGAGUUCUGCGGACGCCUACGUGGAUUUGGCUGUAAGUGCCGCUGAUGCGGCCGAGUACUUCAAGGAUCAGAAAGAUCACGAAGUGGAAAAGCUGUUCUAGUCAUAGUUUCAUGCUCCAGUCCGUCUGCUGCUAUUGAAUGAGCGAAUGGCCGAGUGGGCCGAGCUCCAUAGGUUGUCCGAACUUGCCAUGAAGUCCGUUGUGGAUCAUCUGUGGCCGGGAGGGCCAAGGCCGAAUAGCUAUUUUAGUUUAGUGCAACAAUUCCUUGGUGUCGUGCCGCGCAUCGAUGCUAUGAAGAGAUCAGCAUGCAUAGAGGGUGCGCGAUGGCCUUUGCCCGUGUCAAGACAUACUGGGCGGAGAUGGAGGUCACCACUGUUGCAACACAGGGUUUGGCCGUAGGCCGAGUGUCUGCCGAGCACUACUUUGAAGAAAUUCUUGAAGGCGCUCGUUCGAUAGAGGCUCAGUGCUCGAAGAAUAUUAUGUUCUAGUGACAUGUACUUCCAUUGUAAAAACAAUGUUUUAUUGAGUUAUCAAGGCUGUAUUAAUACUUUUGCCCAAAAGUAUUAUGAUGCCUCCUGUGCGGCCGUUUAUGUAUAUAGGUAUAUAACCUGAAAGUUUGCAGUCGUCGGCUUCCGCCCCCAUGCAUAUAAUGCGGGGGUGUUCGCAGAAAACGUGAAUCCACACUUGAUCCAACAUCUUGGUCCAUUAAGGAGGUGGUAGUGCGGCGAACAAGGCAAUCAGACUAUAUUGCUUUAACACUUUCACUUAGCCAUAGGAGUUUGACGGUGGGGCUACUCUAUAGCCCCUGGUACUUCUACGCUUGUCCGAAUACGGGACGCGUAUGUACAUGACCAGGAAACGGUCCUUUGUUAAUGUGGUGGAAUCCCGAAGAUUUCGCCGAGUCAUCGAGUGGUUGACCAAUCUCUCGCUAUAUCAUGACAGUCAUUUUUCGGCUUUGUCUACUGAGGCGCUCAUCCGGAUGAACCAGGGCACAAUCGCAGUAGUUCUCCCAGUGCUACCUUAGCCGAUAUAACGGAACGUAAGGUACCAAAACGUGGGAGUCGGGCAAACCCAACAUUUGACGAAAGACAUGAUUCGGAGCUGAUGCAUAUAGGGCCAAACUCGCGACGCCGAACACUCCCUAAGGUGUUCGGUCUUUAUAGCAUAUACCAGGCUAAGCAAUGCCCUUAAUAAUAAACCCCAUGUGUCCAGGUACAUGCAAUAUCCUGACGUGGCCACAUGCUAAUAACGUCAGCAUCCUUCUCGGUUGUGUGGAGUAUCCGGAGGAUGUGAGCAACAAGAGACAGUAAAAAAGGUUGACGCAGGGUCUUAAUCUGAAAAGAAACCUUUCGGUGGGUCCCUGCUGCACGUCUGCGCCUGUGUCUCCAUUGUGCCAUGUCCUGGACGGGUGUAGCACGAUUGUCAUCUGUAAAAGGAAAGAACUUAGGUGAAAGUUGACGUGCCAAAAAAGGAAUUGGUUAUUAUCAAUGAACUAUCAAAAUUCAAGAGAAGUCAAGUUGAACCGGGCUGGCCCUGAUUACACGCGGGAAGCCCCUGGUAUUGUCUAUGAGGGUUUGAUCAUCAAACCAACCUCAUGUAUAUGUGAUGGAGCGUCGGACUCGUCUAACCGUGUCUGUGGUCUUGACGACCUGUCAUUUUUUCUGGUUGGUGAGGCCGUCUAGUUCGCGGCUGUUAAAGCCGCCGCAUCCUCUUCCGUGUGUAAAAAAUGUUCGGUAUUUCCGCUAACUGUGAUGAUGCCACGUGGACCGGGAAUCUUAAGCUUGAGAAAAGCAUAAUGCAGUAUUGCAUUAAAACGAGUGAAAGCCGUUCUUCUGAGUAGUGCUUGAUAACCACUUCGGAAUGGAGCGACAUGGAAAGUUAACCUUUCGCUUCGGAAGUUAUCGGGAGAACCGAAUACAACCUCUAGCAGUAGAGAGCCCGUACAGCGGGCCUCUUGGCAUGGUAUUACUCCCUUGAAGGUAGUAUUACUCUGGCUUAUUUGUGUCGGGUCUAUCCCCAUUUUGCGGAAUGUGUCCUGAUAUAUCAGAUUUAGAUCACUGCCGCCGUCCAUGAGGACUCGUGUGAAAUGGUACCCAUUUAUUAUUGGGUCUAACACCAAGGCCGCCAGUCCUUUGUGCCGGAUACUUGUCGCGUGGUCCCUAUGAUCAAAAGUGAUCGGGCAGGCCAACCAGGGGUUGAACUUAGGGGUGACGGGCUCUAUGGCGCGUGUGUCUCGGAGUGCAUGCUUGCUUCUCCUCUUCGUCACAUGGAUCACGUUUACCGUUUUAACCUCUGGUGGGAACUUUUUCUGGCCUCCGGUGCUUUGCUGGCGAGGUUCAUCCUCGUCUUCGCUUGGUGUCUCUUCCCCUUUGUGUUCGGCGUUUAGCUUACCGGCCUGCUUGAAGACCCAACAUUCUCUAUGGGUGUGAUUUGCAGGUUUGUCGAGGGUGCCGUGAAUCUGACAAAGCUUGUCAAGAAUCUUGUUUAGGCCAGAUGGUGCUUCUCUGCUGCCUUUGAAAGGCUUUUUCCGCUGGCCUGGUCGAGAGCCCCUGAAUCCGGCGUUUACUGUCGUAUUAUCUGGGCUACCUUCUUUAUUUCGAUGCUUGUUUUUGUUGCGUCGUGGUUUUCCAUUGCCAUCCCUGACUUCUAAUGUGCUUGGGUCGCUGGUGCUGCUACGGGCCAACCAGCUGUCUUCGCCCAUGCAAAAGCGGGUCAUGAGGCUUGUUAGGGCUGCCAUUGUUCUCGGUUUUUCUUGGCUGAGGUGUCUGGCGAGCCAUUCGUCUCGGACACUGUGUUUAAAAGCUGCUAAGGCUUCAGCGUCCGGACAGUCAACGAUUUGGUUCUUCUUGGUGAGGAAACUGUUCCAAAGCUUUCGUGCGGACUCUCCGGACUGUUGGAUUAUAUGACUUAAAUCGUCUGCAUCCGUAGGUCGGACAUAAGUCCCUUGAAAAUUAGCCCGAAAAGGGUCCUCGAGCUCCUCCCAACUUCCAAUUGAGUUUUCGGGGAGGCUUUUCAGCCAGUGCCGAGCUGGCCCUUUAAGCUUGAGGGGAAAGUAUUUAAUGGCAUGGAGAUCGUCUCCGUGAGCCAUAUGAAUAUGGAGGAUAAAGUCCUCGAUCCAGACUCCAGGGUCUAUGGUCCCGUCGUACGCCUCUAUGUUCACUGGUUUGAAUCCUUCUGGGAAUUUGUGAUCCAGCACCUCAUCUGUAAAACAUAGGGGGUGUGCGGCACCCCUGUAUUGGGAUAUGUCGUGGUGUUCGAACGGUUGUAGUAUUCAGUUUUGAUUUUGUGCCGAAGCGCGCUUCCUAGAUCCAUAGAUGGAUCUGGUCGCGCUGGAUUUUUGGCGCAAGUUCACAUGUAGAUCGUGUGUUGACUUAUGUGUGACUUUGUUAGCCGCUCUAUCGCGGUUACAAGGUGGUGGAUCCGGCCGGUUGGCCGUAUCACUUUUCAGCUGUGUGGGCUCUAAGGCCUCAUCGUCGAAUUCAGGCAGUAGCUUGCGCUUUGGAUAGCUAUUUGUGUGGUAACUUCCACCAUACUUUGUUUCGUUGUCGAGCACUUUGUUCCACCUGUUGUUGAGCAUAUCUUGUGCGGCCUUAAGCCUUUGCCUCUGCUUCAUCAGGCUCCUCGCUGUGGCAAUAAGCCUUCUGCGGAGGUUCUCUUGCUCCAAGUGCGUGUCCGGGAUGAUGUGUGCAUCUUCGUCCGGACUGUUUUCUUCCCCAGAUGGGGUUUGAUGAGGUUUAUCCUUGGUGUCGCCGUGUUCGGGCGUCGGAUCCGCACUAUGUUCGCCGUUUGCAUCUUGAUCGUGCUCUGCCACCGGGGCGGUGCAGUCGUCGUUUCUUCUAGAGUCGACUGGACUGUUAUUUCCUCUUGCGCUAUUAUUGCUGUUUUUGCUAUGGCGGGACUUAGAGCGGCACCGCUGACGUCGGCGCUUGGGUUGCUUGGAGGGGGCAUCCUCCGCUGUCUCCUCGCCAUUGCCCUCUUUGGGUGUAUCCACCAUGUAUAUGUUAUGUGAUGAAGUGGUUGUCUGGCGCUCUGUGGGCGCUGGUUCCUGCUCGUCUCCUGCAUCUUCGUUCAUGCCGUCGAUAUCUCCGGAGUCAAAGUUAAGCAUGCCGGUUAAGUUGUCGACAGUGGCUACCAAGUGGGUGGUGGGUGGGUAGCGAAUUUCUUCGUCGUCCGCAUCCCAUUCUAGCCGAACAUAGUUCGGCCAAGGUUCUCCUGACAGGGAGAGAGACCUUAAUGAAUUUAGCACAUCGCCGAAAGGCGAGUGUUGAAAGAUAUCCGCGGAGGUGAACUCCAUGAUCGGUGCCCAGUCGGGUUCGACCAGCACAGAUAUUAGGGGCUAGGAGCCCGUGGCCGGGGGUGAAUCCAGUGGUUCGGCAACACGGCUCUCAUAAAGGGUGAAGUCAACGUCUGGCUCUAUUGCCGCUGAGAGCGCGGCCUCCGUGGCGGGGUCUAUCCCUCCGUUCUCGGAUGGCGCGAUUUGCUCCGGAUUGACGGUCGGAAUAGUUGCAGAUGCGGUCUCCCGAAUACUGUCUGACGGCAGAGUUAUAUCAUGCUCGUCGUGACUGUGCGGCACACCUGACAUGGGUUCGAAUCCGUCGAAGAUCAAGUCUCCGCUGAUAUCGGCUGUGUAGUUUAAGUUUCCGAAUCUGACCUGAUGGCCAGGGGCGUAGCUCUCGAUCUACUCCAGAUGGCCAAGCGAAUUGGCCGGCAGUGCGAAGCCACCGAAUACGAAGAUCUGCCCGGGAAGGAAAACCUCGCCCUGGACCGCAUCGCUAACGAUGAUCGAAGGAGCCAUCAAGCCUUAUGGUGACGACACAGUGGAACUCUCAAUGAAAGCACCAAUGUCGGUGUAAAAACCGGCGGAUCUCGGGUAGGGGGGCCCGAACUGUGCAUCUAAGGAGGAUGGUAACAUGAAUCAGGGGACAUGAUGUUUUACCCAGGUUCGGGCCCUCUUGAUGGAGGUAAUACCCUACGUCCUGCUUGAUUGUUCUUGAUGAUAUGAGUAUUACAAGAGUUGAUCUACCACGAGAUCUUAGAGGCGAAACCAUAGAAGCUAGCCUAUGGUAUGAUUGUAUGUUGUCCUACGGACUAAACCCUCCGGUUUAUAUAGACACCGGAGGGGGCUAGGGUUACACAACGUCGGUUACAAGGGAGGAGAUUUACAUAUCCGUAUUGCCUAGCUUGCCUUCCACGCCAAGUAGAGUCCCAUCCAGACACGGGGCGAAGUCUUCAAUCUUGUAUCUUCAUAGUCCAACAGUCCGGCUGUCCGGAGACCCCCUAAUCCAGGACUCCCUCAAUUACUGUCACACGUCGUAGUAAAAUUCUUGUAAGCUACUUACACUUAUGAUAGAAAUUUUGCCUGGUCGUUAGACAAUGUAAUUCUCUAUAUGGGAAAUGCAAUUAUUUCACCCAAAAAAUGUUUCAACUAGUGUGAUUUCUCGAGAGUAGUUGUUUUGUUCUUUCUAUCGCCUUCGUGGGCUUUAUACAUAACUUUAACCCCUUCUUAAUUAAUGAAAACAAGGCAAAGGUUUGCCCUGAGUUUCAGAAGAGAAAAGUUCCCAGUCAGUUAACUGAAAGUAGGAUAGUAACAUAUGUGGAUGCAUCAUAUUUGUCUAGCAGACUGAAACCAAGGUAAUUCCUUUUUCAGAUUGUACAAGAAGAUAGUGUCUUUGAUUCAAUGGAUAUAGAGUUGGCACUUGCGACUAUAUUAGAAUAGGGUUAGUCAUGUCCUACCUAACUACGAUUUGACCAAGGCUCGCACCAUUUGUUAGUUGCAAUUGCUUUAUGAUUGUAUUUCACAAGUUUUGUUAGCUAACUAUAACCCUUUACAUUCAAUAAAGAUCUCGCAUUAGUCACAAGAAAAGUCCUCAACAUGACUUCGAGUGUGCUUGGUUUAGCUUUGGAUUCCAAAAAUCUUAUGUGAGUUAUGAGAAAGUUGUUGUGAGGUGAGAAUUGUGAAAAAGUUGGAACUUUUUUUAGAACGAAGACACCAGAGACGUCCGGCUUUAAAUUAAUAAAGCCCACAACAAAGGCAGCGUGCACAUAAGAAGUAGCAAACAUCCCGGAGACCACACACAACACAAAAGUAACCAGCCUAGAGAACAAAGUGUGUUACAUGGUGUUGCCAGCCAACAUAAGAGCACGCAGGCUUGGGGGAAACAUGUCCAAAAGGGGCUACACUUCCCUAGAUAGCAGCGGCAGAAGACGACGUAGCUCGAGACGCCGAGUAGACGAUGCGGUGGCGGUCAAGAGCAUGGCGAUGAAGAUCAAUGUCCUGAUGUCUUCCCAACGGCGCCCACUUCUGCAAGAAAAUGAUGCAUUUGUAGAUUACGUCGUCGUGGUGGGAGGGGAAAACGCCCUCAAUAGUAAACUUGUUACGAAUUCACCAGAGGGCCCACAACAUUGCAGCCUCACAAGUCCACAUGAUACGGCGAGAGGAGCCCUGAACCAAGGACAGAGACAACACAAGCUCAGAGCGGGAACGUGGAUCCCAAUCCACGCCCGCGGCCUCGCAGACGCGCUCCAAGCGAAGUGCGCCAGAGGGCACCGAAAGAACACAUGGUCCGCGUCUUCCGGGAUACCACACAGAGCACAAGGCCCAGUGGUCGGACCGUUGUGCUUAGCUACAUUAAUGGAGGUAGGGAGGCGGUCUUGGCACAAUUGCCACCGGAAAACCUUGAUUUUAAGCGGAAUGCGGGCCUUCCAGAGCCCCGAGGCAGCUUGAAGGGUAGGGUCGCGAGCUAGCUCUCUAUAGAGAGAGUUAACAGAGAACUGGCCAGAGCUCCUAAGACACCAAAUCCACAGUGUUCGACAAGCGCACGUCAGCGAUCAAAGCUCACAGGCGGUCCCAACUUUCCGUCUCCGGCCCCGAGAGCUCCCUUCUAAAGAAUGGGGAGGAGCUAAGAGCCGAGGCAACCAGUUGGUUGGGCUCAAUCGCGAUGGAUUAUAGAUCACAAAACUCUGACCAGAGGGGUUGGUGGCCUAUCCAAAAGUCGAGCCAGAAGCGUGUGGAUCGGCCAUUAUUAACCGUGAAUUUCGCCCCUUUGGUAAAAAAACAGUUUAAGGGUUUGGAUGGAGUUCCAGAAAGGAGACCCAUGGGUUGAAUCCUGAAAAAAGUUCCUGUUAGGGAAGUACUAGGCACGCAGGAGGUCCAUCCAGAGGCCGGUCUCGCCCUGAGAAAGCUUCCAAAUCCAUUUGCACAUGAGUGUAAUGUUCAUCAACUUGGAGUUGAUGAUCCCGAGGCCCCCUGGGCUUUGGGUCUGCAGACAGCCUACCAUUUUACCAUAUGGUAUUUACAUUUCGCAAAAGAAACAGGCCCUAGGAGUGUCCAUUUUGGUAUGCACCCCAUCAGCCAACAAAAACAGUCCCAUGACAAACAUAGACAGGGAUGGAAGGCUUGAGUUGGUUAAGAUAAAUCUUGCCCCUGAAGACAUAAAUCUCCCUCUCCACGGGCAAACGCGACCCACCACCUUAUUGCAGAGAGGUUCCCAAUCUGCUAUCGAGCAUUUUUCUUAGCGAUCGGGAGGCCAAGGUAGGUAAACGGUAGCUUCCCAAGCUUGCAGUUGAGCAGGUUAGCUACACGUGAACUUUCGGCCGCGUCCAUCCCUAUGGACACCACUUCACACUUGUGGAAGUUUAUUUUUAGCCCGGACAUGAGCUCAAAACACAGAAGAAUGGCCUUAACAGUUGCAAUACUGUGCAGGUCUGGCUCGAAGAGAAGGAGUGUGUCAUUCACAUACUGCAAGUGUGACACACCUCCCGGAAUCAAAUAACCAACCACUCCCCUGAUGUGGCCAGCGCUUCGGGCUUUAUCUAACAUGGCACCCAGGGCAUUGAUACGUCUCCAACGUAUCUAUAAUUUUUUAUUGCUCCAUGCUAUAUUAUCUAGGGAUAAUUAGAUUUAUGCCCCUAGUUGUGUCCCACUCGGCUGUUUUACCCCUAAUUUCCAAAAGUCACCGCUUCUGUCCAAGUCACUUCGCUCCUCUUAUGCUUUUGCCCUUUGACUGUUUGACCGUCAGUUUGAAAACUUCAUAACUAAUUCACACUAAAUCAGAAAAAUGCAAAUAAGAUACCAAAUGUUCGGAAAAACAUCACCAAUAUGUCAGUGUCAUUUGCAUUCAUGAAAAGAUGUUUGAAAGUGCCCAUCCGAGUUUUAGCUCCUAUGCUACCACCAUGAAUAGUAAAAUCUAAAAAAUUCAAAAAAUAAAAAAACAAAUUUGGUGGCAAAGAAUGACAAAUGUUUUAAGUGCUUGCCAAGUUUCAUCAGGGAAUGACAUUCGUGGGUGCCCCAGCAAAAAAACAAUCAGCACUCCAAAAACGAUUAUUUGUUUGCCACGACUUCCACGAAUGUCGUUCCCUGAUGAAACUUGGCAAGCACUUAGAACAUUUGUCGUUCUUUGCCACCAUAUUUUUUUAGAUUUUUUUAGAUUUUACUAUUCAUGGUGGUAUCAAAAGUGCUAAAACUUGGAUGUGCACUUUCCAACACUUUUUUCAUGAAUGCAAAUGACACUGACAUAUAGGUGAUGUUUUUCUGAACAUUUUGGUAUCUUAUUUGCAUUUUUCUGAUUUAGUAUGAAUUAGUUAUGAAGUUUUUAAACUGGCGGUCAAACGGUCAAAGGGCAAAAGCAUAAGAGGAGCAAGGUGACUUGGACAGAACCGGUGACUUUUGGAAAUUAGGGGUAAAACAGACGAGUGGGACACAACUAGGGGCAUAAAUCUAAUUAUCCCUAUUAUCUACUGUUUGGACAUUAUUGGGCUUUAGUAUCCACUUUUAUAUUAUUUUUGGGACUAACCUAUUAACCACAGGCCCAGCCCAGAAUUGUUGUUUUUUGCCUGUUUUAGGGUUUCGAAGAAAAGGAAUAUCAAACGGAGUCCAAAUGGAAUGAAACCUUCGGGAACGCGAUUUUCUCAACGAAUAAGAUCCAGGAGACUUGGACCCUACGUCAAGACACAAAAGAGGAGGCCACGAGGUAGGGGGCGCGCCUACCCCCCAGGCGCGCCCUCCACCCUCCUGGGCCCCCUGUUACUCUACCGACAUACUCCUUCCUCCUAUAUAUACCUACGUACCCCCCAAACGAUCAGAUACGGAGCCAAAAAGCUAAUUCCACCGCCGCAACUUUCUGUAUCCACGAGAUCCCAUCUUGGGGCCUGUUCCGGAGCUCCGUCGGAGGGGGCAUCGAUCAAGGAGGGCUUCUACAUCAACACCAUAGCCCCUUCGAUGAAGUGUGAGUAGUUUACCUCAGACCUACGGGUCCAUAGUUAUUAGCUAGAUGGCUUCUUCUCUCUUUUUGGAUCUCAAUACAAUGUUCUCCCCCUCUCUUGUGGAGAACUAUUCGAUGUAAUCUUCUUUUUGCAGUGUGUUUGUUGAGACCGAUGAAUUGUGGGUUUAUGAGCAAUCCUAUCUAUGAACAAUAUUUGAAUCUUCUCUGAAUUCUUUUAUGUAUGAUUGGUUAUCUUUGCAAGUCUCUUCGAAUUAUCAGUUUAGUUUGGCCUAGUAGAUUGAUCUUCCUUGCAAAGGCAGAAGUGCUUAGCUUUGGGUUCAAUCUUGUGGUGUCCUUUCCUAGUGACAGUAGGGGCAGCAAGGCACGUAUUAUAUUGUUACCAUCGAGGAUAACAAGAUGGGGUUUUCAUCAUAAUGCAUGAGUUUAUCCCUCUACAUCAUGUCAUCUUGCUUAAGGCGUUACUCUAUUUUUAACAUAAUACUCUAGAUGCAUGCUGGAUAGCGGUCGAUGAGUGGAGUAAUAGUAGUAGAUGCAGGCAGGAGUCGUUCUACUUGUCUCGGACAUGAUGCCUAUAUACAUGAUCAUACCUAGAUAUUCUCAUAAUUAUGCUCAAUUCUGUCAAUUGCUCACAAUACAAAAAAAUACACUUCCGUGAUGAUACGUGUUUGUCACAGUAGGCCGCUUUUUUGUCAUGCAUGUACAUCCAUGACAAAUUUAUGACAGAAUCAAGAUAGUCAUACCUGUGCUGUUGUAGAAGUGUUCCAUGACAUUACCAAAAUUAUCAUCACGGAAGUGUCCACUUCCAUGACGAUAAAUCGCGUGUCACAGAAGUGCUUUCGUCAAGGGUGACCGACACGUGGCAUCCACCGUAACGGAACGCCGUUAAGCUAUCGGGUCGGGUUUUGGAUCCGAAAACCCGUUAACAGCCCCGACCAAUGGGGAUUUUCCACGUGUAAAAUCAUCAUUGGCUAGAGGAAACACGUGUCGGCUCAUCGUUGGGACAGAUGUCAUCCACUCACUGGACAGAAGGCGCCUAUGAUACAUCGACAUGUGGCACGGCCCAACAAGUUUAAAUGGGCCGGCCCAACUAAAGGCCCACAAGAUUUUGCGGACCAUAAUGGGCCGGCCCAGCUAAAUCCCACGAGAUUUUGUGGACCAUAAUGGGCUGGCCCAGCUAAAGGCCCACAAGAUUUCGCAAGCCAUAAUGGGCCGGCCCAGGUAAAGGCCCACAAGAUUUUUGUGUGCCAUAAUAGGCCGGCCCAGGUAAAGGCCCACAAAAUUCUUGCGGAUCAUAAUGGGCCGUCCCAGCUAAAGGCCCACGAGAUUUCGCCGACAUUAAUGGGCCGGCCCAGCUGUAGGCCCACAAGAUUUUGAGGACCCUAGUAUGUCGGCCCGUUAACUGGCUGCCAUGUUUUGGGCCAAAUGUCGGCCCAUAUUUGAUACGGUCUAUUAAUGGCCUGCCACGCUCCGGGCCUAAUAUUGGCCCAUAUGAGUUCCGGCCCGUUAAAAGCCUACCACGUUCUGGGCCAAAUUACGGCCCAGAUCAGGUCCGGCCCUUUAAGAGGUUUUGGGCCUAAUUAUGGCCCAUAUCAGAUUCGGCCUGUCAACUGGACACUAUGCUUUUGGGCCCACUUGCUAAAGGCCCACUUAGUAAUUCAGCCUAAUAUUAGUUUUGGCCUGUUAAGGGCCCGUUUAACAUUUUGGCCCUAUAUUAAUUUCAGCCUGUUAAAAGCCGGUCAUAUAGUUGGGCCUAACUACGGCCCGGUUUGCAUCCGGCCUGCUCGCAGCCGAUAUCUGAUUGGGCCAAACAAGGACCGAGACAAUUUUUCGGCCUGUUAAAAGUCCAUGAUUUGAUUCGCACAAUCAUGGGCCAGGGUUCAUUUCGGGCUCCUGCCGGCCCGUGAGCUGAUCGGCACGUUUCAGGCCCAACCUACAUCGUGAUUGCAUGACGACCCGAUUAUGUACCGUAAUUUUACGGUUUGGCAGGUUUACUGCGAAGACAUGAUAUAUAUAUAUACAGUAAAAUAACUGCAGCAUCGUGAAUAAGAAAAAACCUAUAUUAUACAAUAAAGAAAUUACGGCAUAUUACAUCCACUGGGCAUGAAAGUUCGCCACUAUGAUAAUAAAGCACAAGAAUACAUCAGAUUACAUACACUGGGCAUCAAAGAUCGCCACCAGUGCAAAUAAACACGCCAACAAAAUAAUAUACAAAACCGACAGCACUUCAAUAGAGUUCAAAAAAGGUUAGCCCUGCUGGGGAGCUGCAGCGCAAGCAGCUGAGCAAGAUGAUGAUACUGCGCUUGUUCAACACUUAUAUCUUCCUCACUCUGAAAGAUAAACAAGCAGACAGAUGACAGGUUUUGCACAUAAAAGUAUCAGUGCUGACAAUUCAUCACAUUUCUUACUGACGAAUAAAGUGACACAAUUUAAAUUUGCAUUAACACAAUAUGGUAUUGUUCAGGUCAAGACAUGGCAGGAAAUGGCAUUGUGAAGGAGUUGGCAGCUUCACGACACCACUGGAUUAUAGAUCAAGAACUCAUAAAUAUCAAUGGUUAGUGUGCUGUCAAUUUAUACCAUUUCAGAUUGGCAAAUAAAGAGACGGUUUAAAUAAUAGUAGAAUGAUAUGACAUUUUUCAUAGUUAAGACAUUGCAGAAUAUGGCAUUGUGCUGUAGUGGCUAGGUUCACCACACCACUGGAUUACAGAUGAAGAACAGAAGCAUACAUGCAGUGCAAAAGAAGAUCACUUGCUCUGUAUAGUUUAAUUUACAUGGUAUGAAGAAGGAACUUGGUUGUACAACUGAAAACUUAAAUUGAGAAAGGAUGAACUUUUGUUUAUGAACUACAUAUAAUAAACUUUAAACAAGCAAUUUGAUGCAAACACCAAAAAAUAAACAGCUGUUGCAGUCAUGCCUAACCAAAUAUAUACAACAAAGUUUGAAGGCUUGAGAUGGACAAACUAAUAUUAUUGGUGAAGACAGGCUCUAUAAAGGCCUUGUCCACGCUGAUGGGGGAGCAAUUCAAGAAGUUUACCAUGGAAUCUUCUUCAAAAGCAUUGCCUUUAUUCUACAUUUUGUUAAGAGUAAAUAUAGAUGUGAUAAUAUACGAAAAAAUGGAGAAUAUUUAAGAUAAGAUGAAGAGUGAUGCUACAUAACCAAGUAGCUAUAAAUGUAAGUGCAGCAAUAUAGGCAAAAGGUACACCCAAGAGCAAUCACAGCUAAAAUUCUUCAGUACCAACCUUAUGGUAAGAGUAAAUAUAGAUCUGAUGUGUAGAAAAUGGAGGGCAAAGGAAAAUAAGCUGCAGAGUGAUGGUACAUGAACAACUACCUGUCAUUAUAAGUACACUGAUAAAGGACAGCAUGUACUUAUAAGAACAAUGCAGAGCUAAAACAACAUUGGCAUUGGAUAUAUUCUACACUAAUGUAACCAUUCAUACAGAUCAGAUAAUUUGGAGCGAACAAUUGAUAAGCAAGCUAUCAUGCAUACUGCUGUCACAUAAUGAACCAGGUAUGUAUGCAAGUACAGUGAUACAGGACAAUAGGUACUAACAAGAGCAAAGCAACGGGCAGCAUAUUUGCGAUAUCUUGUCGUUCUUGUCAAACCGGAAUUCUUCUUCGAGCAGAUUUCCUGCAAAAAAGAUCCGUAAGGCACAUGCGGAAAAGUAGAAGUUCAAAUUGUCAUGUGAUUUCAUAGACAGUACCUCAUCCUGGGAAUGAGACCAGUGCAUAACAAGGUUUUUCCAUUCAAUGUCUUCUAAAUUUAGCACAGGAGACUUCACCGGAAAUUCAUUUAUAGACUUGCCAUCAAAGUGUGAUUUCCUCAGGUAACACCGAUACUGCUGCAAUGCUUCCUUGAAAAGCACAAGCAAGCUUUGCUCGUCAUGACUAUCCAGAUUGACCCUCGCCUAGUUACAACAAUGUAAUGUAAAUCAUUGAUGUGGUCAAUCAGCAGAAAACAGGAAAAUAAUAGCCAUGAAUAAUAGCACUUACACGUAAGUUGGACAGGAAGAUGUGAAAAUGGUGUUUGUCUUCACAAUAAUCUUCCCAUGAUGGGAAUAUAUGCACGUAAUCCCUAACAGCACUGAAAGCAUUGUCUUUUAAACUGGGAAUAAAUGGAAUGGGGUUCCAAUCUGCAGGAAUUGGCCGUCACUGCAGUUGGGAUAGGUCUUCGGCCGGUGGACUUGUUGUACUUUUUGCUGGAGUGGGAUUUUUCUGUGGUACAGCUGGUGCUACGGCAAAUGAAAUCGGUAUACCUUUUGCUGGAGUGCAGGUCCUGUGUGGUGGGGCUAGUGGUGUGGCCAGUGAAGUAUGGGUACAGUCUACUGGAGUCGGUCCUAUGUUUUGUGUCACUGGUUGUACAACCAAUAUAAGUGGGGUGAUGUCUGAUUUCUCUGGCACCACCACGUUUUUCAAGGACUUUGCUGGUGCUCCUUCAGGUUCGGCAAUCACCCUCUUCCUUUUUGAUGUCUGAUGCGCAAGAACAACAUUUGAGUGGAAAAACAUGGUAUGAUGACAGAUGGAAUAUGUAUUGAUAAUGGAUGGGCAUGGCAUUUCGACAUAUAUGAUGAGUAAACUAAGCAGAUGGCGGUGCAACAAAGUAGAAGAAAUGCAAGACAACAUAUGCAAGAUACCCGCAAUCAAUAAAACAUUGCCAAAUUAGAACAGGCACCUUGAUGGGUGAACAGGACAGGCCAUCUGCCUUUGACUCCUCGAGGUUAGAAUAGUCAUUAGGAUCAUAUUCUGAACAAUAAUCAACAGGUGGGGAGCGUAUGAGUUUCAUUGCAUCCAGAAUGGCACUCAAUGCCUUGGUGCCAAUUUUGUAAGUCAUUGCAGUGUUUAGCUUCAAGAGUGGACUGCUGCUAGUGCGACACGAAGCAGCUACAUAGAUCAUAGUGUAGAUAUAACGGGAAAACCUUAAGCAUCGGAGUAAAAUCAACAAAGUGGAACUUGCUGGAAUAUAUGUGCUAGUAUUGCCGGUACGGCUAGAAAGGCUUCGGAUACCAGCUCUCUUCAAGUGAAGCUGCGGUACUGUUAAUAUCAAUGUAACUCUCAAAGGCGACAUAGCUCCCCGCAUUUCCUUGCUAUUCUUAUAGGAUUCAAGUGGGCAGGCCACUACAAAUCCUAUUCCUAUGUUUACAAGAUCCUACGAAUCAAAGAGGCUCAAAGUGUCCAUCACAACCGAUCGUAUAGACCUCUACACUGCAAAUGUCCCUGCUCAUCUUCAGUACAAGGAACAUACUGUACUACUAUCAUACUCCCUCCGUUCCAAAAUAUAAGUCUUGGUAGAGAUUUCCACUAUGGAUCACAUACAGAUGUAUCCAGGUACAUUUUAGAGUGUAGAUUCACUCAUUUUGCUCCAUAUGUAGUCCACGGUGGAAUCUAUACAAAGACUUGUAUUUAGGAACGGAGAGAGUACAUAUUAAAGAAGAACGUAAGAGGAACAUGGUAAAGAAGAGCAAGCAGAUUUUGGAUAAUAAAAUGUUGGUUGCGCAGUGCCCACACAUGAUGAACCAGAGCGCAUUAAGAAUGCAACUCCGCCUGUGUUCCUCCGCCACCCCCACCCCCACCCUUGUCGAGUUUUCUUCGAUUGCACCGGCGAACUCUGGCGAGCUCUGAAAAAUUGACUGACCCAAUUUUGAAAUUUAGUGUAUUGUGAUUUAACUAGUGUGGAAUAUAAAAGGGGAAAACCAUAAGCAUUGCGAGUAUGAUGUUGAGCGUGCCAUGGCGGAUCUGAAGGUGCAAACCGGACAAAGGCAACUUCGCAACCAAGACAAGAAAUCAGAGUAAAGCAGUGGUGAUCUAUUUUCUUGCUGUGAUAAAUAAGUUAAGCAGAUACGAAAGAGUACCGCCUCUGGUGUGGCAUCGUGUACGCAUCUGUUGAGAAUUUGACGGUGCUGCGGUAGCGAUGGCUGUCAGUGGCGUGGAAGCAGAUCUAGGAGGGUAGACGGUGGCGGCGGGCGCGGUGGACGAGAUGGUCGUAGGAGCGGCGCCGGCAAGGUGGACGACGGCAGGGAUGAAGCAAGAGGACGGGAUGCAAGGAUCCCGGUCCGAAACCGUGGAUGAGAGAGGUCGAUCUCUUGUAAUGGACAGCGGUGUCGGGGUAUCAGCUCCAGCAUGGUGGAGGAGGACGGCGGUGGAUGGGCUGGCAGACGGCGGCGGACGGAGGAGGGUGGGGUGGAGAGGGUGUUUUGGCGCCCACGGAGUACGAAUGGGGAAAAGGGAGGUAGAGAGGAAGGGGGAACCAUGUAUUCAGGGCGCGCUUGUCUCAAAUGUGAGGAAAUUUACAAACUUAGCCCCCGUUUCAAAUUUCUACUACAUCACAGCAACACUAGUCGGUUGGGGAUAGGACGGUAAUCUCGCAUACACCGAAUAUUUGCCGACGAGAGUUUGUUUUUGGCGCCCACCGAGUAUGAAUAUGAAUCGGGGAGGGAGUCGAUUUCGGCCGAGGACAUAAUGUGUUUUGGCGCCCACCGUGUAUGAAUCCGGGUGAGAGGCGGUUACGUCACGUUUGGGUGAAAUUACAAACCUACCCCUAUCGAAACCUAUAGAAAUCCAGCAUAUAGGCUUUGCAUGGCAGGGAUAGGCAGUAGUGAUUUCCAUCUCGCAGAUUUUGGUUUCGGGCGGUUACUGCGACUUUCCCCGCUUCGUUCAAAUUUUGCAGAGUGCACGUUUACCGUGCCAACUCAAUUCGAAUCCCUUUUGUAUUCUAUUUUUUUCGGGUGGGAUCCAUUUUCAAUUGGAAUUACAUUCUAUAUACAUCAUUUUUUUAUAUAUAUACUUUCAAAAGCACAACAAAGAAUUCUGCUCCUUUAUAUGUAUAAUAUGAUUUACAAAUACAACGAUCUCGAAAUCUUAAGGUUGAAUUCGAAAAAAAUUAACCAAAUUAUGUCCUACUAAAAUGUAUGGAUCAGUAAUAUCUACAUAUUAAAUAACAUAGAUGUGUGUGAAUUCAUAUGAGUAUGCAUGUUUGAUAGAUCAAUUUUGGUUCGAGUAUGGAUUACAUGUAUCAUCAUCUCUAAUUCAAAUAUUUGAAUCCCUUUUUUGUUCACUCCUUUCACGCCCAUCUCUCUCGCAUGCAUGCUCCUUCAGGUAGCUAUCACUCUCUUUUCUCCAGCUCACCCGCAUGCUCACUUCAUGUUGCUCCUAUCCUCGCAAACAUGGUCUCUCGACGUCUCCCUUGAGAAGUGUCACACUCUCCCUAUCAUUAUAAAUUACACGGUUUUCAUUAUCUCUCACGUCUCUACUGUUCUCUGGUAUCACUCGGUACCUAAGCUUUCUUUUUCACCGCCAAACACACAGUCUCCACUCGUCUUUCACUUUGUCUUUCUCUCUAUGGGAUUCUCUCACACACCCUAUAUGUCUCUACAUAUGACUCAUACCACUAAAAUUACUCUCUCUAUCUCUCCUGUAGACACAACAUUUGUUGCGAUCUCCUUUUCGUCUCCAUCCUAGACUGAAUUAUUCAUUUGUUUACCGAUCAGACAACCCCAACUACCGUCUCCUCUCUCUCUCACACACAGACACACACGCACAAUUCCUACCACUAAAAUGUGAAUGGAAAACGAGAUUUUGUUAUACCCAAACAAAAAAGGACUGGAGGGAGUGAUUGCUCUGACAUGGACGCGACCUCUCAUAGCGCAGGCAUUGAACAGGCGCGCCGGCCAAGAGGGCCGCACUCGCUGCAGGCCCGGUUGAGCACGCCUCCUCGCCGCGUGCAACCAGCUUAAGACUGCCUCGCCUGCCUUCAUUGAAUCCGCGCGUGUGCCGGCAACACGUCCUUCCGCGAGCCGGCAGGCAUUUUAGAACACAAAAAAUGACUAAAAUAUAAUUAAUUUAUGCAUGGUCUUGACUUGUUGUGCUUGCACUGGUAGCAGGAACUAGUAGAGGAUUUUCUUUAUUUAUAACUCUUCUCACAUUUUUUUGGCUUUGAAGUGAAUCAUGGUUGUGGACAUUAUGUAUGAAUGUGCAGAUAUCUGUGAACAUGAGUUUGAUGUGGAAGUUGAACUUGGAAUGUCGGGCUUGCGUGUGAACUAUACCAUGUCCAAUGCUUCGUCUGUUAUUGUUUCGAAAGUAAUUGAUGUUAUUACAUGACCCGAAAAAAACAUUUUGUGCCACAUCAGUAGAUGCACGGACAUCACAACAGGCAUGCUGACUGGAUAAACAUUUGAACCUAGCUAUUAUGAAGGAAAUUUUGUAUUGACAACAGUUUUAGAUAGCAGGAGACGCCUAGCCUGUUCUGCCUCUGCUAGCUUAUUUGUGACUUCUUCCAUCUCUUCUUUGGCUUGGGUGAAGAGAGCAUCUGAUUGCUCUUUUCGCUUCUUCAGGAACUCAGCUACAUUCUCAAGGGCUGCUGCACGCUUUCUUUCAGCCUUUACUAAUGCCACGAGGACACGAACAGCUGACGACUCCACCUGGCUUGUGUGUAAUCCAGCAUCAUCUGGGAAUUUGCACCUUGUGUCUAAUCCAGCAUCGUUAGGGAACUGGCACCUUGUGUGUAAUCCAGCCUCAUUUUGGAAACAUGAUCUCGAGGUUGACCAUACUUCCGUCCUCGCAGGAACUGCAUCCUGACACGAAGUUACUUCUUUUCUAGAUCAAUACUCAGAGCAACCUAGAUCCAUUUAGUAGAAGCCAGAUAAACAGAACUCGGAGAAGUGAAUUCAAAAGGAAUAAAUAAAUAAAAACAGACUACAAGGUGAGAACACCCACUUCCUACAUCAAGCUAAAAACGAAAGCAUUAGGACGAUUAAGACUCUUCUUAUUACACAUCGAAGAACACCACGCUUAAGAGAAACAUAAACUACAACAUAUACACAUCGAAAAACACGAGGCUACACGAAAGUAAUUGAAAGGGUGUUACUUACCAAAGCUCAUUUUACAGGUUCGGUGCAGCUCCUCUUUAACUUGCCAUGCUCCUUGAAGAUGUCCCGAAUAUCCCGUGUUUGAUCUUCAUUGCUCCUCUGCAUGUUCGCACUCGUGGUUUUAAAAUCUCAACAUGGCAAGAAAAAUAUACUACUAGUAAUACUCGUGCAUCUUGUGGGAAACAUUAAAGCACUCGUCUGCCAUGUUAGAGCAUCUCCAACAAGAUAAACUACUCAUACAAAUGCAUCUUGAUGCGUGCAACACAUGGGCAUUUUGCUAGUUCUAAAAACCUUUCCAUCAUUUGCCACACUACUGGUUGCAGAUGAAAAACCUACCCAAGCACAGCGCGAUAUAGGAGCGACGCACAAUUACAAGCUGAUAUUCUGUUGGACAAUGGAGGCUAUAACCAAUUACUUUUACGGGAACAAUAACACCCAGGAAAUUUGAAGGGUAGGUAUGAACAAAAUUGGAACUGCACAUGUACUGCUAAGUGAUUCAAUACACACAUUACCAACCGAGGAGGAGAACGAUGGUCGCGGCGGCCUCUGUGAGUCAUGGUCGGCAACGGGAGUCAGUUCAUUGUCCACGACGGUGGUACUUCUGUGCUUGGCGUCGGCUUCCGGGAAGCAGAUACGAGACCGUGGAAGACGAUGCCGGGGAAGAGGCUCCGUGUACGACGACGACGGUGGACCGGCUCCAGUGUGGCGUACGAGGUCAUCGAUGAGGCAGAUGCGCUGCGGUGGACGAGUGCGCCGAUGUAAAGGGGAGGAGCAUGAAGGUUGCGGUGCCGUGGAGAAGUCUAUUUUGCGGUGGGGAUAGAAAUUGGGGAGUAUUCAGGUGUACUACUCUGGGUGCCGGGGUGGGGUUGGCUAGGUAGGGUGAACCUGAAGUUACGAAAACAGCCCCCUACCAAGCGUCAUUCGUAGGCCUGUUCCGAAGGCUAUGAUGGUAACUUUCCACUGCUCGAAUCAGGGUCGUGGAAGAUUUUCCCGUCGACCUCAAAAUUUUGUGACACUGGACUCCCCGUGUGGCGUGUUGAGUGAUUCGGCUAAGCAACUACUCCCUCCGUCCCAUAAUAUAAGAACGCUUUUGACACUAGUGUAGUGUGAAAAUGUUCUUAUAUUUUGAGACAGAGGCAGUAGCGAGUAGUGGUAGUAAACUCUGCAUAUUAGGUUUGACCGAAGUCAAACUUCCUAAAGUUUGACCAAGUAUAUAGAAAAAUAUAAACAUUUACCAUAACAAAUAUGUAUGAUGUGAAAGUACAUUCAAUAAUGAAUCUAAUGGUAUUUAUUUGUUAUUGUAUAUGUUAAUAUUUUUUGUUAUAAGCUUUCUGAAAGUUUACAAAACUUGACUUUGACCAAUGCUAAUACGCGGACUUAAAUAAAAACGGAGGGAGUACACAUUUGUUUUCUUAGUUUGUAGUGAACUAAUCAUUUGUUGAAAUUGUGAAAUAAAUAUAUUAGGCUAUUGAAUUCGAAUGUAAUGGUCUAUACAAUUCAAUAGUUACAAUCAUUGUCGAAUCCCAAGAUGUAUACAAGGUCUAUAGUACUUCACAACAUGCUCAAACACACAUAAUCCCAGUCAAAUGAGAAUCUUAAUGCAUUUCAUAGUUAUUACUUUGUAGGAUGCAACAAUAACAACCAUAACUCUACAUCAGCCAUUAUAGAAGCAACAUUUUGACAUAUCCCAAUGUGUGAAUGAAACAUGCAGAGAGAGCUUUUGAAGAUGGAGCAGAUAGGGCAGGAAAGAUUGUAUGUAUGUGGACGAGAGAGUAGGAGACAAACCUAACGAGACAGAGAGAGAGAGACAUAGAGAGAGAAAGAGAGAGGAAGAAGUUAUGUCUGUGAGAAAGAUGCAUACAUGUAAUAUACAUGAGAUGUGUGUGCAUCUGGAUUCUGUAUACAUGGAAGGAGAAGAGAUAACUUGUUUGAUGAGAGAGCAGGAAAAACAUGGACGAGAGGGGAAGGAUCUCGUGGGUUGAGGGAUUGACAAUUUUGUGCGGGGGAGAGAGGGAUUGGUAAUUUUGUGCAAGAGAGAGAGAGGGUGGGGGGAGGAGUCAGUCAGCCAUCGUCACAUCACCCUACUUCCAAAUGACCCCACAUUCUCUAGCGCGGUGUGGUUGCCGUCUUCGAUCUGCCCGUUGCCCUCUUUGAAGAUUGAGGUGUUGUGCAUGUUGGGGUGCAAACAAGCACAAGCGAGAGUGGUCGCCGUAUAACCUUGGAUGGGGAUGAAUUGUGUGCUUGGGGGAGUGUGUGUGUGUGUGUUGUGCUGCGUGUCUCUCUCUCUCUCUGUCUGUGUGUGUGUUUCAGAUAUUGAGAGAAAACAAACCUAAGGAGAGACAUGUGUAUUCACGAAGAGAUUGUGCGGGCCUUGAGGUGGGUAGGGGCCGGGUGAGGAUGUCAAAAUGUGUGCGUUGAUGCAUGUGUUGCAUGCGGCCGUGCGAGGGAUGGACGAAUCGAGAGAGAUGGUUGUUGUGUUACGGAUGCUCCUCUCUCUGUCUCUCUCUCCCUCUCUCUCUCUCUCACACACACACAAGUAAACUAGAAGAUCGUUCUCUCAUGUAUACACAACGUAUCGGCAUCUGUCUAUGUCUCACUCGUGCACGAUCAUUUGCACAUUCACACCUCUCUAUGUCUGUAUCACACGCACACCGUCUCCACAUUGCCCUUCCGCCACAACACACAUAUGGACACAUACACACGUUCUCUCUCAGUCACACACACAAAAUCAGUAUUAAAAAAACUAGGGCGCACCUAAAACGUCCAAAUCCAAAUAAACACGAACUGGAGCUAAAUUCAAAUAUAUGGAAAUAUUGCAGCAUCAAGAAAUUUCACAGAAAAAAAAGUUGAGUAAUAUUCGAGGAUUGUUUUCACACACACAAAAAGGUUCGGUGGAUGUCCUUCGAGCGCGACAUGGUGACGCACCAUUCGAUCGACCGUGCGGCCGCGGUUCACGCGCUGCACAGGAUUCCGUAUCGUGGCCGUGGUACUAAGGCUGGUCACAAUGGGCAAGAACAUAAGCUAGUAACUAAUAAAAGCGCUGCCUAAGUCUAAUGUUUACGUGUACUAGUACGAUUUUCUUUUAAGUUUGACCAACCUUAUAUAUAAAACUAAAGUAAGCUCCCACACGCGCACUCAUCAAUAUGCCGCCGUCGCCGUUGCGCAUGCCGGCGCCCACCUACUCCGGCCAACAAUUUCUCACCCAUCACCGCCGUGUCGCCGCCAUCCCUGUGCCAUGAAGCCGAAGGCUCGCCCGCUCACGUCGUCUGCAGUCCCUCCUCGCGAUGCCGCCGCGCUGCCAAGCACGCAAGUAGCUGGUGGAGCCACGUCUAUGCACGCAGCGUACGAAGAGGAGGACGAGCGCGUGCUCCAGCACGCCAGUGAGGAGGAACUAGCGUGUCAUUGUCGUCUCCGCCCGCGCGGAGGAGGCGCGCAUGGUGGCUGUUGCGGCGGAAGCCGGUCGCGCGCGCGUCGGGCCCGCAAACCGGGUGCGGACGCGGAAUCUACCUUCGAGACCUUGAAUGCCAUGUGGAUCCUACAAUCUGAAGGAGCAAUUUGGGUCAGUGGACUCAUGUGAGCCGUUUGAUGCAACAUGGAUGGCUAGAAGGGCUUCUUCCACCUCUCUGUCGUCUUCUUCCUUCGCCCCGUCGAACUUCUUUCACAAAUCUACUGACCCAAAUUAUACUACUAGUACGAACGUAUUAAGUACAGUAGGAACACGAAGAUACGAGCAGUAGUACCAACUGCAAGAAACAGUAGUAAGACAUAGUACUAGUACUACUGUACGUACUAAAGAGUUCAAAUAAUGAGAAAGAACAUAAACAUAGUUCUGCUGGGGCCUCAGCACAACACACCCUUGAAAAUAAACUAAUAAGCAACUAGUCCGCUUGACACUGAAGUAGAACCAGCAUGAGCGACGGCACUGCCACCUACUUGGAGUCCGAGUCCACAUCCUCGACUUCGUCCUCGUCCCUCUUCCUCUUCCUCUUCGCCGACGCUUCUUUGCUUGAAUCGGACACUGGGCUCUGCUUCUUCAUCCAACCCUUGUAGAUAUUUAAACAAAGGUAGGCAUCCAUUGUUGUGUACAGGAUGUGAUCUUCAUCUAAUGUCUUUGACUCCCAUGCAUGAUGAAACUCGUGAUGAGGUUUCUUCAGUUUAGUUUAUGAAGGAUCAAUCAUGGCUGCUGCCAGGGUCAGCAUUGAAGGUUGAGAGGAGGACAUCAGGCUUGCCUUCUGGAGAUCGAAGGGCUGCCCUACAACGAGACCUAUCCGACGCAGGACGUCACUAUCGUUCUUAAAGCCUACAGUAACAAAUUUCACUCUUUUGUCCUUGAGGAAGUUCUUAAAAUCCCAGCACUCAACAUCGGCAUGGCAUAUGUGGUAGACCAAGCAAACGUUAUGUACGCAAACCUGGAUCAUGGCGGGCUUCUUCCUCUCUUCGUCCUUUAGAUCCUUCUCUCAUCCCAGGACUGUGGUGUACUGAACAUCUAGCCCAGCGACCCACUCAUCUGUUGAACUGUUGAACAUGCGUAGGAAGCGAGCAAGCCAUGCUUUCACCAUCUCGGAUCCAUGUGUGUAGAUGACGAUGAACUGAUAGCCGGUGAUGGCUCUAACCUGGUACUCAGCGGCGACCAUGGAGAUUUGGGAGGCCAUGGAUUUUGGAGGAGGGUUAGGAGAAGUUGAACUGUUGUACCCCGCAAAAAAAACUGGGAGCGAACUAAUGUGAAAGGACGGGACGAGUGGGAGCGAACUGUUGUAAGGUAGAAGACGGGGACGAGUAGGGCGUGCGAACGGCGUGGGGUUGCUGGCUUGCCCGGUGGAUAAACGGCUGCAAGCCCCCAAAGAGUUCUCGAGAACUAUGCGGGACCCACUAGAUGUCAUGUCUACUAGACCCAUAUCGUAGGCCUGACGUUAUAGAUUUUGCCUGUUCGCAUGCCAUGCCGGCGCGUGGAUGUAACUUCACUUAAUUCCGUCAAAUGUCGCACCUCCCACGACCUUCGCCUCCCUCGCACGGUCGCGCCCUUUGAGACUUCGACCGGCUAUAAAUGAGCAAUUUUUUGCCUUUUUUUAGAAAAGCAAUUUUUUUGCCUACUCCGCAUGCAUGAUACUCCCUCCGGUCCUUUUUACUCCCGUCAACCGUUUGCAAAGUGUUGGACCAAAUUUAUACUUUUUUUGAACACCACCUUAUAUUAAUUAACCAGCCACACCAGUACACUCAUUCGAUACAAUAUUCACCACACAGGGCGGUACGUUAUUUACAAGAAUACCAUCUAAUCUAUUGUCAAAGCUAUACUUAGCGAUUAAGUGUGCCACCUUAUUGGCCGAACGGCUAAUCUUUGACAAUUGAAGAUUGUUGAUCAACUUCGAGAUGCUCAACGCUUUCAUCUUCAGGUCACGCAUAGCAGACCUGUCAACGCUUUGACAGGCAUCAAUGAAAUCCCACGACCAAAUUUAUACUAAAAAUAUCAAUAUCUAUAAUACUCCCAAAACACUUAGGCGCGGUGCAUUAACUUCUACCUCGUUUCUUGUUUCUUGACAUAUCAACCAAUAGGAGAUGUGGGUGUGCAUGCUUUUAAUGACUUGAGACUACCAAACAUGACAUGCAGUGGUUAGUUCAUUGCAUGCAAUGCUAUUAAUUAGCAAAUAAACAUUAAGAUCUCUCGUUUUCCCGUCCUCCUUGGUCACAGUGCACAAUCUAAGAUGACUUGCUCACCUAGACGGAGGGAGUACUGAUUAUAAUGAAUACUCCCUCCUUCCAUCUAUAUAGGGCCUAAUGCGUUUUUCAAGACCGCCUUUGACUAUUGAUAAAAUUAAUACUACAAGACAUGCAUAAUGUGAAGAUUAUAUCAUUGAAAGCUCCUUUCACAUACGAAUUUGAUGAUGUGCUUUGUGUAAGUUGCAUGUCAUAUAUUAUUGCUCUAACAUUUGGUCAAAGUUAGCCUCGAAAAACGCAUUAGUCCCUAUAUAGAUGGAAGGAGGGAGUAUAAGAACUACGUUUUAUAAUGAGUGUAAAAAUAUUGAUUUGACAUUGUGAAUGUUGACACAUUGUGGGAUAGUUUUUGAAGUCUGCAAAAGUACUCAACUAGUGCUGUCGUUCUCCACAAAAAAUGUGUUUACCAAUGCAUGCAUGAACUCUAGUUACUCUAACCCCCCCUCUCUUCUUUAAUUCUUUGCCACAUCAGCAUGUUUGAUAUUCCCGUAUGCAUGAUACUAGCUAAGAUACCACCAUUAUGACCAGCCUUAAUCAUCGCAUGCAAUAAUUUAGUGCACCUUGAAAUAUGAACAUGUCGGGACCACGAUUCCAAGUCACAUCGAUCUAGCCGGUAACACCUCAUAUCACUUUGCGGCCUCACGUACGAUAUUCCCACGGGUGUCGCCUUACCCUGGCCCGGGACCGUUUGCGCCUUUUGGCUCAUGUAUAUGAUUGUGUCGCUAGCAUCCAUAUGACAGAGAACCUGGGCCGACAUGGCUAGUCGUGAACCCAAAGCGGCACUAACCUAUGGGGACAGGCAUACAUGAUUCACAUCGAGCAUGUCGGUCAGCAGUGUGUGAACCCGGGCUAUAGCACUAGGCUAACAGGACUCCGGGGAUCCCGGGCUGUAGCAGACUAGGCAGGACUCCGGAUGUCACCGCGUGACAUUUCCCCGAAGGGACAGACACAGGAACGAAGUGAAACACAUGCCGGCCAGUCGAGUGUCCUGAGCAGUAGUGCUGGGCUAGCAGGACUCCGGUGAACCGGGCUGUAGCGGACUACUAUGGCUCAGGGAAGCACUAGGCUACAUUUCCCCAUAAGAGAGGCUGCCAAGGAUAAACAACUAGAUUGUCGGAUCCCACACAUAGCAAUACACGUCACACGUACGCAUAACAUGCAAGUAUGUGUUGUACAACAUGGCAUCACAACAUAAUGCAACUCAUAUAGCUAAAGGCCCAAAAGAGCCACAUAGCAUUAAAUACAAACAUGGGUCACAUGACCCAUCAUUCAGACCAUACAAGCAACAAGCAGAAGCAUUACAUGUCUGAGUACAGACAACUACAAAAGAAAAAGGCUGAGAAGCCUGACUAUCUACAAGACCCUCCCAAGGGCACAAGAUCGUAGCUGGGGUAACAAGCUACUCGUCGAAGUCCAAGCGGUACUACUAGUGAGACAGAUGUCUCACCUGCAAAACAUAAAUAAAGAAAACGUGAGUACAAAGGUACUCAGCAAGACUUACAUCAGAUCCUAUCAUACAUGCAUUUGUAUCAAGAAGGUAAUGUGGGGUUUAGUUGCAGCAAGCCAGCUUUGACUCAGUGGCUAUCCUAUUCUACGACAACAAGAAACUUCUUUGAGAUGAGGCAGCGCACACGAGUCCACUAAUCACCACAUCAAUACACCACUAUGGAUUCAUCCCCGUCUCUCCAUGAGAAGGCCAUCCAUAGCACUCACACUUGUCUUGAGCAUUUUAGAGUAUCCACUUUAAGUUGUCUAUGUACCACGUAAGCAUCCAAGAAGUCCAUAACCGAGGACACGGCUAUUCGAAUAGAUCAUGAUAACCCUGCAGGGGUGUACUUCUUCACACAUGCUCUCACCACUUAUCGCCAUUUACACGACAUGUACUCCACAACCUUCAAGCGGAAGCCCAGCGAGGGUGUCGGCCACGACCUGACUAACCACGCAAGUGUCUUAUCUAGGUUUAUCGCCUAUUCGGGUUCCAUCCGCAAGGAGAUCCGGCCGGGGUGUCGCUUACAGCCCCAAACGAUGUGAGCAGGGUUCCCAAGCCCACCAUUCGGGUGCCACUUGGUACACCGUGCCACUGUGCCUAGUCUGUCCCAAGCCCACCUAGCCGGGUGCCACUUGGUAGACUACUAACACUACCUACAAACACCAGAAACUAUUUGCAACUCCUGGACAGAGAUCAAGUUGGCUAAUAAGUCGAGAGAGCUUGGAGCGCCCGGAGCCCAAUGUGUGGUAGCAACUAGUCAUUGGACAACUUACACAGAACUCAGUUCUUAAGGACGGUUCCAGUGAGACAACCCACCAUGUACUCCUACAUGGCCUCUCAACGCUACCUUUACCAAAUCGUGUUCACACGCUUAACUCUCAGCACCAGAACAUAUCGUACCACUCCAAUUCAUUCCCGAUGAAUCAGACCUGACACAACUCUAAGCAAUAGCAGGCAUGGCAUGGCAAGAACACAACAUGGCUCAAUCAACUCCUACACAUGCUAGUGGGUUUUAACUAUUUACCGUGGCAAUGACAGGUCAUGCAGAGGAAUGGGUUCAACUACCGCAGCAUAAAGUAGCAGUUGAAUCGUUGUUGUCCUAAUGCAAUAAAUGAGAGCAGGAGCGAGAGAGUAGGAUUGUAUCGGAAUGAACAAUGGGGUUUGCUUGCCUGGUAGAUCAACAGGGGGGCACUUCUCCUCAGACAGGUACUCUGGAGCACUCUCCGGGGCCGGACCUAUCGAGAGGGAACGGUGUCGGAAAUCAAUACACAAGCAUAUGCAACAAUAUGAUGCAUGAAUAUGGCAUGAAGAUGUGAUGUUGUUUGAGCUAAUGCAUCUAGCAUUUAUUUGCAUGAAGUCCAUUUGAACCAAAGUUUCAAAUGCAACUCCAAGAUAAGCCUUUAUAAAUGCCAUUCAUAUGUUUCCUCAUAUACAUGAUGUAUAAGUUAGUUUGUCAUGCAUGGGAAUGGUACAGAUGGAUAGAUUGAAUUUUUCUGAUAAUUUUUCAUAUAUAAAUUAUUUCAAUCUGAGCUACGGUUGAAUUUCUAUGAAUUUUUGAAGUAUAUAUCAUUUUGUGGAAUUCUCUGAAUUGUUUAAAAUCCAGAAAAAAUCAUUAUUGCGUUAGCAUGAUGUCACAGAGGCAUCAGCAGGGCUGACCAGGUCAAACCUGACGUGUGGGGGCCACACGUCAGUGACACCGGGGCUAAACCCGACUCAAACCCAGCUCACCAGGGUUUGACCGAGCCCUGGGGCCCAUAGUCAGUGGCUUAGGGGGUGGAUUAAGUGGCAGGGUUAGCAGCUAAUCACGCGCCACGUCAGCCGCCGGAGUUUUGCUGGCGACGACCUCGAGCCACGGCGGAAGUUCGCCGGAACGAGCUGGAGGCCACGGUUUGGCACACGGAGGCCAUCGGCGGGUAGCCCGUGCACGGGCGCAUCCAGUCGCGCUCAGGGGAGGCCGCGGGAACGGUGGAGCUCGCUGGAGAAGAGCUCGCGGCGGCGGCCGAAGUCGGGUGCGUGCGGGUUAGGUGCUGCGGGGCACUAGGGGGGCUGCGGUUGUGUGCAAACGACGCGCGAGAGGGCACUGAGAACGGCGGUGAGCUUGGUUGCGAGCUAUGGCAGCUGUGGCCACGGCGGUGACAUCACCGGUGGAGCCAAGCUCUCGGCCAAGGUGGCCAACAAGGCUAGGGGCGCUCGAGCUAUGAGGCUAGGGGGAGGAGGAAGGGGAGCUCACAACGAACUCGAAGGCGUCGUCGGUGAGCUCGGGGAGGACCAGUCGGUGACUGUAGGAUCGAAAGUAUGUCUAGAGGGGGGGGGUGAUUAGACUACUUGACCAAAUAAAAACUUAACCUUUUCCCAAUUUUAGUUCUUGGCAGAUUUUAGCUAUUGUAGGACAAGUCAAGCAAUCAUCACACAAUUCAAGCAAGCAUGCAAAGAGUAUAUUGGCAGCGGAAAGUAAAGCAUGCAACUUGCAAGAAUGUAAAGGGAAGGGUUUGGAGAAAUCAAACGCAAUUGGAGACAUGGAUGGUUUUCCCGUGGUUUGGAUAGGUGGUGCUAUCCUACAUCCACGUUGAUGGGGACUUCAACCCACAAAGGGUAACAGUUGCGUGAGUCCACAAAGGACUCCACCCACAAAGGAUGACGGUUUCGCGAGUCCACAAAGGGCUCCACCCACAAAGGGUCCACGAAGAAGCAACCACCCACAAAGGGUCCACGAAGAAGCAACCUUGUCUAUCCCACCAUGGCCAUCGCCCACACAGGACUUGCCUCACUAGCGGUAGAUCUUCACGAAGUAGGCGAUCUCCUUGCCCUUACAAACUCCUUGGUUCAACUCCACAAUCUUGUAGGAGGCUCCCAAGUGACACCUAGCCAAUCUAGGAGACACCACUCUCCAAGAAGUAACAAAUGGUGUGUAGGUAAUGAACUCCUUGCUCUUGUGCUUCAAAUGAUAGUCUCCCCAACACUCAACUCUCUCUCAUAGGAUUUGGAUUUUGUGGAAAGAAGAUUUGAGUGGAAAGCAACUUGGGAAGGCUAGAGAUCAAGAUUCGUAUGGUAGGAAUGGAAUAUCUUGGUCUCAACACAUGAGUAGGUGGUUCUCUCUCAGAACAUAUGAGUAGGAAUUGUGUAUGUGUUCUGAUGGCUCUCUCCAUGAAUGAAGAGGAGGUGGAGGGGUAUAUAUAGCCUCCACACAAAAUCCAACCGUUACACACAGUUUUCCAAUCUUGGUGGGACCGAAUCAACAAACUCAGUCAGACCGAAAAUGUAACCUAGUGACCAUUAGAGAUUUUCGGUGGGACUGACAUGCAACUCGGUGGGACCGAUAUGGUUAGGGUUUGGGCAUAACGUAAUCUCGGUGAGACCGAUUACACAAACUCGGUGAGACCGAAUUUGGUAAUUAGCUAACCAGAGAGUUGGUCAGGAAAACUCGGUGGGACCGAUUUGCUCUUUCGGUGAGACCGAAAAGUUACAAAAAGGAAACACUGAAUUUAUAUUGCAAUCUCGGUGGGACCGAUUCGCUCUUUCGGUGAGACCGAAAAGUUACGAAAGGGAAACAGAGAGUUUGCAAUCCCAUCUCGGUGAGACCGAGAUCCCUAUCGGUAGAACCGAUUUGCUAGGGUUUGGCAGUGGCUUAAGACAAGUGAAACUCGGUGGCACCAGAUAGAAAGAAUCGGUAGGACCGAGUUUGGCUUUGGGUUUAGGUCAUAUGUGGAUAUGGGAAAGUAGUUGAGGGUUUUGGAGCAUAUCACUAAGCACAUGAAGCAAGAGGCUCAUUAAGCAACACCUCAUCCGUCCUUAAUAGUAUUGGCUUUUCCUAAAGACUCAAUGUGAUCUUGGAUCACUAAAAUAUGAAAAGAAGAGUCUUGAGCUUUUGAGCUUGAGCCAAUUGUUUGUCGUUAGCAUUUUGAGGGUUCCACUUUCACAUCCAUGCCAUGCCAAUCAUUGAGCUUUCCUGAAAUAGUCAUCUUGGAAUAGCAUUAGCUCAAUGAGCUAUAUGUUGUUAUGAAUUACCAAAACCACCUAGGGAUAGUUGCACUUUUAGCGAUGAAUUUAGCAGUGGCGAUCCGCGGCUCCGACGAAGGGGAUGACGGUGGUGGCGACGCUGCAGUGCUCCUGGCGUCGUCUAGCUCGACGAGGAGGUGUAGUCGAGGGUGGCGGUGCUCCUGGACAGCAGCAAGGGACGGGGCGGUGGAGAUGGUCGCGGUGGCUCAUGGCGACGUGCUGCGGUGGCGUUCGAGCGCGGGAGAGAAGACGAGCAGAGGAGAGGAGAGAGCUCGGGAGAGAGUGAGGAUAGGCCAGGGGGCUCUGUGGAGCUCUCUGGGGUGGACAGCGCCGAGGGGAAGGGGGAAGGCAGGCAGGAGCGUGGCGUGCAUGCGCGUGCUCGCCGUGCCCUCCUUCGCCUCCUCCUGGCAGGGAGGAGGAUGAAUAGCUUGGGCCAGUUGGGCCGGGCCAGCCAGUGGGCGACAGGUAAUGUAUUUCUUAUUCUUUCUAUUUUUCUUUUCUAUGGUUUGUUUUGCAAAAGAAAUAAAUGCUAAAACAUUUAUUUAAAUGUUGAUACUCAUUGUGGCAACUGUUAAAAUUAUAUUCGAAGCCCUCACCAAGUCUCAAUAUUUUUGGCCAUAUAUUAUUUAUAUAAUAAUUAUAUUUCCAAUGCAAAUAGUUAUUGGAUUAACUCAAAUGCCCAAAAUAAAUGUCUCUGAGCUCCCAGAAAUAUUGGUUUGAGUUUUACCUCUGUCCAAUAUUUUUAAAGAAGAACAUGAACAUUUUCUUGGAAAUAUUUGAGACAAUUUUUAUUUUGAUCAUUUCCAGGAGGGUUUCUGAGGCUUUCACAAUCCCCAUUUCAUUUUAAAUGAAAAUUAAACAUGAUGCAAACACAAGGGACUGGCCUAGUGCUUACCAGAACUAGGGAUGUGACAGAACAUGUGUGGGGCAUGUUUGUUUUUAAUGACUUGAUACUAUACCUAGCCCGGCAUGCAAGAUGACUUAUUAUGCACCGUUCCCCAUACCUGCAGGAAGCCUGUUCGUCUCCAAAUUUUUUCCUCUCCAUGUGUGGAAACAAUAUGCCUGCCAAACUCUCCUUCUCCCUCCGGCGGUCCCACCACUCCACCCCGUGUGAAAAAAUCUGCAUGCAUGACUCUCCUUCCCCCACGCUCGUCCAAUCCGUUGUGACCAGCAAUAUUUCCACCCCUUCACUCCCCCGUAAUUUACUCCAAUAAAUAUGCCCACGUAGCUGUUACUUAACUGCAGGUGCAUUCGGUCACUGACAUAUGGGCCCAACAGGGGUCUGGCCCACAUGUCAGUGACGCAACUAGACCGCCAGUUAAGUCAGUGCAGCUCAGUCCAUAUCUUACGUAGCUGUGCCAUUGCUCGCUAUAAAUACUGCGCCUCCCACGACAUCGCUAUCUCCUCCCCCUCACGUUCACGUUCAUCGCUAUCUCCUCCCCCUCCCUCUCAUGUCAACCACCAUGGCAUCGCCCCUCUCAAGCCCUAGGAGCCCAUCGCUGCAUCGCGCGGACGGUCACGCGUCGCCGUUCCGUUCCUCGCCGCCACUAGUCGAGGAGGAGGCGUUGGUGUUCCGCUCCUCGCCGCUACACAACGCGUCGCCGUUCCGUUCCUCGCUGCCACUAGUCGAGAAGAACGCGUCGGUGUUCCGCUCCUCGUCGCGAUGCGUCGAGGUGGACGCGUCAGCGUUCCCAAUCUCGCCAGCAUGCGCACCGGAGGAUGCGUCGGCUCCCCGCUACGAGGAGAACGUCGCGCCGCCCGCCGAGCCCCCCCCCCAGCCUUGAGGAGAUUUGGAAAGAAAUGGAUGUCGCCUUGUGGGAGGCUUUGCCUCCAGCAGAGCCCGCCAAAAUAGAGGCGGAGAAGAAGGUCGAGGAAGAGAAGCGCACCGCGGAACAAGCUGCAUGGGAGGCCUAUGUCACGUCCGAGAGAGUCGGGCAAUUGUCUUUUGGUCAGAAGGCUCGCUCGAGGGCCGUGAGGGUGGCGGAGGACGCCCGUGCCGACGCCCUGAGUGCAGUCGGGCCCAAGCGCCUCAUCUACGCUUGGCGGUACAUGGACCGGGUGCACGCUUCUAGCGAGGAGGAGUACCUAUUGGCGCCGGAUCACCACACCGGUGAGAUCGUGCUCGCCCGUCGGCAAGCCGCCAAUCAGAACCCCGCGAGUUGUGAGGCUGAGGAAGAGGCGUUGUGUCGGCGCGCAGGGAAAUGGCCGCGCACCAGGGCACUCGUGGCGUGCCGCAAGCGCUCCUGCGAGCGCCGUGGCUUUUAUGAGGAGUAUAAUUUUUGUUUCGUAAGGCGAUCUCAUUAGUUUUGGGACGCAAAUGAUAAAUCCCGAACGUUCAGGAAUUUUUAGUGUCCUUAAUUAAGUAUGUAAAAGGGAAAGUUUGAAAACCUUGUGCAUUCGUACGCAUUUUGCAAGUACAUGCAUAUAGCACAAACUUUACUAUAUUCCAUCGCAAGAAAAGAAUUCUAUGAGACCAGGUCUCACGCGAGACCCAUCCUGAUGGAUGACACAUGGCAUUCACAAAUCACAAAGCAUCCCCCACCCCCACUUAAAAUCAAGGGGGAGAGAUUAGAUGCUUUGUGAUUUGUGAAUGCCACAUGUCAUCCAUCAGGACGGGUCUCACCUGCUAACCGUGAGACCUGGACUCAUAUAAUUUUUUUUCACUAUCGCACUACACGUCUCUCUCGAUAUAUGCUUGCAGACUGUGCUACUCCCUCCGUCUAGGUCAAUAAGUCAUCUUAAGUUGUGCACCGUGACCAAGAAGGAGGGAAGACUUAUACACCUAGACGGAGGGAGUACUACUAUUACUUAUGUACGUGCAAAUGCAUGUUUUAACAUUAUGAUGCGGUUUUUGUAAAAGUAGAAAAACAGCACUAGUCAAGCUUGUGAAACGAUUCAAUGCAAAACAAAUGCAAAAAUGCUCGUUUGAUUGUUUACUUUUAGCUUCCUUCUCUAUGGUUAUUUCUCUGUCGUACUUUGUACGGAGUAUCUCACUGGUUGGAAAGGCAUGCAAAUUCCCAAACCGCUUCCUACACCCUGUAUCUCACUGGUUGCCGGUGUUGACGUUGUCGCCCAUGUCGUCGAGGAUGAGGUUGCUGAGGUCGGGCAAGAAGUCGUCGUUCGCAACUAAUCAUGUGGACUAGCAUAGUAGUAGGAUACAGAGUAGAAACAUGAAUUCUACCACGAUUUCCAACAGGAAGGACAGAAACACAUACGGUGCAACGGGAGUAGCACCGUUGGCGUUGAGCUUGUCGCCCAUGUCCAAACACCACGUAGACACGGUCUUUGAGCACGGUUUGUAGUCGUUCCACGCUCCGGCAUUGAAGUUUGUAACUAUUUUAGAUUAGAAUAUACUACUCCUCCGGUGCUAGUAGUAGAGCAGAGUCCUACUCUACUACUCUACUCAAGCAAGUUAGGGCAUAGCAUUGUAGGGAGUACCAGUACUGUGAUCACUCAAGCAACACCUCAUCCCUCCUUAAUAGUAUUGGCUUUUCCUAAAGAUUCAAUGUGAUCUUGGAUCACUAAAAUAUGAAAAGAAGAGUCUUGAGCUUUUGAGCUUGAGCCAAUCGUUUGUCCUUAGCAUUUUGAGGGUUCCACUUUCACAUCCAUGCCAUGCCAAUCAUUGAGCUUUCCUGAAAUAGUCAUCUUGGAAUAGCGUUAGCUCAAUGAGCUAUAUGUUGUUAUGAAUUACCAAAACCACCUAGGGAUAGUUGCACUUUCAAUCUCCCCCUUUUUGGUAAUUGAUGACAACAUAUAGAUCAAAGCUUCGACAAAUGAUAAUAAGCAUGAAAUAUAACGUCGCUUUGAGAAGUAUGUGAUAAGUAAGAGCUCCCCCUAAAUUUGUGCAUAUUUAAAAUCUGCUUUGGACUGCAAAUGCACAAAGAGUUAGAGUCAUGGGUUACUCUUCCUUGUCACAUACAUCUUGGUGGAGCGCUUAAAAUGAUAAGAAUGAAAUACAUGCACUCAUCACCAAGAAUAGUGAAUGAUCACAUAAGAUAGAUAAGAUAAUAGCAUUAAGCAAACAUUAAGUGUAGCUUAUGAUCAAACACAUGAUCAUCAAUGUCUCACAGAUAAUGAUGUAGUAUCUCAAGCACUCAAAAGCAAACAAAGUUCGAAAUACCUCCAAAUAAAGCAAGAGAAAAAAAGCAACACUCUCUCUCUCUCGAAGCCUAUGAUCUAUACAUUUUUCUCCCCCUUUGGCAACAAGCUACCAAAAAGUUACUAGAAAAUGCAUAGUGCUAGAUCGACACUCAGGCUUGAUCUUCUGGUGGUGGUGGAGUCCGGAUCACUCCAAGGAUGAAGGCUUCUAUAGACGCUGAAGUAGACGCUGGACUUGGAGCUGAAGUAGAUGCUGGAGCUGGUGGAACUGAGGCUGUAGCUGGUGCUGAAGUGGUGGCUCUGGUGUCAGCAACUGGCACGGCAGACGACCUCGGACCUCGUGGCACUCUGGCAAAGGCAUGAGUGGUAGUCCUGCCUCUCCUCUCCUGCAUGUCAUCCUGGAGCUGCUCCACUGCAGUCUGAAUCUCUAUCACCUUGACAUCCAAGUCAUAGAACUUUUGUUCCAUGAUUCUCUCUAGGCUUGCCUGGUUUUGAGUUAGGGUGGCUAGUCCUUUCUCAAUCCGCAGGGUGGAUGCAAUCAGGUAACCAAGCUGCUCUUGUUUGGUCUUCAAGAAAUACUCAGAUGUCUCCUCUUGAGUUGGCAUCUUGGCAGCUUUCUCCUUCCUUGCCUUCUCCUUCUUUGCUUGUGCUUGGGCAGACGAUGGUUCAUUUUCAGUCAUCACAACUUGAUUGUCCUCAAAAUCUGGAUGGAUGGGCAAGUGUUCCUUGUCCAACAAGUAUAUGCCCAUGCCCAUCUUGGAGUUAAUGAGCUCCUGAAUUUGUGGGGCAUACCCACAGCUCCUCUUCUGGUCUGCUGCAGUCCUCUUGAUAGUCUCUACUAUGAGGCUCAUGACUUUGAAUUUCUGAGGUACAUCAAAUACAUGAAGCAAAUUGAUUGCAUGGCCUCUGAUCAUCUUGUGAUCUCCAGACUUGGGCAAGAGAGUGUGCCUCAAUAUCCAAUUUAUAGUAGGCAGCCCUGACAGAAGAUAAUGCACAGACCCAAACUUGAAAGUAUCAAGAGCUUCAUUGGGAAUUUCCUUGUACAUAUUGGACAUUGAGUUAUGAUCCAUCUUCUUCUUGGCAUAGAUAUCCAAGUCAUCCUCAUGCUCCUCUGGGGCAUUGAUGAGAUGUGCCCACUCAGCAACAGUAGAUUGGUACCUCGUACCCUCUGACAUCCAUGUGAUCUUUCCAUCUGGGUAAAAGUGUGUUGUGGAGUAGAACUGCAUGAUUAGCUCCUCGUUCCACUUUGUGAGCUUCUGCCCAACAAAGUCUGCAACUCCACACGCACUAAAGCUGUCAUACACUCCAGGGUAGUGUUCCUCAUUUUCCUUCAUGUAGGUCCAGUCGACCCAUCUCAUGUCACAAACUAUUGGCUUCUUGUCAAGCAAAACUGUCUCAUAGAAGUCCUACUGUUCCUUGGUGUGAAAUCUGUAAUCCACAGUAGUCCUUCUCCUUGAAGCAUACGGAUCUGCUUCUCUCCAUUUCCUCAGCCCUGAGUCUCUCCUGAGCUUCAUGUCUUCAGCCACAGGAUGAGCAUCGUUGUGGUCUGGGAUCUUGGGCUUGAGCUUUCUCAGAACAUUCUCUUCCUCUUCUUCUGCAGCUUCAGGCACUGGGGCCUUGUUCUUUUCAGCAGCUGGGAUGCUUCUUGUAUUUCUCUUUGGUUUUGGCUUUGAAGCUGGCUUGGCCUUGGAAGCAGCUGCCCCUGAUCUUAUGGCAUCACCCAUUAGCUUGGGUGCCUUAGGUGCUGAUGCAGCUACCUCUUCUUCUUCCUCUUCUUCCAUGAUUGAAGCCUUUCCAAGCACUCUGGCUACGGUCUUCUUGACCCUUUCCUUCCUCUUCUUGCCUUCAGCAGCAACUGGCUCUAUGGGUGCAGGCUUUUCAGUUGAAGCUCUAGCCUUUGACAUAGGCUGCCUGCCUGCUGGCCUUUUGAUCUUCAGUCCUGGCUUUGUGCCUUGAGCUGGCUCAACUCUCUUUGAUGUGACCUCUUCCUCUGCCACAUAAUCUUCAUCUUCAAAAUCUGAAGUUCUCUUCUUCCUCUGUCUAGUGGCAGCUUUUGGCAGAUUGCUUGGGGUACUUCUGCUGCCAUCAUCUGAAGAGCUAGAGGGACUAGUGCCCUCACUCAUCACCACUUGCUGUUCUGACACAUUCUGGCUGUCACUCUGAUCUGACAUGUUGAACAAGCUGACUGCUGACCCUGUGAAUAGUUUAUAGAUGAGGUAGAGUGGAUGAGCAUCACAAAAUGAAGAGAUCUUUGCAAAAAGAAUGAUCCAAAAACUUAGUUUUAGUUUCCCACUGAAAUCAUCUCGGAUCUACCGAUUUUCAAACUCGGUGAUACCGAAGCAGUUUUGGAACCUAAACUAGUGAACUCGGUAGGACCGAGUCACAGUUCGGUAGCACCGAGACUGCUAGGGUUUCACAGAGUUCCAAAAUUGGUCACACCGAUAAGUAAUUCUCGGUCAGACCGAGUCUCACUUGUGCAAUGGCAUAAGCCAAAUCGGUGGGACCGAGUUUUUCAACUCGGUGGGUCCGAGAUGGUUUCGGCGGAAACCUAACCCUAAAUUUUUUGAAUCAAACCUAAUCUACGAACGCAUUGACUGGACAGGAGUGUUUCAAUCGUGGCAAGAAUCAUGAUGGUCACAAUGUGCUAAGAAUCGGAUUGGAGAAUAGCACAAAGAUCGAGUCCAUACCCUAGUUCGGCGGAGACUCGCUACGGCAGUAACGGUGGGGUAGGAUUCCCAUUGACGGCGACGGAGACCAGUGACUGAAGGCGGCUAGCGGUGAGGAGACGAUCCGGAGACCACGUUGGCAAAGCAGGCUAUCGCGCGGGCGAAGGGGUUCGGAGAAAUUUCCAAAAUUUUGCCCGUGACUAUAUAUAGCCCGACCCUGUCGGUGUGACCGAGUGGAACAACUCGGUGGCACCGAGAUUCAUAACUGCAAGCAGUUACUGAAACUCAGUGUGACCGAAAUGUUCAAAUCGGUUGCACCGAGAUCGAAAACCUAGAUCAACUUAAUGAUCUCGGUAGGACCGAAAGUGGGGUAUCGGUCAUACCGAGAAUCAUAAAGAGGUUUUGGAAGUUUAAGUCUAUGAUGAAUCGGGGACUCCGAGCGCUCCUCACACAGAGUGGUUCGAAUCUGACUUGAUCAAAUUUUGUGAUGCAGCAUGAAUAGAGUUUGAGACGAGAAAAGCAUAGAUAGCUAGAGGAGGUUCUUAGGCAUUCUUGUCCAUCCACUUGGCAAAAGGAAAUAAAACCAAACAAUCAAAACAACAAGUGGAUGUCCUCGAAUGAGUAAAAUAUGCAACCAGCAUGCUCACACAAUAAGAUGGCAACUGAAAUAUGUGACAAGGCAUGCACAACCAAUUCUAGCAUCUAUCAAGCAAUUUGCGAUGACUAGGUCAUCUAUAUAUGAGUAUAUUGACUUAGGAGUCAAAUGAGAACACUUGAUCAUAGGUCAUACUCAUCGUUUAAGCUCAAGUGGGGUUACCACUUUUACAUAAAGCAUUGUUGUGUUCACAUCUUUAGAGUUGCUUUAGCUCAAGUCUUAGAGUAAAGCUCCCCCUAGAUGUGAUAUCCCCCCUUAUAGGGAUGAACUAACCUCGGGUUUUGUCGAUGAUGACUUCAUGUAGAUGUUGAAUAUGUGGAUGCUCAAUGUUGAUGUAGAUCACUUGGAGCUAUCCAUUUGAGUUAAUUGCACUUUCAAUACCUACAUGGGUUAGUCCCACAAGGAACAAACAAGGAUAUCCAUAGACAUAGAGUGAUGCACACACAAGAUGAUGUCCAUGAAAACUUUUAGGUUACCUUGUCCCUUGUCUUACCAACAAGAGGGUUUGUGACUCCUUGAACUAGUGCAAGAUGUGGAAGUUGAUUGCACUUGUUCUUGCCAAAAUGAUAAGAGUGAAGUAUGUUGGCGGAGUCACCCUCAAGAACUCUCUAGUUCUUCUUCUUUUGGAUCCACACCAUCUUGAUGGGAAUCCUUGGAGUUGUAGUCGUACUUGAUGAAGUGGAACUUGAAGUAGUCUUGGGAAUCCACUUGACUAAGGUCUUAGGAGCUUCUUCAAAUGCAUCAAUUUCCUCUUGAAGCUUGUCCUUGCCUUUUUGCUUGUAGUCUUGUGGUGAAAGAUCAUCUUGAGCUUGUGUCCCCUUGAAGGAAGUAUCAUACUUCUCUUGUUGAGGAACAAACUUUGUCUUGGGGUAUUGAUCUUCUUCCCACUCAACUCCAUUGGCAUUGAACUUUCGUUCAAAANNNNNNNNNNNNNNNNNNNNNNNNNNNNNNNNNNNNNNNNNNNNNNNNNNNNNNNNNNNNNNNNNNNNNNNNNNNNNNNNNNNNNNNNNNNNNNNNNNNNNNNNNNNNNNNNNNNNNNNNNNNNNNNNNNNNNNNNNNNNNNNNNNNNNNNNNNNNNNNNNNNNNNNNNNNNNNNNNNNNNNNNNNNNNNNNNNNNNNNNNNNNNNNNNNNNNNNNNNNNNNNNNNNNNNNNNNNNNNNNNNNNNNNNNNNNNNNNNNNNNNNNNNNNNNNNNNNNNNNNNNNNNNNNNNNNNNNNNNNNNNNNNNNNNNNNNNNNNNNNNNNNNNNNNNNNNNNNNNNNNNNNNNNNNNNNNNNNNNNNNNNNNNNNNNNNNNNNNNNNNNNNNNNNNNNNNNNNNNNNNNNNNNNNNNNNNNNNNNNNNNNNNNNNNNNNNNNNNNNNNNNNNNNNNNNNNNNNNNNNNNNNNNNNNNNNNNNNNNNNNNNNNNNNNNNNNNNNNNNNNNNNNNNNNNNNNNNNNNNNNNNNNNNNNNNNNNNNNNNNNNNNNNNNNNNNNNNNNNNNNNNNNNNNNNNNNNNNNNNNNNNNNNNNNNNNNNNNNNNNNNNNNNNNNNNNNNNNNNNNNNNNNNNNNNNNNNNNNNNNNNUUAGCUCAAUGAGCUAUAUGUUGUUAUGAAUUACCAAAACCACCUAGGGAUAGUUGCACUUUCAAUCUCCCCCUUUUUGGUAAUUGAUGACAACAUAUAGAUCAAAGCUUCGACAAAUGAUAAUAAGCAUGAAAUAUAACGUCGCUUUGAGAAGUAUGUGAUAAGUAAGAGCUCCCCCUAAAUUUGUGCAUAUUUAAAAUCUGCUUUGGACUGCAAAUGCACAAAGAGUUAGAGUCAUGGGUUACUCUUCCUUGUCACAUACAUCUUGGUGGAGCGCUUAAAAUGAUAAGAAUGAAAUACAUGCACUCAUCACCAAGAAUAGUGAAUGAUCACAUAAGAUAGAUAAGAUAAUAGCAUUAAGCAAACAUUAAGUGUAGCUUAUGAUCAAACACAUGAUCAUCAAUGUCUCACAGAUAAUGAUGUAGUAUCUCAAGCACUCAAAAGCAAACAAAGUUCGAAAUACCUCCAAAUAAAGCAAGAGANNNNNNNNNNNNNNNNNNNNNNNNNNNNNNNNNNNNNNNNNNNNNNNNNNNNNNNNNNNNNNNNNNNNNNNNNNNNNNNNNNNNNNNNNNNNNNNNNNNNNNNNNNNNNNNNNNNNNNNNNNNNNNNNNNNNNNNNNNNNNNNNNNNNNNNNNNNNNNNNNNNNNNNNNNNNNNNNNNNNNNNNNNNNNNNNNNNNNNNNNNNNNNNNNNNNNNNNNNNNNNNNNNNNNNNNNNNNNNNNNNNNNNNNNNNNNNNNNNNNNNNNNNNNNNNNNNNNNNNNNNNNNNNNNNNNNNNNNNNNNNNNNNNNNNNNNNNNNNNNNNNNNNNNNNNNNNNNNNNNNNNNNNNNNNNNNNNNNNNNNNNNNNNNNNNNNNNNNNNNNNNNNNNNNNNNNNNNNNNNNNNNNNNNNNNNNNNNNNNNNNNNNNNNNNNNNNNNNNNNNNNNNNNNNNNNNNNNNNNNNNNNNNNNNNNNNNNNNNNNNNNNNNNNNNNNNNNNNNNNNNNNNNNNNNNNNNNNNNNNNNNNNNNNNNNNNNNNNNNNNNNNNNNNNNNNNNNNNNNNNNNNNNNNNNNNNNNNNNNNNNNNNNNNNNNNNNNNNNNNNNNNNNNNNNNNNNNNNNNNNNNNNNNNNNNNNNNNNNNNNNNNNNNNNNNNNNNNNNNNNNNNNNNNNNNNNNNNNNNNNNNNNNNNNNNNNNNNNNNNNNNNNNNNNNNNNNNNNNNNNNNNNNNNNNNNNNNNNNNNNNNNNNNNNNNNNNNNNNNNNNNNNNNNNNNNNNNNNNNNNNNNNNNNNNNNNNNNNNNNNNNNNNNNNNNNNNNNNNNNNNNNNNNNNNNNNNNNNNNNNNNNNNNNNNNNNNNNNNNNNNNNNNNNNNNNNNNNNNNNNNNNNNNNNNNNNNNNNNNNNNNNNNNNNNNNNNNNNNNNNNNNNNNNNNNNNNNNNNNNNNNNNNNNNNNNNNNNNNNNNNNNNNNNNNNNNNNNNNNNNNNNNNNNNNNNNNNNNNNNNNNNNNNNNNNNNNNNNNNNNNNNNNNNNNNNNNNNNNNNNNNNNNNNNNNNNNNNNNNNNNNNNNNNNNNNNNNNNNNNNNNNNNNNNNNNNNNNNNNNNNNNNNNNNNNNNNNNNNNNNNNNNNNNNNNNNNNNNNNNNNNNNNNNNNNNNUUCGGGGCACAAUCCGUUGAAGAGAAUAUCACAAGCUUGAGCAUUGUAUUGCAACAUCUUCAACUCAUCCGCGGUAGCUUCACGGUUUGGUUCUUUCCCAUCAAAGAAGUCACCUUGCAAACCAACACACACAAUAGCCCAAACGGCGGGGUUAUGUCCAAGAAUAUGCAUUUUCAUUUUAUGCUUCCAACUAGCAAAAUUAGUACCAUCAAAGUAAGGACCUCUACGGUGAUAAUUUCCCUCGCUAGACGCCAUACUCUCCUAGGUUGUGAAACCAAGGCUAUGACCACCAAAAGCUAUGGAGAUCAAAGCAAAUGGAGACCAAAGCUCUGAUACCACUUGUAGGAUCGAAAGUAUGUCUAGAGGGGGGUGAUUAGACUACUUGACCAAAUAAAAACUUAACCUUUUCCCAAUUUUAGUUCUUGGCAGAUUUUAGCUAUUGUAGGACAAGUCAAGCAAUCAUCACACAAUUCAAGCAAGCAUGCAAAGAGUAUAUUCGCAGCGGAAAGUAAAGCAUGCAACUUGCAAGAAUGUAAAGGGAAGGGUUUGGAGAAAUCAAACGCAAUUGGAGACACGGAUGUUUUUCCCGUGGUUCGGAUAGGUGGUGCUAUCCUACAUCCACGUUGAUGGAGACUUCAACCCACAAAGGGUAACGGUUGCGCGAGUCCACAAAGGACUCCACCCACAAAGGAUGACGGUUGUGCGAGUCCACAAAGGGCUCCACCCACAAAGGGUCCACGAAGAAGCAACCACCCACAAAGGGUCCACGAAGAAGCAACCUUGUCUAUCCCACCAUGGCCAUCGCCCACACAGGACUUGCCUCACUAGCGGUAGAUCUUCACGAAGUAGGCGAUCUCCUUGCCCUUACAAACUCCUUGGUUCAACUCCACAAUCUUGUCGGAGGCUCCCAAGUGACACCUAGCCAAUCUAGGAGACACCACUCUCCAAGAAGUAACAAAUGGUGUGUAGGUAAUGAACUCCUUGCUCUUGUGCUUCAAAUGAUAGUCUCCCCAACACUCAACUCUCUCUCAUAGGAUUUGGAUUUUGUGGAAAGAAUAUUUGAGUGGAAAGCAACUUGGGAAGGCUAGAGAUCAAGAUUCGUAUGGUAGGAAUGGAAUAUCUUGGUCUCAACACAUGAGUAGGUGGUUCUCUCUCGGAACAUAUGAGUAGGAAUUGUGUAUGUGUUCUGAUGGCUCUCUCCACGAAUCAAGAGGAGGUGGAGGGGUAUAUAUAGCCUCCACACAAAAUCCAACCGUUACACACAGUUUUCCAAUCUCGGUGGGACCGAAUCAACAAACUCGGUCAGACUAAAAAUGUAAACCUAGUGACCGUUAGAGAUUUUCGGUGGGACUGACAUGCAACUCGGUGGGACCGAUAUGGUUAGGAUUUGGGCAUAACGUAAUCUCGGUGAGACCGAUUACACAAACUCGGUGAGACCGAAUUUGGUAAUUAGCUAACCAUAGAGUUGGUCAGGCAAACUCGGUGGGACCGAUUUGCUCUUUCGGUGAGACCGAAAAGUUACAAAAAGGAAACACUGAAUUUACAUUGCAAUCUCGGUGGGACCGAUUCGCUCUUUCGGUGAGACCGAAAAGUUACGAAAGGGAAACAGAGAGUUUGCAAUCCCAUCUCGGUGAGACCGACAUCCCUAUCGGUAGAACCGAUUUGCUAGGGUUUGGCAGUGACUUAAGACAAGUGAAACUCGGUGGUGCCGGAUAGAAAGAAUCGGUAGGACCGAGUUUGGCUUUGGGUUUAGGUCAUAUGUGGAUAUGGGAAAGUAGUUGAGGGUUUUGGAGCAUAUCACUAAGCACAUGAAGCAAGAGGCUCAUUAAGCAACACCUCAUCCCUACUUAAUAGUAUUGGCUUUUCCUAAAGAUUCAAUGUGAUCUUGGAUCACUAAAAUAUGAAAAGAAGAGUCUUGAGCUUUUGAGCUUGAGCCAAUCGUUUGUCCUUAGCAUUUUGAGGGUUCCACUUUCACAUCCAUGCCAUGCCAAUCAUUGAGCUUUCCUGAAAUAGUCAUCUUGGAAUAGCAUUAGCUCAAUGAGCUAUAUGUUGUUAUGAAUUACCAAAACCACCUAGGGAUAGUUGCACUUUCAAUCUCCCCCUUUUUGGUAAUUGAUGACAACAUAUAGAUCAAAGCUUCGACAAAUGAUAAUAAGCAUGAAAUAUAACGUCGCUUUGAGAAGUAUGUGAUAAGUAAGAGCUCCCCCUAAAUUUGUGCAUAUUUAAAAUCUGCUUUGGACUGCAAAUGCACAAAGAGUUAGAGUCAUGGGUUACUCUUCCUUGUCACAUACAUCUUGGUGGAGCGCUUAAAAUGAUAAGAAUGAAAUACAUGCACUCAUCACCAAGAAUAGUGAAUGAUCACAUAAGAUAGAUAAGAUAAUAGCAUUAAGCAAACAUUAAGUGUAGCUUAUGAUCAAACACAUGAUCAUCAAUGUCUCACAGAUAAUGAUGUAGUAUCUCAAGCACUCAAAAGCAAACAAAGUUCGAAAUACCUCCAAAUAAAGCAAGAGAGAAAAAGCAACACUCUCUCUCUCUCGAAGCCUAUGAUCUAUACAUUUUUCUAUCCCUUUGGCAACAAGCUACCAAAAAGUUACUAGAAAAUGCAUAGUGCUAGAUCGACACUUAGGCUUGAUCUUCUGGUGGUGGUGGAGUCCGGAUCACUCCAAGGAUGAAGGCUUCUAUAGACGCUGAAGUAGACGCUGGACUUGGAGCUGAAGUAGAUGCUGGAGCUGGUGGAACUGAGGCUGUAGCUGGUGCUGAAGUGGUGGCUCUGGUGUCAGCAACUGGCACGGCAGACGACCUCGGACCUUGUGGCACUCUGGCAAAGGCAUGAGUGGUAGUCCUGCCUCUCCUCUCCUUCAUGUCAUCCUGGAGCUGCUCCACUGCAGUCUGAAUCUCUAUCACCUUGACAUCCAAGUCAUAGAACUUUUGUUCCAUGAUUCUCUCUAGGCUUGCCUGGUUUUGAGUUAGGGUGGCUAGUCCUUUCUCAAUCCGCAGGGUGGAUGCAAUCAGGUAACCAAGCUGCUCUUGUUUGGUCUUCAAGAAAUACUCAGAUGCCUCCUAUUGAGUUGGCAUCUUGGCAGCUUUCUCCUUCCUUGCCUUCUCCUUCUUUGCUUGUGCUUGGGCAGACGAUGGUUCAUUUUCAGUCAUCACAACUUGAUUGUCCUCAAAAUCUGGAUGGAUGGGCAAGUGUUCCUUGUCCAACAAGUAUAUGCCCAUGCCCAUCUUGGAGUUAAUGAGCUCCUGAAUUUGUGGGGCAUACCCACAGCUCCUCUUCUGGUCUGCUGCAGUCCUCUUGAUAGUCUCUACUAUGAGGCUCAUGACUUUGAAUUUCUGAGGUACAUCAAAUACAUGAAGCAAAUUGAUUGCAUGGCCUCUGAUCAUCUUGUGAUCUCCAGACUUGGGCAAGAGAGUGUGCCUCAAUAUCCAAUUUAUAGUAGGCAGCCCUAACAGAAGAUAAUGCACAGACCCAAACUUGAAAGUAUCAAGAGCUUCAUUGGGAAUUUCCUUGUACAUAUUGGACAUUGAGUUAUGAUCCAUCUUCUUCUUGGCAUAGAUAUCCAAGUCAUCCUCAUGCUCCUCUGGGGCAUUGAUGAGAUGUGCCCACUCAGCAACAGUAGAUUGGUACCUCGUACCCUCUGACAUCCAUGUGAUCUUUCCAUCUGGGUAAAAGUGUGUUGUGGAGUAGAACUGCAUGAUUAGCUCCUCGUUCCACUUUGUGAGCUUCUGCCCAACAAAGUCUGCAACUCCACACGCACUAAAGCUGUCAUACACUCCAGGGUAGUGUUCCUCAUUUUCCUUCAUGUAGGUCCAGUCGACCCAUCUCAUGUCACAAACUAUUGGCUUCUUGUCAAGCAAAACUGUCUCAUAGAAGUCCUACUGUUCCUUGGUGUGAAAUCUGUAAUCCACAGUAGUCCUUCUCCUUGAAGCAUACGGAUCUGCUUCUCUCCAUUUCCUCAGCCCUGAGUCUCUCCUGAGCUUCAUGUCUUCAGCCACAGGAUGAGCAUCGUUGUGGUCUGGGAUCUUGGGCUUGAGCUUUCUCAGAACAUUCUCUUCCUCUUCUUCUGCAGCUUCAGGCACUGGGGCCUUGUUCUUUUCAGCAGCUGGGAUGCUUCUUGUAUUUCUCUUUGGUUUUGGCUUUGAAGCUGGCUUGGCCUUGGAAGCAGCUGCCCCUGAUCUUAUGGCAUCACCCAUUAGCUUGGGUGCCUUAGGUGCUGGUGCAGCUACCUCUUCUUCUUCCUCUUCUUCCAUGAUGGAAGCCUUUCCAAGCACUCUGGCUACGGUCUUCUUGACCCUUUCCUUCCUCUUCUUGCCUUCAGCAGCAACUGGCUCUAUGGGUGCAGGCUUUUCAGUUGAAGCUCUAGCCUUUGACAUAGGCUGCCUGCCUGCUGGCCUUUUGAUCUUCAGUCCUGGCUUUGUGCCUUGAGCUGGCUCAACUCUCUUUGAUGUGACCUCUUCCUCUGCCACAUAAUCUUCAUCUUCAAAAUCUGAAGUUCUCUUCUUCCUCUGUCUAGUGGCAGCUUUUGGCAGAUUGCUUGGGGUACUUCUGCUGCCAUCAUCUGAAGAGCUAGAGGGACUAGUGCCCUCACUCAUCACCACUUGCUGUUCUGACACAUUCUGGCUGUCACUCUGAUCUGACAUGUUGAACAAGCUGACUGCUGACCCUGUGAAUAGUUUAUAGAUGAGGUAGAGUGGAUGAGCAUCACAAAAUGAAGAGAUCUUUGCAAAAAGAAUGAUCCAAAAACUUAGUUUUAGUUUCCCACUGAAAUCAUCUCGGAUCUACCGAUUUUCAAACUCGGUGAUACCGAAGCAGUUUUGGAACCUAAACUAGUGAACUCGGUAGGACCGAGUCACAGUUUGGUAGCACCGAGACUGCUAGGGUUUCACAGAGUUCCAAAAUUGGUCACACCGAUAAGUAAUUCUUGGUCAGACCGAGUCUCACUUGUGCAAUGGCAUAAGCCAAAUCGGUGGGACCGAGUUUUUCAACUCGGUGGGUCCGAGAUGGUUUCGGCGGAAACCUAACCCUAAAUUUUUUGAAUCAAACCUAAUCUACGAACGCAUUGACUGGACAGGAGUGUUUCAAUCGUGGCAAGAAUCAUGAUGGUCACAAUGUGCUAAGAAUCGGAUUGGAGAAUAGCACAAAGAUCGAGUCCAUACCCUAGUUCGGCGGAGACUCGCUACGGCAGUAACGGUGGGGUAGGAUUCCCAUUGACGGCGACGGAGACCAGCGACUGAAGGCGGCUAGCGGUGAGGAGACGAUCCGGAGACCACGUUGGCAAAGCAGGCUAUCGCGCGGGCGAAGGGGUUCGGAGAAAUUUCCAAAAUUUUGCCCGUGACUAUAUAUAGCCCGACCCUGUCGGUGUGACCGAGUGGAACAACUCGGUGGCACCGAGAUUCAUAACUGCAAGCAGUUACUGAAACUCAGUGUGACCGAAAUGUUCAAAUCGGUUGCACCGAGAUCAAAAACCUAGAUCAACUUAAUGAUCUCGGUAGGACCGAAAGUGGGGUAUCGGUCAUACCGAGAAUCAUAAAGAGGUUUUGGAAGUUUAAGUCUAUGAUGAAUCGGGGACUCCAAGCGCUCCUCACACAGAGUGGUUCGAAUCUGACUUGAUCAAAUUUUGUGAUGCAGCAUGAAUAGAGUUUGAGACGAGAAAAGCAUAGAUAGCUAGAGGAGGUUCUUAGGCAUUCUUGUCCAUCCACUUGGCAAAAGGAAAUAAAACCAAACAAUCAAAACAACAAGUGGAUGUCCUUGAAUGAGUAAAAUAUGCAACCAGCAUGCUCACACAAUAAGAUGGCAACUGAAAUAUGUGACAAGGCAUGCACAACCAAUUCUAGCAUCUAUCAAGCAAUUUGCGAUGACUAGGUCAUCUAUAUAUGAGUAUAUUGACUUAGGAGUCAAAUGAGAACACUUGAUCAUAGGUCAUACUCAUCGUUUAAGCUCAAGUGGGGUUACCACUUUUACAUAAAGCAUUGUUGUGUUCACAUCUUUAGAGUUGCUUUAGCUCAAGUCUUAGAGUAAAGCUCCCCCUAGAUGUGAUAUCCCCCCUUAUAGGGAUGAACUAACCUCGGGUUUUGUCGAUGAUGACUUCAUGUAGAUGUUGAAUAUGUGGAUGCUCAAUGUUGAUGUAGAUCACUUGGAGCUAUCCAUUUGAGUUAAUUGCACUUUCAAUACCUACAUGGGUUAGUCCCACAAGGAACAAACAAGGAUAUCCAUAGACAUAGAGUGAUGCACACACAAGAUGAUGUCCAUGAAAACUUUUAGGUUACCUUGUCCCUUGUCUUACCAACAAGAGGGUUUGUGACUCCUUGAACUAGUGCAAGAUGUGGAAGUUGAUUGCACUUGUUCUUGCCAAAAUGAUAAGAGUGAAGUAUGUUGGCGGAGUCACCCUCAAGAACUCUCUAGUUCUUCUUCUUUUGGAUCCACACCAUCUUGAUGGGAAUCCUUGGAGUUGUAGUCGUACUUGAUGAAGUGGAACUUGAAGUAGUCUUGGGAAUCCACUUGACUAAGGUCUUAGGAGCUUCUUCAAAUGCAUCAAUUUCCUCUUGAAGCUUGUCCUUGCCUUUUUGCUUGUAGUCUUGUGGUGAAAGAUCAUCUUGAGCUUGUGUCCCCUUGAAGGAAGUAUCAUACUUCUCUUGUUGAGGAACAAACUUUGUCUUGGGGUAUUGAUCUUCUUCCCACUCAACUCCAUUGGCAUUGAACUUUCGUUCAAAACCAACACCUUGAUUCUUCCGGUGCAUUCCUUGCUUGCGCACAAUUUCCUUGAAUUACUUACUCUCGGCAAGGCUUUUGUACACUCCUUUCUCUAUAAUUCCCUUCAAUAAGCUAUUUUCUUGCUCAAGUGUAACUUGGCUAAGAGAAUCAUUAGUGGAAUCAAGAGAACUACUAGAAGCAACAAUAUUGGAUUUAGCACUGAUCAUUGUUACUACUAGAGGAAGAAUCUUUCUUGUUCUUGUUAUUAGACUUGACUUGAGGCAUGUAAGUGGAUAAGAGUAAACGCUUGGCAAUGUGAGAAGAACUUUUCUUGCGGAGAUCAUCAUUGAUUGCUUUUAAGAACUCAUGCUCUUGCUCAAGAUUGAGCUUUUCAAAGCGUAAUUUCUCAUGAGCUCUUAAAAGUUCUCGAUGAUCUUCGAAGAUAGUUUCAUGAGCUAACUUAAGAGUGUUUAGUUCUUUAGUUAGAGCCUCAAUCUUCUCCUUAUCAUUGUCAUUCGUUUUAUCUUGAUUAGCAUGAUUAAUUGACAUUUCAUCAUAGUAUUCAUCACUAGAGUUGUCAACAAGCAAAUCAUCACCUAACAAGUCAUCUUCAUCACUAUUGAAAUCAACAUACUCGGGGUGUGUUACUUAGGACCUUUGGCCAUGAAGCAUCUUCCAAUUCCUUCAUUUGGUGAGUCAAAUAUGUCGUAGGAGUUGGUUGACACAAGUGCUAGACCGGCAACACCUUCAUCUUGAGUGUCUUCGGAGUCGGAGUGAUAACUUCUCUCGGAGUGGCUGUCAGAGUCGGAGCCGGAUACCCAUUCACCAACAUGAGCUUGAUGUCUUCGUCUUGUGUAGCUCCUUGAUGAUUUUUCCUUCCUUUCCGAAUCCUUGCUUCUCCGUGAGUAUCUUCGUUCAUAGCGAUCAUCUCUACUCCUUCUCUCUCUUGGUGGUGAUUCUUUGCUUCUUCUUUUUGGAGAAUCUUCUCUUCUCUUGUGGGGAGCCGUACACUCAUUGGAAUAGUGUCCGAGUCUUCCACAACUGUAGCAGUUUCGCUCUCGACUAGAAGAUCUUUUGUCAUUGUAGGACCUUGACUUGAAGCUUCUAUCUUUGCUUCUACUCUUGUAGAACUUGUUGAAGUUCUUCACCAUUAAGCUCAAUUCUUCAUUGAAGUCUUGUUUCUCACUUGAUGAUGUAGGGGCUUCACACGAGGCUUUGUAGGCACCACUUGAUUUGUUGUGAAGUUCCUCUUUAUCCUUAAGUGACAUCUCAUGAGCAACAAUUUCCAAUCACCUCCGUUGGCUUGAGAUCUUUGUAAUUGGGCAUCAUUUGGAUCAAUGUGCACACGGUAUCAUAUUUUCCAUCCAAGGAUCUUAGAAUCUUCUUGAUGAUGAAUCUAUCGGUCAUCUCUUCACUUCCUAAGCCGGCAAUCUCAUUUGUGAUGAGAGCAAGCCUAGAGUACAUUUCAGCGACACCUUCACCAUCCUUCAUUUUGAACUUGUCAAGUUGACUUUGAAGCACAUCCAACUUGGAUUCCUUGACGGAGUCGGUACCUUCGUGCAUAUCAAUCAAAGUGUCCCAAAUUUCCUUUGCAUUCUCAAGACGGCUGAUUUUGUUGAAUUCUUCGGGGCACAAUCCGUUGAAGAGAAUAUCACAAGCUUGAGCAUUGUAUUGCAACAUCUUCAACUCAUCCGCGGUAGCUUCACGGUUUGGUUCUCUCCCAUCAAAGAAGUCACCUUGCAAACCAACACACACAAUAGCCCAAAUGGCGGGGUUAUGUCCAAGAAUAUGCAUUUUCAUUUUAUGCUUCCAACUAGCAAAAUUAGUACCAUCAAAGUAAGGACCUCUACGGUGAUAAUUUCCCUCGCUAGACGCCAUACUCUCCUAGGUUGUGAAACCAAGGCUAUGACCACCAAAAGCUAUGGAAAUCAAAGCAAAUGGAGACCAAAGCUCUGAUACCACUUGUAGGAUCGGAAGUAUGUCUAGAGGGGGGGUGAUUAGACUACUUGACCAAAUAAAAACUUAACCUUUUCCCAAUUUUAGUUCUUGGCAGAUUUUAGCUAUUUUAGGACAAGUCAAGCAAUCAUCACACAAUUCAAGCAAGCAUGCAAAGAGUAUAUUGGCAGCGGAAAGUAAAGCAUGCAACUUGCAAGAAUGUAAAGGGAAGGGUUUGGAGAAUUCAAACGCAAUUGGAGACACGGAUGUUUUUCCCGUGGUUCGGAUAGGUGGUGCUAUCCUACAUCCACGUUGAUGGAGACUUCAACCCACAAAGGGUAACGGUUGCGAGAGUCCACACAGGGCUCCACCCACAAAGGGUAACGGUUGCGCGAGUCCACACAGGGCUCCACCCACGAAGGGUCCACGAAGAAGCAACCACCCACAAAGGGUCCACGAAGAAGCAACCUUGUCUAUCCCACCAUGGCCAUCGCCUACACAGGACUUGCCUCACUAGCGGUAGAUCUUCACAAAGUAGGCGAUCUCCUUGCCCUUACAAACUCCUUGGUUCAACUCCACAAUCUUGUCGGAGGCUCCCAAGUGACACCUAGCCAAUCUAGGAGACACCACUCUCCAAGAAGUAACAAAUGGUGUGUAGGUAAUGAACUCCUUGCUCUUGUGCUUCAAAUGAUAGUCUCCCCAACACUCAACUCUCUCUCAUAGGAUUUGGAUUUUGUGGAAAGAAGAUUUGAGUGGAAAGCAACUUGGGAAGGCUAGAGAUCAAGAUUCGUAUGGUAGGAAUGGAAUAUCUUGGUCUCAACACAUGAGUAGGUGGUUCUCUCUCAGAACAUAUGAGUAGGAAUUGUGUAUGUGUUCUGAUGGCUCUCUCCAUGAAUGAAGAGGAGGUGGAGGGGUAUAUAUAGCCUCCACACAAAAUCCAACCGUUACACACAGUUUUCCAAUCUUGGUGGGACCGAAUCAACAAACUCAGUCAGACCGAAAAUGUAACCUAGUGACCAUUAGAGAUUUUUGGUGGGACUGACAUGCAACUCGGUGGGACCGAUAUGGUUAGGGUUUGGGCAUAAUGUAAUCUCGGUGAGACCGAUUACACAAACUCGGUGAGACCGAAUUUGGUAAUUAGCUAACCAGAGAGUUGGUCAGGAAAACUCGGUGGGACCGAUUUGCUCUUUCGGUGAGACCGAAAAGUUACAAAAAGGAAACACUGAAUUUAUAUUGCAAUCUCGGUGGGACCGAUUCGCUCUUUCGGUGAGACCAAAAAGUUACGAAAGGGAAACAGAGAGUUUGCAAUCCCAUCUCGGUGAGACCGAGAUCCCUAUCGGUAGAACCGAUUUGCUAGGGUUUGGCAGUGGCUUAAGACAAGUGAAACUCGGUGGCGCCAGAUAGAAAGAAUCGGUAGGACCGAGUUUGGCUUUGGGUUUAGGUCAUAUGUGGAUAUGGGAAAGUAGUUGAGGGUUUUGGAGCAUAUCACUAAGCACAUGAAGCAAGAGGCUCAUUAAGCAACACCUCAUCCCUCCUUAAUAGUAUUGGCUUUUCCUAAAGACUCAAUGUGAUCUUGGAUCACUAAAAUAUGAAAAGAAGAGUCUUGAGCUUUUGAGCUUGAGCCAAUUGUUUGUCGUUAGCAUUUUGAGGGUUCCACUUUCACAUCCAUGCCAUGCCAAUCAUUGAGCUUUCCUGAAAUAGUCAUCUUGGAAUAGCAUUAGCUCAAUGAGCUAUAUGUUGUUAUGAAUUACCAAAACCACCUAGGGAUAGUUGCACUUUCAGCGACGAAUUUAGCAGUGGCGAUCCGCGGCUCCGACGAAGGGGAUGACGGUGGUGGCGACGCUGCAGUGCUCCUGGCGUCGUCUAGCUCGACGAGGAGGUGUAGUCGAGGGUGGCGGUGCUCCUGGACAGCAGCAAGGGACGGGGCGGUGGAGAUGGUCGCGGUGGCUCAUGGCGACGUGCUGCGGUGGCGUUCGAGCGCGGGAGAGAAGACGAGCAGAGGAGAGGAGAGAGCUCGGGAGAGAGUGAGGAUAGGCCAGGGGGCUCUGUGGAGCUCUCUGGGGUGGACAGCGCCGAGGGGAAGGGGGCAGGCAGGCAGGAGCGUGGCGUGCAUGCGCGUGCUCGCCGUGCCCUCCUUCGCCUCCUCCUGGCGGGGAGGAGGAUGAAUAGCUUGGGCCAGUUGGGCCGGGCCAGCCAGUGGGCGACAGGUAAUGUAUUUCUUAUUCUUUCUGUUUUUCUUUUCUAUGGUUUGUUUUGCAAAAGAAAUAAAUGCUAAAACAUUUAUUUAAAUGUUGAUACUCAUUGUGGCAACUGUUAAAAUUAUAUUCGAAGCCCUCACCAAGUCUCAAUAUUUUUGGCCAUAUAUUAUUUAUAUAAUAAUUAUAUUUCCAAUGCAAAUAGUUAUUGGAUUAACUCAAAUGCCCAAAAUAAAUGUCUCUGAGCUCCCAGAAAUAUUGGUUUGAGUUUUACCUCUGUCCAAUAUUUUUAAAGAAGAACAUGAACAUUUUCUUGGAAAUAUUUGAGACAAUUUUUAUUUUGAUCAUUUCCAGGAGGGUUUCUAAGGCUUUCACAAUCCCCAUUUCAUUUUAAAUGAAAAUUAAACAUGAUGCAAACACAAGGGACUGGCCUAGUGCUUACCAGAACUAGGGAUGUGACAGAACAUGUGUGGGGCAUGUUUGUUUUUAAUGACUUGAUACUAUACCUAGCCCGGCAUGCAAGAUGACUUAUUAUGCACCGUUCCCCAUACCUGCAGGAAGCCCGUUCGUCUCCAAAUUUUUUCCUCUCCAUGUGUGGAAACAAUAUGCCUGCCAAACUCUCCUUCUCCCUCCGGCGGUCCCACCACUCCACCCCGUGUGAAAAAAUCUGCAUGCAUGACUCUCCUUCCCCCACGCUCGUCCAAUCCGUUGUGACCAGCAAUAUUUCCACCCCUUCACUCCCCCGUAAUUUACUCCAAUAAAUAUGCCCACGUAGCUGUUACUUAACUGCAGGUGCAUUCGGUCACUGACAUAUGGGCCCAACAGGGGUCUGGCCCACAUGUCAGUGACGCAACUAGACCGCCAGUUAAGUCAGUGCAGCUCAGUCCAUAUCUUACGUAGGUGUGCCAUUGCUCGCUAUAAAUACUGCGCCUCCCACGACAUCGCUAUCUCCUCCCCCUCACGUUCACGUUCAUCGCUAUCUCCUCCCCCUCCCUCUCAUGUCAACCACCAUGGCAUCGCCCCUCUCAAGCCCUAGGAGCCCAUCGCUGCAUCGCGCGGACGGUCACGCGUUGCCGUUCCGUUCCUCGCCGCCACUAGUCGAGGAGGAGGCGUUGGUGUUCCGCUCCUCGCCGCUACACGACGCGUCGCCGUUCCGUUCCUCGCUGCCACUAGUCGAGAAGAACGCGUCGGUGUUCCGCUCCUCGUCGCGAUGCGUCGAGGUGGACGCGUCGGCGUUCCCAAUCUCGCCAGCAUGCGCACCGGAGGACGCGUCGGCUCCCCNNNNNNNNNNNNNNNNNNNNNNNNNNNNNNNNNNNNNNNNNNNNNNNNNNNNNNNNNNNNNNNNNNNNNNNNNNNNNNNNNNNNNNNNNNNNNNNNNNNNNNNNNNNNNNNNNNNNNNNNNNNNNNNNNNNNNNNNNNNNNNNNNNNNNNNNNNNNNNNNNNNNNNNNNNNNNNNNNNNNNNNNNNNNNNNNNNNNNNNNNNNNNNNNNNNNNNNNNNNNNNNNNNNNNNNNNNNNNNNNGGAUGUCGCCUUGUGGGAGGCUUUGCCUCCAGCAGAGCCCGCCAAAAUAGAGGCGGAGAAGAAGGUCGAGGAAGAGAAGCGCACCGCGGAACAAGCUGCAUGGGAGGCCUAUGUCACGUCCGAGAGAGUCGGGCAAUUGUCUUUUGGUCAGAAGGCUCACUCGAGGGCCGUGAGGGUGGCGGAGGACGCCCGUGCCGAUGCCCUGAGUGCAGUCAGGCCCAAGCGCCUCAUCUACGCUUGGCGGUACAUGGACCGGGUGCACGCUUCUAGCGAGGAGGAGUACCUAUUGGCGCCGGAUCACCACACCGGUGAGAUCGUGCUCGCCCGUCGGCAAGCCGCUAAUCAGAACCCCGCGAGUUGUGAGGCUGAGGAAGAGGCGUUGUGUCGGUGCGCAGGGAAAUGGCCGCGCACCAGGGCACUCGUGGCGUGCCGCAAGCGCUCCUGCGAGCGCCGCGGCUUUUAUGAGGAGUAUAAUUUUUGUUUCGUAAGGCGAUCUCAUUAGUUUUGGGACGCAAAUGAUAAAUCCCGAACGUUCAGGAAUUUUUAGUGUCCUUAAUUAAGUAUGUAAAAGGGAAAGUUUGAAAACCUUGUGCAUUCGUACGCAUUUUGCAAGUACGUGCAUAUAGCACAAACUUUACUAUAUUCCAUCGCAAGAAAAGAAUUCUAUGAGACCAGGUCUCACGCGAGACCCAUCCUGNNNNNNNNNNNNNNNNNNNNNNNNNNNNNNNNNNNNNNNNNNNNUUUUUUUCACUAUCGCACUACACGUCUCUCUCGAUAUAUGCUUGCAGACUGUGCUACUCCCUCCGUCUAGGUCAAUAAGUCAUCUUAAGUUGUGCACCGUGACCAAGAAGGAGGGAAGACUUAUACACCUAGACGGAGGGAGUACUACUAUUACUUAUGUACGUGCAAAUGCAUGUUUUAACAUUAUGAUGCGGUUUUUGUAAAAGUAGAAAAACAGCACUAGUCAAGCUUGUGAAACGAUUCAAUGCAAAACAAAUGCAAAAAUGCUCGUUUGAUUGUUUACUUUUAGCUUCCUUCUCUAUGGUUAUUUCUCUGUCGUACUUUGUACGGAGUAUCUCACUGGUUGGAAAGGCAUGCAAAUUCCCAAACCGCUUCCUACACCCUGUAUCUCACUGGUUGCCGGUGUUGACGUUGUCGCCCAUGUCGUCGAGGAUGAGGUUGCUGAGGUCGGGCAAGAAGUCGUCGUUCGCAACUAAUCAUGUGGACUAGCAUAGUAGUAGGAUACAGAGUAGAAACAUGAAUUCUACCACGAUUUCCAACAGGAAGGACAGAAACACAUACGGUGCAACGGGAGUAGCACCGUUGGCGUUGAGCUUGUCGCCCAUGUCCAAACACCACGUAGACACGGUCUUUGAGCACGGUUUGUAGUCGUUCCACGCUCCGGCAUUGAAGUUUGUAACUAUUUUAGAUUAGAAUAUACUACUCCUCCGGUGCUAGUAGUAGAGCAGAGUCCUACUCUACUACUCUACUCAAGCAAGUUAGGGCAUAGCAUUGUAGGGAGUACCAGUACUGUGAUCACUCAAGCAAGUUGUCUGGCAUCGACAUGACCCUACGUUGCUGGUAUGUGUCUCAUAAGUCAAGCGGCGUGCUGUAGUCAUCAUCAUCUGUCCACUUCCUGCAGCACAUAUUCGCUUCUCCAUCUUUGUCCGCACAUAAUCUCGUCCAAUCUUCCAUCCCCGCUAAGGCGCCUCCCCCCCUCGUCUGAAACCCAAGCACUAACAAUGGCAGAACCGAGCAGCGUCCGCCGAAAGAGUGGCUAGAAUUCACUCCCCAUAGAGGUAAUCAAGCUCAUUGUUUCGUGUGUGGACAAUCUCAGUACCAUGCCGUUCGCUGUGUGCUCGUCGGGGCUAUACCGUUUACUCAAAGCCCUCAGGCCAGAGCUUUUUAAGCCAGCUCCUUGCUUGUUGAUGCCGCCUGAUCUUCAGAAAUGGCGUGUCACGCAGCAUAACGAUCGUAGGGUGGCGAGCAUCAACCCCCUUGACUGCGAUCCGAUCCCCGUCAGCCUCAACUACAUUAACGGUAUGUACUGGGUCGGCAUGAACACGUCUUGGAUGGUGCUCGUCGAUGGUCGCGGCAGCUGGAUGCUCGUGGAGGUCUACACCCGGCGAUUGAUCCCCCUUCCUUUGAUUAACACUGCACUGCUUUGGCAUCGCGGCCCAGAAUACUCAGAAUCUUACAGUAGCCAACAUGAUACCAAGUUUGAUUUGCUCAAGGUUGUAAUCUGCCAAGUGCCCACAAGAUCUGCGAAUUAUAAAGACUUCAGGCUAAUUGUGUUCUUCAACCGCGGUCUCGCCUAUCUGACAGGUCACUGCGGUAAGUGGAUAAAUCUGCACGUCCAUCACAGGAUCAUACAUCCUCCAUGUUUCUCUGAUGCCAUUGAACACAAGGGCUUCAUUUACGCUGUCGACUCCUUCUAUGGCUGGAUGUAUUGCUGGCCUACUCCAGUCAUUGCUACAAACGGCUGUUACAGCAGUAUGUUACUUUCCUAUGAUAUCAUGAUGGCUUGCUUAUAUUACUGUCAACAUUUGCUGAAAAAAUAUUCAUGCUCAUAACAUGAUGUUCUUAAGAUUGACUAAACCAAGAGCCCUUUUUUAUUUGACUCCAACUUGAUAUGUUGUAGGCCGCCUGGUGUCCCUACCCUUCCUAAUCCCAGAACCUUUCAAAGAAAAGCAGCAUGGCAGUUGCAGGUGGUUCCUGGCUCGAUCAUAUGACGGCGAAAGAUUGAUGAUCGUUCGCACGUACCGGACGUGUUGUUUCGCGGAAUACAAUCACGGUCACUGCAAGGUCUUUGAGCAGGAUCCCAGCUUCUCUGGGCCUUCAGGAAUUUUUGACUGGAGGCUGGUAAGUAGCCUUGGUACAUGCUCUCUGUUUGUCGGACUGAAUUAUCUGAUUAACCAGGAGAUAACCGACGGCAAGGAUCAUGAUGGCAGAGCUGUUUCGUUCAUCAGGCAAAACUGUGUGUACACAGCGUACCAUGCGUCUCUGCAUGCACCAUACCCUGAUAUAUGCCGCCACGCUAUGUAGCCCAAAGUAGGAGAGAGGGUCGCAAGUAUCAGACUUUGACCUGAUGGCUGGAGUUUCCCCCGUCAGGCACCCAUCUGGUUCAAGCCGUCAGCCAAUCUCCACAGCUUAAUAAAUAGUAACGUCUAACUGAGCCAGUUAGUUAGAUGCGUACACUUGGUGUAGUAGGAUCUUUAUUUAGUUUGAUGCAUACACUUGUUCUUUUUUGGUAGCCCUUUUGUAAUGAUGGCGGAUGUUUAGUUUGGAAGAGAGAGCUGCGUCUUCACUCUUCUGGCCUGCUUACUGCUCCUGUUGCACCCCCAGCCCUGGUUGCUGCUGUUGCUGUUUUCAAUGUACAAUUAGUAGUAUAUUUCGUCUGUUGGUUGAAUAAAUAUGUUGUUAGAACGACAAACACAAUGUUUUGGAAGUCGUUGCACGGUUCGAUCCUUUAGUGCCCCAUACCGUACGUAGCGCAUACUAUUUAUCGUACGGAACACUUUUUUUUUUGAAACUCGGAACACAUUUUCCACUUGUUGAUAACAUGCAGCCCACUGAUGAAGGCCCAAUAGAGAAGCCCAUAAUUAACUGGAAGGGAGGCUCUCACAUGAAUCCGGCCCAAGUACAUGCUCAUGGUCCCCUAAACAUAAAUAAGUAAAUAAAUAAAUAAAUAAAUAAAUAAAGCUAAAUGCUCAUGCAAUUGUUCUUUGGGAAAAUAGGUAGCCCGGUAUAUCUUUUUGAAGAAUACCCAAGCUAGGCCUAUUUGUUUUCUCCGAAUUACUGGGAUGCAAAUCUUUCAAGACGAGGAGGGAUGCAGUCCGGCCUGGCUUAAGAGUAUGGUCAAUGUCUGUAAAAAGUAAUAUCAAAAGGGGUUGAAAAUUCCAAAAAAAUUAUAGCAAAUGGGAUAUAAGUUUCUUUAUUUGUUUUUGUUCUUCACUGAUAUCUUAUACGUAUUUCAUUAGAUUUAACAUAACAUAGUACUAAUUUAUUUUUAAAUUUGUUUUAGUAUGGCUAUUAAUUUUUGGAUUAAGAAUAUUUCAUUCCCUAGCAAAAAUUUGCGAAUUUUCAAAAUUUCCCACAUAUCUAGUUAAUUUUUUGACCCUGGUACUGACCAGAAAAUGGCCAGCAAUUCUAAAAAUGGAAAAAGGGCUGCAAUAAAUUCCAUAUGAAUUAGAAAAUGAGUAAAAAAUUAUAAAAAUAAUAGCAAAUGGGCUGUACACGCCACAGAUUUUGAGGCUGACUUGUUUACGCAAGGCUUUGUCAGUGAACACACGAUUCUAGCAGCAGUUAGUGUUGGAUGUCCAUCCAACGGCCGACGUGCUUCUUCAAUCUCUGAUCUUCCUGCUCCAGCCGCCUAAACUAGCGCCGGUGGGAUUGCCUGCGCCCUCCUCUUGUGGCCCGCUGUGAUGCCGCACAGGCUUCCCCGGCCCACCCUACUCCCUCCGCUGGCCUGGCCGCACGCAAUCAACUGCCUCCUUAUUACGCGAAAAAAAUGAUUCCUCCCACUGACAUCUGGGGCGCACCGGUUGGGAGGCUGACCUGUGGGCCUACUAAGUUGACGCGUACGCAGGGCUUGUCAACUUAGUCAACAAACAAUUCUAACAGCAGUAACCGUUGGAUUUGAAUCGAACGGUCCUGCUGCUUCUUCAAUCGCUGCUCUUCCUGCACCAGCCGCCCAAACCAGCGCCGGGGAGACCGCCUGCUCCUGCCUCCAGUGGUCGGCUGUGCUGCCGAUGAGGCCUCAUCGCCCCCUACUACUCCCACCGCUAGCCAGGCCCUGCGGCGACGGCAGCCUCACACCGCAGCCGAACUAGUGAACUCUCGUACUCCUGUCCGCGUGGGCAUCCACUGCCACGUCUUCCCCGGCUCCGCGUCGUCCCCUUCCUAGGCCUCGCCGUCGUCCACCGCCUUGGUGCUCUCGACGCAGCGUGGUCAACGUGGUCAACGACAUUCCAUCGGAAGAGUACUGUACAUGGAGAGGCUGACAGCUGGGUCCAUGGCCACAGCCUAGUUUUUUUGUGAUUUGCCAAGUAAGUCGCUUUGUCAGGCCUGUUGGGCUGCAAAUCUUUCAACACGAGGAGAGCUUUCAUUCGGCUGGACGAGAAAAUGGCCCAUCAGUAAUGCUAACAAAAAGAAUAUGGGCUCCAAAAAAACCUUAAUAAUUAGCAAAUAGGCUGUAAAUUAUUAGAAAUAAUGGCAGAUGGGCUGUAUGUUGUUUUCCACAGAUUUGAGGCUUUCCUAAAAAAAAGGUUGACGCACAAGCAGUGACUGUUGGAUGGCCAUCCAACGGCUGUCGUGCUUCUUCAAUUUCUGCUCUUCCUGCUCCAGCCGCUCAAACGGGCGCCGGCGGGACUGCCUGCUCCCUCCUCUCCGCGGCCGGCUCUGCUGCCGCGCAGGCCUCACCGCCCCACCGUACUCCCAUCGUUGGCCUAGCCAUCCCUCUACUCACCCACACCUGUUGUUAUUCUCCGGCGACAGCAGACGAAUCAGUAAACCCUCGUACAGUCAUACUCCCCUCCGCGUGGGAAACAACUGUCGAGUCUUCCCUGCCUCCGUGUCGUUCCCUUCCUAGGCCUCGCCGUCGUCCACCGCCCUGGUGCUCUCGGCGCAGCCUGGUCAACAUGGUCAACGACCGACAUGCAUCUGAAGUGGACUUUACAUGGAGAGGCCGACAGCUGGGUCCACGGCCGCACACAAGGAAAUGCCGCCUUAUUACGCGCAAAAUAAUGAUUCCUCCACCUGACAUCAGGGACCCACCGAAAGGGCCUCUGUAUUUCACGAAAAAAACGUUACCGCCGCUGACAGCUCGGACCCACCAGCUAUAUUUUCACACACAAGGAAGUGCCUCCUUAUUACGCAUAAAAAAAUGAAUACUCCCCCUAUUAGCUGGGACCCAGUAUAGUGGCAGGCUGACUUGUGGGCCUACUAAGUUGACGGGGAUGGAGGGCUUUGUCAACUUAGUCAAUAUGCACUAUUCUAGCUCCAUUGACCGUACGAUGUCCAUCCAACGGCCGUAGUGCUUCUUCAACCUCUGGUCUUCUUGCUCCAGCCGCCCAAACCAGCGAUGGUCGUGCAUCAUGCUCCUGCCUCCCGUGGCCGGCUACGAUGCGGCGGAGGCCUCACCGCCCCCUACUACUCCCACCGCUGGCCAGGCCAUCCCUCUACUCACUCACACCCCCUGUUAUUCUGCGGCGACGGCAGCCUCACACCGCAGCAAACCAGUGAACCCUCGUACUCCUCUACACUUGGGCAUCCACUGCCGCGUCUUCCCCGGCUCCGCGUCGUCCCCUUCCUAGGCCUCGCCGUCGUCCCCCGCCCUGGUGCUCUCGGCGCGGCGUGGUCAAUGUGGUCAAGGAACGGCUUCCAUCGGACGUGGACUGUACGUGGAGAGGCUGACAGCUGGGUCCACGACCGCAGCAAGGAAGCGCCUCCUUAUUACGUGCCAAAUAAUUAUUCCUCCACCAGACAGCGGGACCCACCGGACGGGCCACCGUAUUUCGCAAAAAAAAAACGUUUCCCUUUGACUGCUGGGACCCACUAGCUACAUCUUCGCAUGCAAGGAAGUGCGUCCGGGCAAAAAAAUUGAUUCGCCCCCUGACUGCUGGGACCCACCAGCUACAUCUUCGCAGGCAAGGAAGUGCCUGACAGUCGGGACCCACCUGGUCGAAGCGUACGUAGCAUUGUCAUUCUGGUCGCGAAUGUGUACGUACAUACCGGUCGAUGUAGAGGCGCGCACGUGUCAUAGUAGAGGCGCGCACGUGUUGUAGUAGAGGCGCGCACGUAGCAUUUACACAUACGUACAGCGGCCAGGGUGCAAGAAAGAAAAUACGGCCACGUAUAUGUACAUACGGGCGGGGUCUCGAACGCCUACUCGCGCAUACGUACGGCCAAGGCUCGUGUACAUGGCUGGGUCGGAACGGAGAAACAGCGUCGUCGUCGUGUUCAUGGGGAGGCAACGGAAUGCGUCCUGUUCAUGGUGAGGCAAUGGAAAGUGUCAUGUUCAUGGGGAGGCAAUGGAAUGCGUCGUGUUCAUCGGGAGGGCUUGGACAGAACAGGCGAUGGAAACGAGGCCUGGCGCACCGCAGAACGGAGGAAACGGCCUUGUGUUCGACCGGCCACGUUCGAAAUGGGAUCUUGUUCAUCGGGAGGGGUCUGGCGUACCGCAAAAUGGAGGAAACGGACCUCCUACGGUCGAAACGGGGGUCCUGUUGAUCGGGAGGGGUGUGGCGUACUGCAAAACGGAGGAAACGGACUUGUGUUGGAGCGCUACGGUCGAAACGGGGGUCCUGUUCAUUGGGAGGGGUGUGGCGUACCGCAAAACGGGACUCCACGGGAUACUGUUCAUCUCCACCGUCGACCCCCUCCAGCCUCCACAAGCUACUGUUCAUCCACCGUCGACCUCCUCCAGCCUCCACCUGCGACUGUUCAUCUGCGGGCUCCUGUUCAUCCAGCCUCCACCGCGCGCUACUCCACCGGCUACUGUUCAACCCGCCCUCUCCACGGGCUCCUGUUCAACCACCCCUCCAUGGGCUACUGUUCAUCCUGCCCUCCAUCAUCUAUUGUUCAUCCUGCCCUCCAUGGGGUGGUCCUGUUCAUCCAGCCCUCCACGGGGUCCUGUUCAUCCAGCCCCAACCAGCUCGAUCGAUCGGGGUCCUAUUCAUCCAGAGGCAACACCACGGGGUCCUGCUCAUCCACCCACACCGGGAACUGUUCAUCCAACCCCCCCCCCCAAUGCUCACUGUUCAUCCAGAGGCAGCAUCGAUCGGCUUCAGUUAGCAGCAGUAGCGAAGGAAUCGCUCGAUCGGGUUCAGUUAACAGCCAUCCAUCGAUCGCUCGGGUUCAGUAACGCGUAGCCUGCAGUGCAAUCGCUUGGGUUCAGUUAGAGCCCAACGCCUCGCUCGGGUUCAAUUAGAGCCAACGCCUCGCACACAUGCGCGUACGUGUACGAGAGAAACACGCAUCGCUCGGCCCCCGACCUCCCACCGUAACCGGGAACUCCUCGAAAUUUUCCUCGCCCUCGCUUCUACCACGGUUUUUUCCGUCAUGGACGGCCCAAACAAUGUCAUGCAGCCGCGUCUCCGGCCCGCCCAGGACGAAAAGCCCAUUUUCUGUCAUGAUUUUUUGUCAUAGAAGUAGGAGCCCACCACAUCUAUGAUGAUAUCGGGUUUUGUCACAAUUAUCGUCAUAGAAGUGUCAUAUGUAUGACAGAAAAAAAAUUGUUCGGCCCAAAAUGUCACGGAUGUGUCUUUUUUUUGUAGUGUCAACGGUAAUUUGUUCACCCACCGUAGAAUACUUAUGCUCUCGAGAGAAACCACUAGUGAAACCUAUGGCCCCCGGGUCUAUCUUUAUCAUAUUAAUAUCCUACUACAUAGUUAUUUCCUUUGCUCUUUACUUUGCCUUUAUUUUACUUUGCAUCUUUAUCACAAAAAUACCAAAAAUAUUAUCUUAUCAUAUCUAUCAGAUCUCACUCUCGUAAGUGGCCGUGUAGGGAUUGACAACCCCUAUUCACGUUGGUUGCGAGGAUUUAUUUGUUUUGUGCAGGUACAAGGGACUGGCGCGUAGCCUCCUACUGGAUUGAUACCUUGGUUCACAAAAACUAAGGGAAAUACUUACGCUACUUUGCUGCAUCAUCCCUUCCUCUUCGGGGAAAACCAAUGCAGUGCUCAAGAGGUAGCAAGAAGGAUUUCUAGCGCCCUUGCCGGGGAGGUCUACGCAAAAGUCAACAUACCAAGUACCCAUCACAUACCCUUAUCUCCCGCAUUACAUUAUUUGCCAUUUGCCUCUCGUUUUCCUCUCCCCCACUUCACCCUUGCCGUUUUAUUCGCCCUCACUCUCUGUAUCCUCCAUCUCUUUCUCUAUUUGCCUCUUUUUUCCCGCUUGCUUUUUGUUUGCUUGUGUGUUAGUUUGCUUGCUUUUCACGAUGGCUCUACCUAAAUUUAGUGAUCUCCACCUUAAAAGGUUAGAAGAGAUCGAAAGCAAUGUCAGGAGUUUUAUGGUUUUGCAAUUUGAACAUAAUAGUUUCUUCAGAAACGAGCUUAAGGAAUAAAAAAGUUUUAUGAAUAAAGAGCUUGAUGAUAUGUCUAAAGAAUUCGAUGGUUUAAGAUCCCAGAUUGCUCGUCUUGAGAAAUUGACUGCUGAAAUUUCGGAUAAGCAGGCCACCUUAGUUAAUAGGAUGGCCGCUAAACCAGAUUGCUAUGAAAAUAAUGAUGAAGAUCUAAAGUUAUUGAUGUGUCCCCUAUUAAAUCUUUGUUUUGCAAUAUGAAUCUUGAUAAUGAUGGGACUGAAUAUGAUCCACCUUUACUUAGAAGGCGUUCUAAGAAUUUGGAAUUUUUUUAUCUUGAUGCUAAAAUUGAUAAAAGUGGGAUUGAAGAAAUUAAAACCCUAGAUGUUGCUAAACCCACUAUUAUGGAUUUCAAGGAAUUUAACUAUGAAAAUUGCUCUUUGAUUGAUUGUAUUUCCUUGUUUCAAUCCGUGCUAAAUUCUCCUCAUGCUUAUAGUCAAAAUAAAGCGUUUACUAAACAUAUCGUUGAUGCCUUGAUGCUAUCUUAUGAAGAAAAACUUGAAUUGGAAGUUUCUAUCCCUAGAAAACUUUAUGAUGAGUGGGAACCAACUAUUAAAAUUAAAAUUAAAGAUCAUGAACGCUAUGCUUUAUGUGAUUUGGGUGCUAGUGUUUCCACGAUCCCAAAAACUUUGUGUGAUUUCUUAGGUUUCCGUGAUUUUGAUGAUUGCUCUUUAAACUUGCACCUCGCGGAUUCCACUAUUAAGAAACCUAUGGGAAGAAUUAAUGAUGUUAUUAUUGUUGCAAAUAGGAAUUAUGUGCCCGUAGAUUUUAUUGUUCUUGACAUAGAUUGUGAUCCUUCAUGUCCUAUUAUUCUUGGUAGACCUUUCCUUAGAACGAUUGGUGCAAUUAUUGAUAUGAAGGAAGGAAAUAUUAGAUUCCAAUUUCCAUUAAGGAAAGGCAUGGAAAACUUUCCUAUAAAGAAAAUUAAAUUACCUUAUGAAUCUAUUAUGAGAGCCACUUAUGGAUUGCCUACCAAAUAUGGCAAUACCUAGAUCUAUCCUUGCUUGUUAUGCGUAGCUAGGGGCGUUAAACGAUAGCGCUUGUUGGGAGUCAACCCAAUUUUAUUUUUAUUCCUUAAUUUUUGCUCCUGUCUAGUAAUAAAUAAUUUAUCUAGCCUCUUUUUUGGUUGUGUUUUUUGUGUUUAAUUAGUGUUUGUGCCAAGUAGAACCUUUGGGAAGACUUGGGGAAAGUCUUGUUACACUUGCUGUAAAAAAUGGAAACUUUAGCGCUCACGAGAACUACUUCCAUUUUUAUUUGGAAAGUGAUAUUUAGUUAAUUAUUUUUUAAGGUGGUUAAUAGAUAAAUUUCUCACGGCCAGAAAUUUAUUUUAGAAUUUUUGGGGUUCCAGAUCUUGCGCUAGCUACAUAUUACUACAGACUGUUCUGUUUUUGACAGAUUCUGUUUUUCGUGUGUUGUUUGCUUAUUUUGAUGAAUCUAUGGCUAGUAAAAUAGUUUAUAAACCAUAUAGAAGUUGGAAUACAGUAGGUAUAACACCAAUAUAAAUAAAUAAUGAGUUCAGAACAGUACCUUGAAGUGGUAUUUUGUUUUCUUUCGCUAACGGAGCUCACGAGAUUUUCUACUUUGAGUUUUGUGUUGUGAAGUUUUCAAGUUUUGCGUAAAGAUUUGAUGGAUUAUGAUACAAAGAGUGGCAAGAGCCUAAGCUUUGGGAUGCCCAUGGAACCCCCAAGAUAAUCUAAGGACACCUAAAAGCCAAAGCUUGGGGAUGCCCCGGAAGGCAUCCCCUCUUUCGUCUACUUCUAUCGGUAACUUUACUUGGAGCUAUAUUUUUAUUCGCCACAUGAUAUGUGUUUUGCUUGGAGCGUCUUGUAUGAUUUGAGUCUUUACUUUUCAGUUUACCACAAUCAUCCUUGCUGUACACACCUUUUGAGAGAGCCAUACAUGAUUUGGAAUUUGUUAGAAUACUCUAUGUGCUUCGCAUAUAUCUUUUGAGUUAUAUAGUUUUGCUCUAUUACUUCACUUAUAUCUUUUAGAGCACGGUGGUGGAUUUGUUUUAUAGAAACCAUUGAUCUCUCAUGCUUCACUUAGAUUAUUUUGAGAGUCUUAAAUAGCAUGGUAAUUUGCUUAAAAUCCUCAUAUGCUAGGUAUUCAAGAUUAGUAACAUUUUCUUAUGAGUGUUCUGAAUACUAAGAGAAGUUUGAUGCUUGAUGAUUGUUUUGAGAUAUGGAAGUAAUAAUAUCAAAGUCGUGCUAGUUGAGUAGUUGUGAAAUUGAGAAAUGCUUGUGUUGAAGUUUGCAAGUCCCGUAGCGUGCACGUAUGGUAAAGUUAUGUAACAAAUUUGAAACAUGAGGUGUUAUUUGAUUGUCCUUCUUAUGAGUGGCGGUCGGGGACGAGCGAUGGUCUUUCCCUACCAAUCUAUCCCCCUAGGAGCAUGCGCGUAGUGCCGAGGUUUUUGAUGACUUGUAUUUUUUUGCAAUAAGUAUGUGAGUUCUUUAUGACUAAUGUUGAGUCCAUGGAUUAUACGCACUCUCACCCUUCCAUCCUUGCUAGCCUCUUCGGUACCGUGCAUUGCCCUUUCUCACAUUGAGAGUUUGCGCAAACUUCGCCGGUGCAUCCAAACCCCGUGAUAUGAUACGCUCUUUCACACAUAAACCUCCUUAUAUCUUCCUCAAAACAGCCACCAUACCUACCUAUUAUGGCAUUUCCAUAGCCAUUCCGAGAUAUAUUUCCAUGCAACUUUCCACCAUUCCGUUUAUCAUGACACAUUCAUUAUUGUCAUAUUGCUUACAUAUCACUCUUGGUCCAUUGCAUAUCCUGGUACACCGCCGGAGGCAUUCAUAUAGAAUCAUCUUUUGUUCUAGUAUCGAGUUGUAAUCAUUGAGUUGUAAAUAAAUAGAAGUGUGAUGAUCAUCAUUUUCUAGAGCAUUGUCCCAAGUGAGGAAUUAUAAAAAAAGAGAAAGGCCAUAAAAAAGAGAAGGCCCAAAAAAUGAGAGAAAAAGAGAGAAGGGACAAUGUUACUAUCCUUUGCCACACUUGUGCUUCAAAGUAGCACCAUAAUCUUCAUGAUGGAGAGUCUCUUGUUUUGUCACUUUCAUAUACUAGUGGGAAUUUUCACUAUAGAACUUGGCUUGUAUAUUCCAACAAUGGGCCUCCUCAAGUGCCCUAGGUCUUCGUGAGCAAGCAAGUUGGAUGCACACCCACUUAGUUUCUUUUGUUCAGCUUCCAUACAUUUAUAGCUCUAGUGCAUCUGUUGCAUGGCAAUCCCUACUCCUUGCAUUAACAUCAAUCAGUGGGCAUCUCCAUAGCUCAUUGAUUAGCCUCGUUGAUGUGAGACUUUCUCAUUUUUUGUCUUCUCCACAUAACCCCCCUCGUUAUAUUCUAUUCCACCCAUAGUGCUAUGUCCAUGGCUCGCGCUCAUAUAUUGCGAGAAAGUUUAUAGGUUUGAGAUUACUAAAGUAUGAAACAAUUGCUUGGCUUGUCAUCGGGGUUGUGCAUGAUGAGAGAAUUCUGGUGUGACGAAAAUGGAGCAUGACUAAACUAUAUGAUUUUGUAGGGAUGAACUUUCUUUGGCCAUGUUAUUUUGAGAAGACAUAAUUGCUUAGUUAGUAUGCUUGAAGUAUUAUUAUUUCUAUGUCAAUAUGAACUUUUGUCUUGAAUCUUUUGGAUCUAAAUAUUCAUACCACAAUUAAGAAGAAUUACAUUAAAAUUAUGCCAAGUAGCACUCCGCAUCAAAAAUUCUGUUUUUAUCAUUUACCUACUCAAGGACGAGCAGGAAUUAAGCUUGGGGAUGCUUGAUACGUCUCCAACGUAUCUAUAAUUUUUGAUUGCUCCAUGCUAUAUUAUCUACUAUUUUGGACAUUAUUGGGCUUUAUUAUCCACUUUUAUAUUAUUUUUGGGACUAACCUAUUAACCGGAGGCCCAGCCCAGAAUUGUUGUUUUUUGCCUGUUUUAGGGUUUUGAAGAAAAGGAAUAUCAAACGGAGUCCAAACGGAAUGAAACCUUCGGGAACAUGAUUUCCUCAACAAAUAAGACCCAGCAGACUUGGAACCUACGUCAAGAUACAAAAGAGGAGGCCACGAGGUAGGGGGCGCGCCUACCCCCCCCCCCAGGCGCACCCUCCACCCUCGUGGGCCCCCUAUUGCUCCACCGACGUACUCCUUCCUCCUAUAUAUACCUACGUACCCCCAAAUGAUUAGAUACGGAGCCAAAAACCUAAUUCCACCGCCGCAACUUUCUGUAUCCACGAGAUCACAUCUUGGGGCCUGUUCCGGAGCUCCGCCGGAGGGGGCAUCGAUCACGGAGGGCUUCUACAUCAACACCAUAGCCCCUUUGAUGAAGUGUGAGUAGUUUACCUUAGACCUACGGGUCCAUAGUUAUUAGCUAGAUGGCUUCUUCUCUCUUUUUGGAUCUCAAUACAAUGUUCUCCCCCUCUCUUAUGGAGAACUAUUCGAUGUAAUCUUCUUUUUGCGGUGUGUUUGUUGAGACCGAUGAAUUGUGGGUUUAUGAUCAAGCCUAUCUAUGAACAGUAUUUGAAUCUUCUCUGAAUUCUUUUAUGUAUGAUUGGUUAUCUUUGCAAGUCUCUUUGAAUUAUCAGUUUGGUUUGGCCUACUAGAUUGAUCUUCCUUGCAAUGGGAGAAGUGCUUAGCUUUGGGUUCAAUCUUGCGGUGUCCUUUCCCAGUGACAGUAGGGGCAGCAAGGCACGUAUUGUAUUGUUGCCCUCGAGGAUAACAAGAUGGGGUUUUCAUCAUAUUGCAUGAGUUUAUCCCUCUACAUCAUGUCAUCUUGCUUAAGGCGUUACUCUGUUUUUAACUUAAUACUCUAGAUGCAUGCUGGAUAGCGGUUGAUGAGUGGAGUAAUAGUAGUAGAUGCAGGCAGGAGUCGGUCUACUUGUCUCGGACGUGAUGCAUAUAUACAUGAUCAUACCUAGAUAUUCUCAUAAUUAUGCUCAAUUCUGUCAAUUGCUCAACAGUAAUUUGUUCACCCACCGUAGAAUACUUAUGCUCUCGAGAGAAGCCACUAGUGAAACCUAUGGCCCCCGGGUCUAUCUUUAUCAUAUUAAUCUCCUACUACUUAGUUAUUUCCUUUGCUCUUUAUUUUGCCUUUAUUUUACUUUGCAUCUUUGUCACAAAAAUACUAAAAAUAUUAUCUUAUCAUAUCUAUCAGAUCUCACUCUCAUAAGUGGUCGUGUAGGGAUUGACAACCCCUAUUCGCGUUGGUUGCGAGGAUUUAUUUGUUUUGUGCAGGUAUGACGGACUAGCGCGUAGCCUCCUACUGGAUUGAUACCUUGGUUCUCAAAAAAUGAGGGAAAUACUUACGCUACUUUGCUGCAUCAUCCCUUCCUCUUCGGGCAAAACCAACGCAAUGCUCAAGAGGUAGCAGGCAUCAGCCACAAAAUUAAAAAGCAACGGAGAAGCCGGGUCCCCUUGAUGCAACCCACGCUUGUUGCGGAAGAAGUUCCCUACUUCUCCAUUCACCGCAGUCGCCGUUUUGCCCCCCGAGACCAAUUGCAUCAUGCGAUGAAACCACACCGACAAGAAGCCCAUGUCCAGGAGGACUUGUCGGAGAAACUCCCAGUUCACUCGGUCGUACGCCUUCUCAAAAUCCAGUUUCAAAAGAAUGGCUGGUUGUCGAGAGUGUUUGAGCGAGUGAACAAUCUCUUGGAGGGCGAGCGGCCCCUUCAAAAUGUUGCAACCACGGAUAAAAGCCGACUGAUUCCUACUAAUGAUACGAUGAGCAAUCAGAGAGAGACGUGUGGAACAAGCCUUAGAGCAGAUUUUGAACGGAACGUUAAUGAGCGCUAUAGGUCUAAAUUUUCUAAUACAGUCCGCACCCUGGACUUUGGGGAUUAGAGAAAGCACCCCAAAGUUCAAGUGUGAGAUGUCUACGCAACCUCGCAUGAACCCGUUACACACUUCGAAAAUUGGCCCUUUGAGCACAUACCAAAAACGCUUAAACAUUGCCACCGGCCAACCAUUAGGGCCCGGGGCAGUGUCCGAUUUCAUCCCAAGGGCUGCCACAUCAAUCUCCCGAGGAAGAAAAGCCAGCCCUAGGCCCUCAUUUUCCUCAUCCGAGACCCGCAAUGCUGGGUCCCAAACAUCCGCCCGCAAUCGCGUGUGCAACUCCUCCCUAGAGCCCAUCAACUUGAUGUAGAAAUCGUAUAUGUGGCGAACGAUGUCCUUUUGAUGCAAAAGGAGCCCUUGCUCAGAUUGUAGCCUCAGGAUGGCGCACUUACGUCACCGGCUAUUUGUGUAAGCAUGAAAAUACUUGGUAUUCGCAUCACCCUUCAGCGUCCACUUGAUGCCACAACGUCUACGCUAAUACUCCUCCUCAGCCCUAAGGAGGGACUCGACUUGGGCUUCCAGCGCGUAUCGCUGAGCCCACUCCUGCUACGAGAAGCCCUGUGAAUCCGCAAUUGCAUCCAUCCGGGCCAGUUCCGCAGUCAUGCGAGCACGGAGCAGUUUAUCCUCGCGGCCCUGGUUGGCCCCCAGCCUUUGAGAGCCGCUCGCAUUCCCGCCCCUGCGGAAAUCCAAAACUCCAUAGGCCCACGCGGGGACCCUAGCCGGGCCACACAUGACUCCCAUUUGGAGAGGAAGAUUUGUUUGAAUCCCGUGGAUUCGAGCCAUGCGGUUUCAAAGAAGAAACGAGGACUACGUUUCAGCCUUUGCUCCCCUGUGGAGAGGAUUAGAGGGAUAUGAUUCGAUCCAAUCCUCGUUUCGGCUUGUAGGGAGCACAAUGGGAAUAACACUUCCCACUCCACAGACAUGAAAACCCGGUCCAGCACUGACCGAACUGGAGUUAACUGCUUGUUAGUCCAUGUAUACCGUGCCCCUACACGAGCCACUUCCCUAAGGGCCAUUGCCGCAAUCGCGUUAUUAAACAUCAACACCCUUGUCCAGUUAAUGAUCCCAUUAUUCUUAUCCGCUCCUGAGCGGAUCAAAUUGAAAUCACCACCCACAAGCAGUGGCAGGUUUGGCGCACCCAAGGUCGCUACCUUCACCUGAAGUUCCCCCAGGAACUCCUGUGAGCGCGAGUGGUCGGCUGGGCCAUAAACCACAAUGACUUCCCACUCGCGCAGGGUCACGCAGUGGCGCACGUGGGCAGAGAUGAAAAACCUGCCAGCAUCCCACGACAGCACCUCGUAGCAGACUUGGUUGACACCAAACAAAAGACCACCAGAAUGACCCACCGCGGGCACCCAUUGCCAUGCAAAACACUCCAAAGGGUUGAUACCAAGUGGGUCCUGAUGGGUAAAGUCCACUUUCAUGGUUUCCUGCAAGCCUACUACAUCGAUCCCUUCUUCGCGAAUGUAUUCCUUCAACUGGGUCCGCCUCCCAGCGUGGCCGAAGCCUCGGAUGUUCCAAAAUAUGAAACGCAUUAGAUAAUGCGGAUGCGGAUGCGGAGACGGAUACCCCGAGCGGUAACUGCUUUGGCCACGCGCCGUGUCUUGGGAGGACAACAGUUUGAGGGGGACGGCACUCCCCUUGCUGAAGUGUCCCCCUGUACAGGCCGCGCAACUAUCUCUAGAGAAGCCCCUGCUUAUUUUGUUGAUGGCGCCACACGGGCAGCAGCAGCCUGCGCUAUCGCUGCCUGCGCGAUUUCCUUCGAGCGAAGGAGGGACAAAAGCUCGCAUGCUUCGCCCGCGUUCGACAUAUCUACUGCACUAUCCUCCAGAAUACCACGUAAACGCUCAUAUGAAUAGUUGUCGAAAAUCGUAAAGCGGGGCAAAGGAUUACCUUCAAUUUCCAUGUUCUUCCGGGCCAGAAGAAGCUGAGCACGUUGCAGCGAGGGGAGGUUGCCCUUGGCUCCUUUUGGGCGCGUGUUGGUCCACUCCAGGGACGAUGGCGUCGCCACCAACACCUUGGAGCGCUUGGCCGUGGAGAUGGGCACCGUCUUGGACACCGCCGCCCGAAGCGCAUCCGAUGAGGGGGGAGGAGUGGGCGUCGAGGACCCGCCAGCCUGACCUCCAGGAUAUGCCAACGCCAUCGCCAUCGGCCGGUGCGAGACAUGCGUGCUCGCACGGACUGACGGUGGGCUCGCCAGCGCCACCGAGGGAGUCUUGCGCCCCGCCGUCUUCUUGGGGACCCACCUCCCUCCACCGACGAUGCAGGCCGCAAGCGGAGGAGGAGAGCGCGCCUCGAACACGCGCAACCCACCCGCAUCCGCAGCCGCCGGAGAAACGAGCAUCAAGCGCCCCCCCCCCCCCCCCCCCGAGUCGCAGGAGGCCGUGACGCCCUUGUCGACGUCGAGCCCGAGCGACAUGUUGGAACCGUACUGGUUGAACUCCGUCUCAUUGCUGCCCACUCCAACAUGGAGCGCCCCUUGGUCAGUCGCACCGCCCCCUGUAGGAGCAACUGCCGCCGAGUCCUUGUCCUUGAUACUGAGCUUGUCCCACGACGACGUAUCAAUUGAUUCCUCACCCAUGCUCAUAUCAUGAUCCUUGUCCUUGCCAUCCAGACCCUUGUCCAAGCUAGCAGGGGGAGGGGGAGGGGGCGCUGCACCCUGCAGUCCGUCCGCCUCGGCCUCCAUCCAAAUGGUGUAGCCCUCACUGUUGAACAAAAGCUGGACGUAGCCACGCAGCUUGGCCGGGGAGCGACAGGCGGAGCGCAUCCGCACCGGCCCGAGCUCCACUAGCGACGCCUUAUCCACCUCCAUGGGGUGGGCAAUCAUGACGGUCCCGGCCAUGAGGCUAUCCUCACGGUGGUGUUUGGGAGGCACGCCCCACAGCUUGACCCACACGUCCGGCAUCAUCUCGGCCUUGGGCUCCUCCGGGAGGGAUUCCUUGAUCUCGGCCAUGAUGUUAUUGAGGGAGAGGAAGAGCUUGCCGCUGCGAGUCGCAAUCCGCAGCAUGGCCUUGUUGGGGAAGACGGACGAGAACAUGUUGUCGCCGAUUGUCGUCACCUUCCAGUCCCACUCCCCCUCGAAGAGGUGAGGGAGUUCCGCCUCCAAGAUGGGCACCGACAGCGUGUCGGGCGCCGCAGAGAUGACAGCCGCAUCCGCCACCAACUGAGCACGCACCUCCUCGCCCUCUGACUCCAUGAAAGGAAGGCAAAAGAAACCCUCGCCGAGGAUGGUGUUGCCCAUGAUCUGCAGCAUCAGGGGCCAACCACGCGUAGGGCAGUGCGCCAAUGCAUGGCCCUCCUCAUGGCAAACGAAGCAGAGAGGCUUGAAGUGGCACGUAUUCUGAUAGUGGCCCACCCACCCGCAUUUGAAGCAUUCCGGCCCGUCAGUCUCCUCCACAGGGAUAGGGGCAUCUGCCGAGCCCUUCGAAGCCGACGUCCAUGCCGUCAAGGCCAACGGCGCCCCCUUGGGCUCCGCCGAGCUCCCCCCCCCCUCCCGCUUCUGCUUCUGCUUCUUGGCAAAGGGAUCCCCGAUCCCUUCGCCGCAGAGAGGGUGUUGGGACUCCUUCCUCUUGAGCUCAUUCUUCUGCUCCAAACUCCGAUGCUUGUACUCCUCCUUCUUCUUCUUGCGCUCGUGCUCCUCCUGCUUCUUCCUUUCUUGCUCAGCGAGCCACCAGGGAGGUGGCGGCCCCCAACCCCCAUCCACCGCCUGGCCCGCCGGCAUCUUGGAAAGCGCCUGCGCCCGCAGAUCUAGCUCGCGCUGGCGCUCGGCCGCCGGGGCCGGCAGCGACAUGGGGGGCUUCUCCACGCAACGGGACCCCAUCCGCACCGCCGUCAUGAACGAGCAAACAAGGGGGAGGGGGAGCGGAGCGGACCAGGCGACGAGCGCGGUGACGAUGGCGCCGCACUUGCGAUGGGGAUGCGGAAAACCCUAGCGAAAGAUCUAGGGCACCCUUCGGCAACCAUGAUAACCGACAAGUAUAGGGGAUCGCAACAGUUUUCGAGGGUAGAGUAUUGAACCCGAAUUUAUUGAUUCGACACAAGGGGAGCCAAAGAAUAUUCUCAAGUAUUAGCAGCUGAGUUGUCAAUUCAACCACACCUGGAAACUUAGUAUCUGCAGCAAAGUGUUUAGUAGCAAAGUAAUAUGAUAGUAGUGGUAACGGUAGCAAAAGGUAACGGUAAUAAAAGUAAUGUUUUUGGUAUUUUGUAGUGAUGAUAGCAAUAGCAACGGAAAAGUAAAUAAGCGAAGAACAAUAUAUGGAAAGCUCGUAGGCAAUGGAUCGGUGAUGGAGAAUUAUGCCGGAUGCAGUUCAUCAUGUAACAGUCAUAACCUAGGGUGACACAGAACUAGCUCCAAUUCAUCAAUGUAAUGUAGGCAUGUAUUCCGAAUAUAGUCAUACAUGCUUAUGGAAAAGAACUUACAUGACAUCUUUUGUCCUACCCUCCCGUGGCAGCGGGGUCCUAAUGGAAACUAAGAGAUAUUAAGGCCUCCUUUUAAUAGAGUACCGAAAUAAAGCAUUAGCACAUAGUGAAUACAUGAACUCCUCAAACUAUGGUCAUCACCGGUAAGUAUCCCGAUUAUUGUCACUUCGGGGUUAACGGAUCAUAACACAUAAUAGGUGACUAUAGACUUGCAAGAUAGGAUCAAGAACUCUCAUAUAUUGAUGAAAACAUAAUAGGUUCAGAUCUGAAAUCAUGGCACUCGGGCCCUAGUGACAAGCAUUAAGCAUAGCAAAGUCAUAGCAACAUCAAUCUCAGAACAUAGUGGAUACUAGGGAUCAAACCCUAACAAAACUAACUCGAUUACAUGCUAGAUCUCAUCCAACCCAUCACCGUCCAGCAAGCCUAUGAUGGAAUUACUCACGCACGGUGGUGAGCAUCAUGAAAUUGGUGAUGGAGGAUGGUUGAUGAUGAUGAUGGCAACGGAUUCCCCUCUCCGGAGCCCCGAACGGACUCCAGAUCAGCCCUCCCGAGAGGUUUUAGGGCUUAGCGGCGGCUCUGUAUCGUAAAAUGCGAUGAAUUCUUCUCUUUGAUUUUUUUUCUCCCCAAAACCAAAUAUAUAGAGUUGGGGUUGAGGUUGGAGGAGCUCCAGGGGGCCCACGAGGUAGGGGGCGCCGUAGGGGGGCAGGCACGCCCCCCACCCUUGUGGCUAGGGUGUGGGCCCCCUGGUCUUCAUCUUUUGCAAGGAUUUUUUAUUAUUUCCAAAUAGACAUUCCGUGAAGUUUCGGGUCAUUCCAAGAACUUUUGUUUCUGCACAUAAAUAACACCAUGGUAAUUCUGCUGAAAACAGCGUCAGUCCGGGUUAGUUCCAUUCAAAUCAUGCAAGUUAGAGUCCAAAACAAGGGCAAAAGUGUUUGGAAAAGUAGAUACGACGGAGACGUAUCAACUCCCCCAAGCUUAAACCUUUGCUUGUCCUCAAGCAAUUCAGUUGAUAAACUGAAAGUGAUAAAGAAAAACUUUUACAAACUCUGUUUGCUCUUGUUGUUGUAAAUAUGUAAAGCCAGCAUUCAAGUUUUCAGCAAAGAUUAUGACUAACCACAUUCACAAUAACGCUUAGGUCUCAAGUUUACUCAUAUCAAUGGCAUAAUCAACUAGCAAGCAAUAAUAAUAAAUCUCAGAUGACAACACUUUCUCAAGACAAUCAUAAUAUGAUAUAACAAGAUGGUAUCUCACUAGCCCUUUCUGAGACCACAAAACAUAAAUGCAGAGCACCUUUAAAGAUCAAGGACUGACUAGACAUUGUAAUUCAUGGUAAAAGAGAUCCAGUCAAGUCAUACUCAAUGUAAACUAACAGUAAUGAAUGCAAAUGAUAGCGGUGCUCUCCAACUGGUGCUUUUUAAUAAGAGGAUGAUGACUCAACAUGAAAGUAAAUAGAUAGGCCCUUCACAGAGGGAAGCAGGGAUUUGUAUAGGUGCCAGAGCUCGGUUUUGAAAUAGAGGUGAAUAAUAUUUUGAGCAGUAUACUUUCAUUGUCAACAUAACAACCAAGAGAUGGAGAUAUCUUCCAUGCUACACACAUUAUAGGCGGUUCCCAAACAGAAUGGUAAAGUUUAUACUCCCCUCCACCAAUAAGCAUCAAUCCAUGGCUUGCUCGAAACAACGAGUGCCUCCAACUAACAACAGUCCCAGGGGGAGUUUUGUUUGCAAUUAUUUUGAUUUAGUUUGCAUAAAGCAUGGGACUGGGCAUCCCGGUGACCAGCCAUUUUUAUCGUCAGUGAGGAGCGAAGUCCACUCCUCUUGAGAAUAACCCGCCUAACAUGGAAGAUACGGACAGGCCUAGUUGAUACAUGAGCUAUUCGAGCAUACAAAACAUGAUAUUUAUUUGAAGGUUUAGAGUUUGGCACAUACAAAUUUACUUGGAACGGCAGGUAGAUACCGUAUAUAGGUAGGUAUUGUGGACUCAUAUGGAAUAACUUUGGGGUUUAUGGAGUUGGAUGCACAAGUAGUAUUCCCGCUUAGUACAGGUGAAGGCUAGCAAAAGACUGGGAAGCGACCUGCUAGAGAGCGACAAUAGUCAUGAACAUGCAUUAAAAUUAAUCAACACCAAAUGCAAGCAUGAGUAGGAUAUAAUCCACCAUGAACAUAAAUAUCGUGAAGGCUAUGUUGAUUUUGUUUCAACUACAUGCGUGAACAUGCGCCAAGUCAAGUCACUUAAAUCAUUCAGAGGAGGAUACCACCCUAUCAUACCACAUCACAACCAUUUUAAUAGCAUGUUGGCACGCAAGGUAAACCAUUAUAAGCUCCUAGCUAAUCAAGCAUGGCACAAGAAACUAUGAUCUCUACUUGUCAUUGCAAACAUGUUUAUUCAUAAUAGGCUGAAUCAGGAACGAUGAACUAAUCAUAUUUACAAAAACAAAAGAGGUCGAGUUCAUACCAGCUUUUCUCAUCUCAGUUAGUCCAUCAUAUGUCGUCAUAAUUGCCUUUCACUAGCACGACCGAAUAGUGUGAAUAAUAAUAAUAAUAGUGCACGUGCAUUGGACUAAGCUGGAAUCUGAAAGAAUUCAAUAAAGAGGAGAAGACAAGGCAAUAUGGGCUCUUUUGUCAGAUCAACAAUUAUGCAUAUAAGAGCCACUUCAACAAUUUAAUCAUGGUCUUCUCCUAUCGACCCCCCCAAAAAAAGAAAAGAAAUAAAACUAUUCACACGGGAAAUCUCCCAACAAGCAAAAGAAGAACAGGAAAUCUUUUUGGGUUUUCUUUUUAAUUACUACUACAAGCAUGGAAAGUAAACUAAUUAAAAGCUACAACUAUUUUUUUGUUUUUCUUAAGGUUUAUUAAACACACAAGGAGAAAGCAUAAAAAGGAAAUAAACCAGCAUGGAUGAUACAAUGAAAAAGUAUAAGCACCGACAUCUAGCAAUGAGUGUGUGAACAUGAAUAUAAUGUCGGUGAGAAAUACGUACUUCCCCAAGCUUAGGCUUUUGGCCUAAGUUGGUCUAUGGCCACGGCUGGCCUGGCGGAUACCCAUAAUAAUAGUUGGGGUCGUACUGCGAUGAAGAAGACUCUGACUGCCACUGGUUAGCAAUCAUCUCCGGAUCCCAAUGGUAAUUAGACUGUCGUGGAGGAUCAACUUGUGGUUCCGACUCUGGCUCUAUGGCUGGUGGAGGGUUCUGGUAGGCAUGAAUGUCCUUCGGCUAGACGAGGUGCUGGCCUGCAGAUAAAUCAAACAAGGAAGGGGCAGGCAAGGUAAUAGUCUCUGGAUGAUGUUUAUCAAAGAACAAUUUGUAUUUAAGCUCCCCUUCCCUAUUCUUUAUAAUGAAAUUAUGUGCUACCAUACUCUUAUAAUCUAAAUAAACAUGAGGCAGCAAUUUUUCUUCCUUCUCAUAAUGCCUAAUAGGUAUGUUAAAAUGUGCAGCAAGGCAUGAAGCAUAGAUACCACCAAAAAUGGGACCCUUUGUACGGUUCAGACUUAACCGUUUAGCAAUAAUACUGCCCAUACUCACAGAGUUAUCACAGAAUAAACCAUGGAACAAAUGAUAAUAUCAGGAACACUAAGGUUUCCACAGUUUCCGCGACCAAUUAAGCAAGGACUAGCAAAUAUUGCAAAGUAGCGUAAAACAGGAAAAUGUAUGCUAGUGAUUCGUGAAUCGGAAACCUUCCUCGUUUCCCCUACAGUGAUGGUAUCAAUAAACCCAUCCACAGCGUCACGAUGUGGUUCCUCUAUUUUGCCCUCGAAAGGGAUCAAACAAACCCGACAAAAAUCAUAAAGUGACAUCUUCUUAACCACAUCAUAUAAAUGAAACUCUACUGAAGGAGGUGAUUCCCUAGGAUAAUAGUAUAAGUUUUGCACAAAAGUAUUGGUGGGUAAGAGAUACUGUUCGCGUUGGUCGUGGAGGAAGUCGGUGAGGCCUGCAUUCUUAGCCAAUUCAUAAAAAUCCUCAUAAAUCCCGGUUGCUCUCAAGAAUCCAUCGGAGGGCCAUUCACACGGCCUAACCUCCGCGGUGCGAGGCAAAUUAAAUUUGGGCUUCAUUGCUUCUUCAUUUUGCUUUUCCUUCGAGCUUCGGCUCGAUGAGCCCCUCAAAAAACUCUUCAUUAUUCUCUGAAAAAAUCUGAAAUUUUUUAGUAACUUCAAAAUAAAAGUAAGCCAAACUCAAUAAUAUUGAUAGCGGCAGAUGGCUCUCACCUCCCACCUCCCUCUCCUCUCCUCUCCCACCUGCUCCACCCAAACUCAUGGCGAUCUCUAAGGUAAUUCAAGAUGGAAGGCCUUUUGCACUGGGAUUUUGCCCCUGGCUUAGCCCUUGCAGACCAGGUGAGAAGAAAAUUCGGUUCCACUGUGCAUUUUUCUCCUUCCCGAGGCGACAAGGAAUUCUUUCUGGCUGUAUCCUUCUCCUCGGCCUCUUUCCCUCUCCAUGAAGAAUCUGUGGGUAUUGCUCUCCAAUGUUGCAUUGGUGGCAUUGGUGUUGGAUUUCGAGUGCACAAGAUCAAUCCUCGCGUGUUUCGUUUCUCGGUUGCCAAUAAUAAAGUGGGUCAUUUUAUCUACGGUCUUAAAGAUUGUACUUGGCCGGAUUUUAUUUGUCAUUUUCAUCUGUUCAAGGGAGGUUCUGCCCGGGUUUAUAAGUCGAAUGAUACCUGGCAUGCCGAUGAGGAAUUACUAGAAAUCUCAGCUCGACACCCUAUGGCUAUCAAAUCAGAUUUGGAAUUUCUGAGAUCACACCCUUCUGGGUCUAUUUCUUCUUAUGAGUUAGGCAAAUUCUCAUUGAGGCCUAUUGAUAAUAUGGUUUUCUCCAACAAAAAUGCUAAGGAAGCUUCCUCAUCUUCAUCCAUCCCGAAGAACACACAUGACUCUCAAAUUCAAUUUGGAUCUUUUUUGGCAAAUCAGGUUGAGGAGCCCAUAAUUCAGGAUUCACCGAGGAUCUCAUUAAUGAAGAAAUAUCUUCGGGAAGCGGAAUUGGAGGAAGAACAUAAUCAGGCAUGUCUAAAUUUGGGUGGGUUUAAAUGCCCCAUUAAUGUUCCUUAUCCUGUCCUGCCGCAGUGUUUUCUUAAUUCGGUGUUCAAAUAUGCACCGGCCCACUCUCUUUGGCCCCCUAAACUUUCGUCCCAGCAUAAGGCUGAUCUAGCCCAAGCUUCCUACUCUGAGGUGGAAAUUACCACCCUCGCUAAUAAUUGGGCGGUAUUGUGUGCUCGAUGCUUACAAUGGGGUCAUCCAAAGAUUCAAUGCCCGGCUAGGCUGAUUUGCAUUAAGUGUUCGGCACCUGAUCACAAGGUAAGUAAUUGCCCGACUAGGUGUACUUGGCAACAAAUUAGACUAGUUGAUGCCGUCAAGCCUCGUAAUAUCAAUCUACCCACUAUUUCCGUUGCUCUGGUCGCUCAUGUGCACAAACGUACCCGCAAACUAACCGUUCGAUGCGAGGCCUGCAGUCACUAUAGGCACGUGGCAAAAUCUUGUCGAUUGAAACGGUGGUGUGAGCGUUGGCAAUGGAUCCCUAAAAAUCCUCAACCUACCAAAAAUGCCCCUCACGCUUCCGCUUCUCCUUGGCUUCCCCAAACGACACCGCCCUGCCUCAGCCAUUCGCCACCACUGCCACCCCCGUCACCUCAGUCGCUCUCCAUCCGCACCACCACCAUGGCGAACUAUCCCCUCAAUCCGGUGCCGUUCCUCCUGCCCGGUUUCGCUGUUGAACAAGGUCCGGCGGACCGUGUCGUCCGCAGUGGCAUGGUGGUCGGACUGUGUCAUCCUCAACCACCAUUGCGGAGACCAGUCAUUAUCUUCCUCUUCAUCGCCGCGCCAUCAUCUGCCAUGCCAUCAGAGGUUUGCUUCAUGAGGCCCAGCUUUUCACUACUGAAGUUAGCGAUCAUCCGCUCGGUAUAGUAAUUUUUGGUUUUCCGGACUCUUUUAUCCGAGAUACUGCGGUUGCCACUCCAUUAGAGCUUGAGGAUGAAGAUCUGCUCAUCACUUUCAUCCCUCACAAUGAAGCACUAAACCGUCGCACCACCUCUUUUGGCCCUGAGAUCUGGUUAAUGUACUGUGGUUUUCCUUAUGAUUACCAGACUGACUAUUACAUCAAUAAGUCGCUUGGUGGUUUUGGUGCUCUGGUUUCUUGGUACAACCCCCGCCAAGAUUGCCGUUUCAUGUUGAUCAAAGCUAGAGUUCUGCGUCUGAACCUGGUGCCCAAAAGCUUCGUAGUUUGGCAGCUAAGGGGGGCUCGUGAUUGUUGGACUAUGCAGAUCACUAUCCUCCAAAGCAAUGAUUGGAAUGGUCUGCUGCCUGAAGUUUUGCCUGCCGGGGAAGAACCCCCACCACCUGAUGGCAUCCCGCAUCCUCAAUUUGGCCCGGACCUGACUGUGGAACAACUGUACCAACAACAGGUGCACAAUUGGCUUGUGCAGAAUGCAGCACCUCCCAAUGGCGCUCCAGAAGAACCUGCUAUGCAACAGGAUCAGGACAAUGCUGGGUGGGGUGCAUGGCCUGCGCCGGCUGCUCCUCCCCUGCCCCAGUUGCCGCCGUAUCUUAUGAAUUUUCAAGCUUGGCUUGUUGCACGGGGUCUGCAAGUGCAAGAUGAUCUUGUGCCUGAUAAUAACAUCUCUGACAAUGCUAUGCAGGCGUGGCAUGACUCCAUCACUUCUUCUGAUGAGACUGAGACGGAAUCGGACAGCUCUACGUUUGACCUGCUGGUGGUUCCUGCUCAGGUGCCUGCUGUUGCUCCCGUUGUUCCUUUGGUUGAUGAAUCACUCACGAUUUCAGUUGAACUCCAUAACCAUGGUCUGCAUUUUGGCCUCUCGGCUCAUGGGGAUGCUCUCAUGGAAUUACUGUUGGAAAACACUAUUCCUCGCCAGCAGCUUACCAGUGCUAUUUUCUCUGCCCUUCGCCCGAUGAUGGCUUCUUUUGGGCCUUGGCGCUCUGGCUUGGGUUUGCAGCAGAGCUCUCUCUAGGUGGAGAUCCAGGUUUCUUUGUCUAGGGGGGAUAUUCAGUUCUCACAAGUGGUACGUCAACAGGGACCAGCUUCUGUUUCUGCUAUGAUUGUACCUGUUCUGCCUGCGCUGCCUCACACACAUUCAGAUUUGGACUCUCUGACUGAUACACAUGUGCCUUCAGCCAUGCCACCUCUUCUUCUUACUUGGGAACCAUCUGAAUCCCUCGUGGCGCCAAGCAACUCUGUGGUUGAACAGCAGGUUGACCAUCUUGCUUUCUCAGUACCUUCUGAUGUCAUCCCUACUCCAGCUCUAUCGGAAACUUCAGGCACCUCAAUGGCUAUGACAGUCCAUGAUCAGGGAGGCAUGACCAUUGCAAAUCAAACUCAGAAGAAACGCAAAGGUAAGAUGCAAGCUCCUGUUGAUACAUCCACUCUGCGAUGCAGUAACAGGAACAACAAAUACGAUGGCUUCCGGGUUCCUCAGAUUUCUGAGGUUCAUCCUACCAAGUCCAAAGUCAAGCCUCGCAUAAUCCCUUCUGCUGCUGUUGGAGCUUCGGAGCUUACUUCUGGAGAGGAUUCCUCACCUGAAAUAGUUACUGUUGAAGUUGAUGAUGUGGCAGCUCCUCCGCCCACAUCCAUUCCUACUAUGCAGGCCAUUGGCGUGAAUCUCUGCGCGAUACCUGCUGAAGAGCUAUCUACUUCGGCCUUCUCUGAAGAGUAGUUUGAUUUGCUUAUCUUUGCUUUUGUCGUUACUGAACCUUGCAUACCUUUUCAAUGCUUUUGUGUAACUGGAACGUACUAUGCUGGAAUGUACGUGGUCUUAAUGCGCCCGAUAAACACUUAGCGCUUGGCAAUGCGAUCAAUACUAGUGGAUGCGCGAUCGUUUGUUUGCAGGAAUCUAAAAUGCCUUUCUUUGAUGCUGCUGUCUUGAAAUCUAUUUUCCCUCGGUGUUUUGAUCAGUUUGCGUACAUUCCCUCUCAAGGUGCAUCGGGUGGGAUAAUAACCGUAUGGAAUAGCAGUAUCUUUACGGGCCAGGUCUUUUUAUCUGAACAGUUUGCGUCAGGUGUUGAAUUCACCUCCACGCAGUCCAAUCACUGUUGGAAGCUCGUUAAUAUAUAUGGCCCUUGUCAGGGUGAGCAUCGUGUCACGUUCACAAAUUGGCUUUUUGAUCUGAAUAUACCCUCUGCUGAAGAUUGGUUAUUACUAGGCGAUUUCAAUUACAUUCGCUCACCCGACAAUCGCAACAAACCAGGUGCAAAUGUCCAAGACAUGUUCACUUUCAACAACUUUAUUCGGGAACAAAACCUAACUGAAUUACCCAUCAAGGGGUGUGCCUACACUUGGUCGAAUAUGCAGCUUCAGCCACUCCUUGAGCAACUCGAUUGGUUUUUCACCACGUUGAAUUGGACUACCACAUUUCCCAACACCCUGGUGAAUCCUUUAAGCAAACCUGUUUCUGACCAUACUCCUUGUUCUGUGGUCAUCCAAACUUCAAUCCCAAAAAGCAAACUCUUCAGGUUCCAAACAUAUUGGCUUGCUCAUCCUGGGUUUAUGGAGGUUGUUGAACAUGCCUGGAACAAACCUAUCAGAUUCAAUAAGAACCAUAACUGCGCGGCAAGAAUCGGGCAAAAGCUCAAGACUGUUUGUCAUGCUCUCAAACAAUGGAGCAAGAAAAUCUCUCGCCUUAAAAUAGCCAUUGAAAACACCAAUAAAGCUCUUUUGGAGCUUGACAAUAUUGAGGAUCGUCGGACUCUGACCACACCAGAAAGAAACUUUUGACGCAUUCUCAAAAAUCACUUGCUCCGGCUUCUGCAACAUCAAAAACACUACUAGAAAAAGAGGUGUACAAUCAGAUGGAUUCAGUUUGGUGACGAAAAUUCCAAGUUCUUCCAAACCAUUGCCAUCGAACGCUUCAGAAGAAACUGCAUUAGCUCGCUCAAAACCCCUGCUGGAAUGGAAAUCACCGACCAUGCAGGGAAAGAGUCCAUUUUAUUUGAAGCAUUCAAAGAACGAAUGUGCCAAGCAAAUCCUCAGCCUAUGAAAUUCAACUUACAAACCUUGUUGAAGGAGGAUGUGGAUUUCUCGGAUCUCAUUGCUCCAUUCACUCACAAAGAAAUUGAUGAUGUGGUGUCUGCAAUGCCACCAGAUCGGGGCCCUGGCCAUGAUGGCUUUAAUGGAGCUUUCUUAAAAGCAUGUUGGCCAAUCAUUAAAAAUGAUUUUUAUCUUCUUUGUGAGGAGUUUCAUCAAGGCGGCCUUAAUUUGGAAAGCAUUAAUGCAGGUUUUAUCACUCUGAUCCCCAAGGUUAAUUCACCUGAAUGUGUUAAUGACUUCCGGCCGAUCACGCUUCUCAACUGCUGUUUGAAGUUGAUCACUAAAAUUCUGGCGAAUAGACUCCAAAAAAUCAUACUCCGAAUUGUACACCGAAACCAAUAUGGUUUCCUUCGUGGCAGAUCGAUCCAUGACUGCCUUGCCUGGGCUUUCGAAUAUAUUCAUCAGUGUCAGGCCUCCAAACGAGAGAUUGUUCUUCUCAAACUUGACUUUGCGAAAGCGUUUGACACGGUUGAGCACUCUGCCAUGCUCCUAAUUCUGAAGAGCAUGGGCUUCCCACCAAAAUGGCUGGCUUGGAUGGAGAGCAUCUUUUCGUCGGGCAAAUCUUCUGUGUUACUGAAUGGGGUGCCAGGUCGACAGUUUCUGUGCAAAUGUGGGGUGCGUCAAGGAGAUCCGAUGUCUCCCCUAAUAUCCGUCCUUGCCGCUGAUCUACUUCAAAAUGCUAUCAAUGCUGCACUCCAGCAGGACUUGAUCAAACACCCCAUCCCUCCUACUGGUGAUGCUAAAUACCUUGUAAUCCAGUACACCAACGACACAAUUAUUGUCCUUCCGGCCUGCAUGGACCAAGCAGCUAGAAUCAAAUCAAUCCUCGAAGAUUAUGCCACCUCUAUUGGCUUGAAGAUCAACUUCCAUAAAUCCACACUUGUGUCAAUUAAUACGCCGUCAACAAGUGCAAUGACCUGGCCGACCUUUUUGGAUGCACCCAGGCCAGCAUGCCCUUUACUUAUCUCGGUCUGCCCCUUGGUACCACCUGGCCCUCUGUCCUCGAUCUGACGUCGUUCGUCUGCAAAGCCGAAAGGAAAAUCACUACUGCGAUGUCCUUAAUGUCCUAUGCGGGCAAGUUAGCGUUGGUAAACUCGCUCAUCACCUUGAUGGCUAUCUAUCCCAUGGGAACUCUUCGAUUGCCACCAAAGAUUCUUGCUCAGCUCGAUAAAAUCCGCAGACACUGCCUCUGGAACAAACGCACGACUGAUGGUGACAAACAUACCUCUUUGGCUGCUUGGGACAUGGUGUGUCGACCCAAAAAGUGUGGGGGCUUGGGUGUCCUUGAUCUUAAAAUUCAAAAUGACGCGCUUUUGCUCAAAUUCCUGCAUAAAUUUUACAACCGAAUGGAUGUCCCCUGGGUUCGGCUCAUCUGGGAAACCUACUAUGUUGACUCCAUCCCACAUGCUUCGGAUAGUUGUGGCUCCUUUUGGUGGCGUGACCUGGCAAGUCUUAUGCCAGUCUAUCGUGGCAUUUCUCAGGUCCAAAUUAAACAUGGUGCUUCUGUCCUAUUCUGGAAAGAUAACUGGAACCAGUCCAUCUUGGCAGAACAAUAUCCACGCCCUUUCUCCUACGUUCUUAAUGAGGACGUGUCCGUGCAAGGGUUUUUGACUGCCCGCGCCCUUCACGAAACCUUUAAUCUACCACUCUUGCUGCAAGCUCAUGACGAACUCAAGCUCCUCCAAAAUGAUAUUACUACAGUGACUUUGGAAGAUCAUGAUGACGUUUGGUCCUAUUGUUGGGGAUCAACCAUAUUCAAAACCACAGCCUACUAUCAGUUUUUUUUCCGCGACGUGGUUCCUCACGUGGCUUUCAAGUGGCUCUAGAAGACUACAUGCAUACCCAAAAUCAAAGUUUUUGGCUGGUUUUUACUUUCGGACCGGCUCAACACGAGGAAUAUGCUCAAGCGGCGACACUACAAUAUUGGUAACAACUUUGACUGUUUACUUUGCGGGCAUCAUAUCAAAGAAACGGUGGAGCAUCUCUUCUUUCACUGCACCUUCAGUAGGGAAUGUUGGACCUUGCUACGUAUAUCUUGGGCUGCACAAGGGGAUAGGUUGCAGUUGCUGGAGAACCUAAAGAUACAACACCCGUGCAAGAUGAUCAUGGAAGUGUUUCUCACUGCUGCCUGGAGCCUUUGGAAGGAGCGCAAUAAUAAUUAUUUUAGACAUGUGGCACCCUCCAUUUCCUCUUGGUUCAGUAGAUUCAAGGAAGACUUUGGCAAUAUAAGAUAUAGACUACCUAGUGAAAAGAGACAUGUUGUCUCUUCCUUCUUGCAAAGUCUGCCUCAGCAUAGUUAGGGUGGUGUUCUGGUUCUAGCCCCCCCCCCUCCCCUCACAUUCCAUUGUAAAAAUCAUCAUGUAACUUUUCUUUUGAUCAUUUAUAUAUACAUGCAGUAGGAUCCUUUCCUACUGUCUUAACAUUCAAAAAAUAAUAAUAUGGAUAGCAACUACUCCUACAAGUGCCUAGAGCCUAUAUCAUGCAUCAAAACUACUUGGAACCAUAUAAAUUUGACAUGCAAGCUCAAGAACAUGGUAACCUAGGCAACAAAAAUUUGCAAUGAAUAAAGCACUAGAACAAAAACUAAUUGGACCAAUGGAGGAGUCACAUACCAAGGAACAAUCUCCCCAAGCAGUUUUGUGAGAGGUGCUUUGAGCAAGGAGAUCGAAAAUGGCAGCAAAACGAGCUUGGACUCGGGUUUGAGUUGGAUAUUCGUGUUUGUGGGAGGAAGGAGUGUGUGGGUGCAUAAGUGGAGGAGGGCCACCGUGGGCCCACAAGGCAGGGGGCGUGCCCAGGAGGUAGGGCACGCCCCUGACCCUCGUGGCUAGGUGCCAGCUCCUCCUGUUGUGUUCUCAGUGCCAAAUAUUCUCAAAUAUUUCAGAAAAAAUCAUAUUUAAAUUUCAGGGCAUUUGGAGAACUUUUAUUUUCGGGGUAUUUUUAUAUUGCAUGGAUAAUUCAGAUAACAGACAGAAAAUACUAUUUUUAUUUUAUUUAAAAUAAAUAACAGAAAGUAAACGUAGGGUACAGAAGGUUGUGCCUUCUAGUUUCAUCCAUCUCAUGCUCAUCAAAAGGAAUCCACUAACAAGGUUGAUCAAGUCUUGUUAACGAACUCAUUCCGAAUAACAUGGAACCGGAGAAAUUUCGAAUAACACUAUGUUACCUCAACGGGGAUAUGCACAUCCCCAAUAAUAAGAAUAUCAUAUUUCUUUUUGACGGUAGGAAGAGGAAAUUCAAAACCUCCAAUAAUAAUCGAUGGAAUUUUUCCAAUAGAGUUGAUACUAUGAACUUGAGGUUGUUUCCUCGGAAAGUGUACCGUAUGCUCAUUACCAUUAACAUGAAAAGUGACAUGGCCUUUAGUGCAAUCAAUAAUAGCCCCUGCAGUAUUCAAAAAAGGUCUUCCAAGAAUAAUAGACAUACUAUCAUCCUCGGGAAUAUCAAGAAUAACAAAGUCUGUUAAAAUAGUAACGUUUUCAACCACAACAGGCACAUCCUCACAAAUACCGACAGGUAUAGCAGUUGAUUUAUCAGCCAUUUGUAAAGAUAUUUCAGUAGGUGUCAACUUAUUCAAAUCAAGUCUACGAUAUAAAGAGAGAGGCAUAACACUAACACCGGCUCCAAGAUCACAUAAAGCAGUUUUAACAUAGUUUCUUUUAAUGGAGCAUGGUAUAGUGGGCACUCCUGGAUCUCCAAGUUUCUUUGGUAUUCCACCCUUAAAAGUAUAAUUAGCAAGCAUGGUGGAAAUUUCAGCUUCCGGUAUCUUUCUUUUAUUAGUAACAAAUUCUUUCAUAUACUUAGCAUAAGGAUUCAUUUUAAGCAUAUCAGUUAAUCGCAUACGAAAAAGAUAGGUCUAAUCAUUUCAGCAAAGCGCAUCCUCAUCAUCCUUUUUCUUGGAUGGUUUGGGAGGAAAAGGCAUGGGUUUUUGAACCCAAGGCUCUCUUUCCCUACCAUGUUUCCUAGCAACAAAGUCUUUCUUAUCAUAACAUUGAUUCUUUGAUUGUGGGUUAUCAAGAUCAACAACAGGUUCAAUUUCUAUAUCAUUAUCAUUACUAGGUUGAGCAUCAUCAUGAACAUUAUCAUUAGCAUUUUCACUAGUUUCAGAUUCAUUACCAGAUUGUGUUUCAGCAUCAGAAAUAGAAAUAUCAUUUGGAUUCUCAGGUGUUUCAGUAAUAGGUUCACUAGAAGCAUGCAAACUCCUAUCAUUUUUCUUUUUCUUCCUUUUAGAAGGACUAGGUGCAUCUAUAUUAUUUCUCUAAGAAUCUUGCUCAAUUCUCUUAGGGUGGCCUUCAGGAUACAAAGGUUCCUGAGCCAUUCUACCACCUCUAGUCAUAACUCUAACAGCGUUAUCAUUAUUCUUACUAUUCAAUUCAUUGAGCAAAUAAUUUUGAGCUUUAAGUAAUUGUUCUACUUGAGUGGUAACCAUAGAAGCAUGUUUACUAAUAAGUUUAAGUUCACCUUUGACAUUAGCCAUAUAAUCACCCAAGUGUUCAAGCAUAUUUGAAUUGUAUUUCAAUUGUCUACCAAAAUAAGCAUUAAAAUCUUCUUGCUUAACCAUAAAUUUAUCAAACUCAUCUAAGCAUGGGAUAGCAAACUUAGUAAAUGGGAUUUCAGCUUUAUCAUAUCUAUAGAGAGAAUUUACCUUUAGUACCUGUGUCGGGUUAUCAAGGCCACGAGUUUCUUCAAUAGGUAAUGGAGUAAGAUCAUAUGUUUCUUCAACAGGCGGUAAAUUAAGACCAUGUAUUUCUUCAAUAGGAGGUAAAUUCUUAACAUCUUCAGGUUUAAUACAUUUUUGUUUCAUAGAUUUCUUUGCCUCUUGCAUAUCUUCAGGACUGAGAAAUAGAACACCUCUCUUCUUCGGAGUUGGUUUAGGAAUAGGCUCAGGAAUUGGCUCAGCAAGUGUCCAAUUAUUUUCAUUUGUCAACAUAUUAUUCAAUAGAAUUUCAGCUUCAUCCGGUGUUCUUUCCCUAAAAACAGAACCAGCACAACUAUCCAGGUAAUCUCUGGAAGCAUCGGUUAGUCCAUUAUAAGAGAUAUCAAGUAUUUCAUUUUUCUUAAGAGGAUGAUCAGGCGAAGCAUUAAGUAACUUGAGAAGCCUCCCCCAAGCUUGUGGUAGGCUCUCUUCUUCAAUUUGCACAAAAUUAUAUAUAUCCCUUAAAGCAGCUUGUUUCUUAUGAGCAAGGAAAUAUUUAGCAGAGAAGUAAUAAAUCAUAUCCUGGGGACUACGCACACAACCAGGAUCAAAAGAAUUAAACCAUAUCUUAGCAUCACCCUUUAAUGAGAACGGAAAUAUUUUAAGGAUAUAAAAGUAGUGAAUUCUCUCAUCAUUAGUGAACAGGGUGGUUAUAUCAUUUAAUUUAGUAAGAUGUGCCACAACAGUUUCAGAUUCAUAGCCAUGAAAAUGAUCAGAUUCAACCAAAGUAAUUAUAUCAGGAUCAACAGAGAAUUCAUAAUCCUUAUCAGUAACAAAGAUAGGUGAAGUAGCAAAAGCAGGGUCAGGUUUCAUUCUAGCAUUAAGAGAUUGUGUAUUCCAUUUAGCUAAUAACCUCUUAAGUUCAUAACUAUCUUUGCAAGCUAAAAUAGCUAAAGAUGCUUCUUUAUCAAAAACAUAACCCUUAGGAAUAACGGGCAAGUCUUCAUCAUCACUUUCAUCAAUAUUAUCAGAAUCAAUAAUUUCAUUCUCUCUAGCCCUAGCAAGUUGUUCAUCAAGAAAUUCACCAAGUGGCACAGUAGUAUCAAGCAUAGAACUAGUUUCAUCAUAAGUAUCAUGCAUAGCAGAAGUGGCAUCAUCAAUAACAUGUGACAUAUCAGAACGAAUAGCAGACGCAGGUUUAGGUGUCGCAAACUUACUCAAAACAGAAGGUGAAUCAAGUGCAGAGCUAGAUGAUAGUUCCUUACCUCCCCUCGUAGUUGAGGGAUAAAUCUUGGUUUUUGGAUCUCUCAAGUUCUUCAUAAUAAUUAGCAGAUAUAAAUCCCAAGUGACUCAAAGAAUAGAGCUAUGCUCCCUGGCAACGGCGCCAGAAAAUAGUCUUGAUAACCCACAAGUAUAGGGGAUCACAACAGUUUUCGAGGGUAGAGUAUUCAACCCAAAUUUAUUAAUUCGACACAAGGGGAGCCAAAGAAUAUUCUCAAGUAUUAGCAGCUGAGUUGUCAAUUCAACCACACCUGGAAACUUAUUAUCUGCAGCAAAGUGUUUAUUAGCAAAGUAAUAUGAUAGUAGUGGUAACGGUAACAAAAGUAAUGUUUUUGAUAUUUUGUAGUGAUGAUAGCAAUAGCAACGGAAAGUAAAUAAGCGAAGAACAAUAUAUGGAAAGCUCGUAGGCAAUGGAUCGGUGAUGGAGAAUUAUGCCGGAUGCGGUUCAUCAUGUAACAGUCAUAACCUAGGGUGACACAGAACUAGCUCCAAUUCAUCAAUGUAAUGUAGGCAUGUAUUCUGAAUAUAGUCAUACGUGCUUAUGAAAAAGAACUUACAUGACAUCUUUUGUCCUACCCUCUCGUGGCAGCGGAGUCCUAAUGGAAACUAAGGGAUAUUAAGGCCUCCUUUUAAUAGAGUAUCGGAACAAAGCAUUAGCACAUAGUGAAUAUAUGAACUCCUCAAACUAUGGUCAUCACUGGUAAGUAUCCCGAUUAUUGUCACUUCGGGGUUAACGGAUUAUAACACAUAAUAGGUGACUAUAGACUUGCAAGAUAGGAUCAAGAACUCUCAUAUAUUGAUGAAAACAUAAUAGGUUCAGAUCUGAAAUCAUGGCACUCGGUCCCUAGUGACAAGCAUUAAGCAUAGCAAAGUCAUGGUAACAUCAAUCUUAGAACAUAGUGGAUACUAGGGAUCAAACCCUAACAGAACUAACUCGAUUACAUGAUAGGUCGCAUCCAACCCAUCACCGUCCAGCAAGCCUGCGAUGGAAUUACUCACGCACGGCGGUGAGCAUCAUGAAAUUGGUGAUGGAGGAUGGUUGAUGAUGACGAUGGCGACGGAUUCCCCUCUUCGGAGCCCCGAACGGACUCCAGAUUAGCCCUCCCGAGAGGUUUUAGGGCUUGGCGGCGGCUCCGUAUCGUAAAAUGUGAUGAAUUCUUCUCUUUGAUUUUUUUCUCCCCGAAACCAAAUAUAUAGAGUUGGGGUUGAGGUCGGAGGAGCUCCAGGGGGCCCACGAGGUAGGGGGCGCGCCCCUCACCCUCGUGGCUAGGGUGUGGUCCUCCUCGUCUUCAUCUUUUGCAAGGAUUUUUUAUUAUUUCCAAAUAGACGUUCCGUGAAGUUUCAGGUCAUUCCGACAACUUUUGUUUCUGCACAUAAAUAACACCAUGGUAAUUCUGCUGAAAACAGCGUCAGUCCGGGUUAGUUGCAUUUAAAUCAUGCAAGUUAGAGUCCAAAAUAAGGGCAAAAGUGUUUGAAAAAGUAGAUACGACGGAGACGUAUCAAGCCACAUCUACUUAUAUAGGGGAGUGGGCAGCCGCGCGUCCACCACCGCAGUGGGCUCGAGCGUUGCCACCGGAGCACAUAAGGCCAACGGCCCAGGAAAGCCUGGCCCAGCCACGGGAGAGCNNNNNNNNNNNNNNNNNNNNNNNNNNNNNNNNNNNNNNNNNNNNNNNNNNNNNNNNNNNNNNNNNNNNNNNNNNNNNNNNNNNNNNNNNNNNNNNNNNNNNNNNNNNNNNNNNNNNNNNNNNNNNNNNNNNNNNNNNNNNNNNNNNNNNNNNNNNNNNNNNNNNNNNNNNNNNNNNNNNNNNNNNNNNNNNNNNNNNNNNNNNNNNNNNNNNNNNNNNNNNNNNNNNNNNNNNNNNNNNNNNNNNNNNNNNNNNNNNNNNNNNNNNNNNNNNNNNNNNNNNNNNNNAGGCCCAGCUGGGAAACAGGCCCGUCCUCCCGAGCCGGCGAAACCCUAGAUUGGUCCCGCGGCUCCCUGGCAGGGACGAUCCCGCCGCCGCCGUCAACCCCUAUCGACGCCGGCGAGCUCUCUGAGCCCGAGGACAACGGCGCCGCCUCCAUUUCGCGCAACCCCACCUCCGACAAGACGCGUGAACAACCCUCUGGACCUGCAUCCGCACCCCUGGGCGGCCGCCAGAUCUGUGCCGCCAGGCGACGCCCGCCAUGCCCACCAGGAGCAAAAGCACGCCGACGACCGGCCACGAAGGAGCCCCCAAGCUCCUCCGCAUGGGCGACAAAGUCACCCACCGAGCACGCCUCACGAGGCCUCAGCGAACCACCACCACUUACCUGACUGCUUACCUGGUCGCCCUCCUUGCCUUCAUCGUCGGAGUCGACCCCCGCCAGCGCCCAGAACCGGCUGCCUGAGGAAGAUGGGCCAGGAGGCCGCCCUCCGGGCACGGGGCUCCACCGCGCGCGCCCCUCGACAGGACGCACCGCCGUCCAGCCGGCCUCCUCUGCCGCGGCCCCGCAGGGGGCACCCACUCCUUCGCCAUCGAGGUCGCCUCCCAAAUCGCCUCUCCGUACGAGAGCCGUUGGUUCACUCAUCAAGAUGAUAAUUAGCUAAAAAAAAGUUGGAACUUGUUUGAUUGAGAAAACCGUGAAACUAAAAGGUCGAAUUAUAUACUGCAGCAACAAUUUCACCAACGUCAAAUUAUACCGAAGCUGGAGCAAUUUAAGCAUAUAACUCAUGGCCGAGUAUCAUAUCACAUAGAGAAAAUUAAGGUCCAAUGCAUCAAAGAUAACCACAAUGCAUCCAAUCUAAUUAUAUAGCCAGCAUUGCCCAAAUGGAGUACAUAUACUAGUAGAGUCGAUCUGGAUAUUAAGCACCACACCAGCUACCAGAUUCGCAAUUACAGCACUUGUCCAUCAAUCGUCACAGCAGAAGUAAUGCAUACUCUACAUUAUUCCCUAGAACUAGGCUCUCAUCAGUACCUCAUCAUGAGCUGAUCCACGACCACGAACAUGAUCCCUUGCAGCUUGCUGCUAGCUGAACUAGUAGGCUGCGUACUGCACUACUGCUUGUCCGACCCAUCACCUCCAAGGAGGUCAGACAGGCAGGUCAGGUUGCACGCCAGGAUGAGGCAGACGAUGACCAUGGUAAAAAAGAUCUUGCCGGAGAUGUAUCUUGGGUCGGCGGCGAGGAAGGUCCAGACGGCGCCGGCGUACAUGCAAUGGAAGAGGAAGGUGACCGCGAGCGCGAGGUAGGCGAGGGCGCGGCGGGCCCGGCGACGGCGGCAUGGGAGCAGCAGCGCCAGCGCCGCCGCGGCCGCCUGGGUUGGGGCGCAGCACAGAAUCCCGAUCGAGAGGGCGGUUAACCAGGCGGACUCCGCGUCCGUCAGCUCAACGCACGGCAGAAUGGAGGAGAGCUGCAGAGGAACACCAUAUAUCAGCUUGGCGCAAUGUGAAGCUGUCAAGCAUGCGAGCGAGAGGGGUAGGUGGUCACCUGGCUGCACGACACGUCCAAGUAGUCGACGGCUAUGUGGCCCACUGCUGUGCCGAAGACGAUGGCGAGGGCGUUGAGGAGCGCAUAUGUGCAGACCGGUGGGACGUCAUCGUGGAUCUUCUUCUUGGCCGCGCUCAGAGGCAGCAGAUGAGGGGUCUUGCCGUCCAUGGAAUGGAGAUCCAAGCUAGGUAGGAGAAGGACAAGUGGACAACCUAGGUUAGUUCCCCUUCUCUAACUUCACGUCGCCAGUCAACAGGAAGGAAGAAGAAGAACACAUGACAUGAGCAAGGUGGAUGGAGAUGGAGGGGACUCACCGAUCGGAUGCACGGGAGUUUCUUCCUAUCUUGUUUGCUUGGUGUGUGCUUCUUUCUGAAGGGGCUCGAUCUGCAAUUACACGGCACAAGGNNNNNNNNNNNNNNNNNNNNNNNNNNNNNNNNNNNNNNNNNNNNNNNNNNNNNNNNNNNNNNNNNNNNNNNNNNNNNNNNNNNNNNNNNNNNNNNNNNNNNNNNNNNNNNNNNNNNNNNNNNNNNNNNNNNNNNNNNNNNNNNNNNNNNNNNNNNNNNNNNNNNNNNNNNNNNNNNNNNNNNNNNNNNNNNNNNNNNNNNNNNNNNNNNNNNNNNNNNNNNNNNNNNNNNNNNNNNNNNNNNNNNNNNNNNNNNNNNNNNNNNNNNNNNNNNNNNNNNNNNNNNNNNNNNNNNNNNNNNNNNNNNNNNNNNNNNNNNNNNNNNNNNNCACACACACACACACACACACACACACACGCACACGCACGCACACGCGAGCGCACACACACACAGGGCGACAUGUGACGAUCUUAUCUCAGGGCGGUGACAAAGGAAACUACCGCGAAGUUGCCCCUAUACCCUCUUUGGCAAUGGAGUGGGACGCCUCAUUUCUUUGCAGGUGUACAAAAACGUGAAUGAACUCAGCACGCGCACAUGCAUUUUGAUCAGCUACACCACUCCUUGGCGUUGGCUCGUCGGCAUUUUGAUUAGCUAGCUAGCUAGCACACAAUUGUUCGACUGAAUUACAUUGUUAAUCCUUUUUGACGAUGAUUUACAUUGUUAACCGUCAUCUAUUAGGUCCAUUCAUCAACUUGUUUAAAUCUGUUGAAAUGGGAGGUGAAGUUCCAUCAAAGGUCUACACGAUUCAACUAAACCCUUAUCAACAAAAACGACAUUAGCGACAUGCAUCUACCAAGGCAUAAAGCACCCAUACCCUCUUUGGCAAUGCUGAGGGAGACCUAGUUUCUUUGCAGAUGUGCAAAAAUGAGAAUGAAACAUAACCAUGAAAGCUAGCUAGCCAGUGGGACGCUUAAUAUCUUUGCAGUGGACAGUCUCACCACGGGCACACAUGCACAUGCGUACAUGGCAGUAUAAAAGGCUAGUUAGUUAGGCAGCUCUUUUUAAUUGGGUAGCAGCACGGUCAGCUUCAACUGGCAUAGCUUCAUUGUUGGUGAGAUUCAAUUGCUCGUGGAAGAACGGAAUUUUUCGAUAACUCACACAGGACGAAACCAAAAUCUUUGUCAGUCAUUUACGGCAGCUUAUGAUAGAAAUUUUGGCCUGGUGAGAUUGUUGGAUAUUGUAAUUCUCUACACGAGUAAUACAAGUAAUUUCCUGAGAAAAGUUCCAACUAGUGUGAUUCCUAAUAGGAUACUGCAUACGCAUGUAAUAACCCUAGUUCGUCCACUUUAUGAGAAGCUAGCUAGUAUAAUAAUUUGACUAAAUUGUUUGGUCGUCCGCGGGUACAACAUCCACUUUCGAAUUACAUUGUUGACAGAUCAUCGAUUAGAUUUUUGACGCACCCAUUCAUCGGCUUAUUUAGCUUUAUUGAGAAUAAAAGGUGAGGCUCCAUUGGUCAUCCCAAUUCAACUUAACCCUUAUCAAAAGAAGGAAACACAAAUAGUUUGCGAGUGUGGUUGUUCAACACCCACGGAUAAUGCACCCCCGCUACACCUAUGACUAAGUCGACUUUUUUCACAACAGCACCUUCAAGGAGUUGUGUAUGGGAUUUCCAAGAUUGUUUGCCAUUUGUGCAGACCCAGUGGUGCUCCUCUCCACAACUGCCCACCAUGGCUAGUGGAACAUCUUGUUCUGACGGUCAUUUGGGCAAGUGGAGACCGUAGAGCGGGCUAACUUGUGGGCUGCCCUUUCGCCGGUGCUCGCGGAUAUUCUGGACGCCAUUUCUUGGCAUCUUGCACCUUCAGGUGUGUUCUCUGUCGGGCUUGGCAUACCAUGCUCUAUGCCAUGGGCAGACUAUUGCCUGGACAUCUCCUCUAUGGAAGGUGCCCAUCCCAUAUGGGACGGAGGCUAUCAAGAGAGAUCGCCUAACUUAUGGGACGGAGGCUAUCAAGAGGCACGGGGCGGGCAAUGGGAUUUGCCCCCAUUGUGGUGUUCCAGACAUGGGCACCCACAUCUUUUUUGUUGUGCAUGGUGGCAAGAGCUCUCUGGAGUUUUUUCUGUGAAGCUUUGGGCCUGACGGGGAGACCAUAGACUUGGCUGGGUAUCUCCAAACCAGAGCCAGUCAGACCGGUAGGAAGUGGUGGCUAUUCUAGCUUCUGUUUGCAGCGUUAGCUUGAACAUUAUGGACGACACAUAAUAAGAUGGUGAUUGAAAAGGCCUUCCCUAGACAUGCAUGUCACUCAUUCUUUGAAUUCCUCAUUUCUGUAGCACUGGCACCCGUCUAGGCAGUGCGACCGCAAGCGUCUGGGACUUAUGAUGGAUGUGUUGCAUACCACCGCUCGCCAACUAUCAUCGCAACAGGCCCCUUAACUCUGUGACCACUUGGUGGUCCUUUUCCUUUUUCUCUUAUGAUUUCUUGGGCAUGUUUGUGCAUGUGCCCCAACAGACUAUCUUAUUUUGUUGCACUUAAACUUGUUAUAUGGACAUGAUGUUGACUUUAUUUACAAAGUGGGGUGAAAUCCUACUUCGAGAGAGAGACAGGGGUUUUCUUCCUGGUUGCCAAGAUCAACCAUCAAGGCCAGCACAUUAGCAAUGAGACAAUGCCUUCAAGAAGGUAACGAUGCAAGUUCGUCGCUGCUGAGUCCAAGCAAUGAAGGCGAAAACAAGGGUUUUCACCCCGAACAUAAAGUGGUGUUCCAAUUGUCGUCUUUAAAACAAAUCUUCCGGUCUUCACGCAAGUCCCUACUCUACACCAGGUCGAACUGACACUAGUGGAUGGGUGGAACAUAUUUCCAUGAAAGACUACCACCCCGACCAUCGAGGGGUCGUCCAUGAUGCGGAGAAGACUUGGACGCAGCCACUCGACAACUGUGCAAACAAUCCUGCAACAUCCGCUACUGCACUGGGACCGCCGCCCCAACUUCAUCCGCGUGAGCAGAGACGGUCGUUGUUGUGCUUGAGGCAGAAUGUUGCAGGAUUAACCACAAGUAGGUUUAGAAUAGGGUUAAUUAAUUAAAACAAGGCAAAGGUUUUGUCCUGGGUUUUAGAAGAAAAAGCUCCCCAAUCCGUUAACCACAAGUAGGAUAGUAACAUAUGUGGAUGCAUGAUAUUUGUCUCACAGACUGGAACCAAGGUAAUUUCUUUUUCACAUUGUACUAGAAGAUAGUGUGUCUUCGAUUCAAUGGAUAUCGAGUUAGCACCUGCGACUAUAUUUAGAAUAGGGUUAGUCAUGUCUUGGUUAACUACAAUCGGACCGAGGUUUGCACCAUUUAUUGGUAGCAACUACCGCAUGCAUGAUUGUAUUUCGCAACUUUUGUUAGCUGACUAUAACCCUUUACAUGAGCAAUAAAGAUCUCACGUUAGUCAUAAGAAAAGAAUUUAUAGCCUCAACAUGACUUCGAGUGUGUUUGGUUGAGCUGUGGAUUUUGAAAAAUCUUAUGUGAGUUGUGAGAAAGUUGUUGUGAGGUGAGAACUACUGUGGAAAAGUUGAAAGUUGUUUGGUUGGGAAAACUGUGAAACUAAAAGGUCGAAUUAUACAAAGUAGCAACAUGGAUAUACACUGCAGCAGCAAUUUCAGCAGCAUCAAUUAUACCGAAGCUGGUGCUAAAUCUAUAUCAAUAUAAAAAGACCCAAAGGGACAGAUCCAAUUAAUCUCGGCCAUCGAACUAAGUUAAUCCAACGACCUAGACUGCUCCAAUGGCGAGAGUUAAACAUGUUUAACGUGCAAUUAAUAUCAUACCAAAUAUUGCACUAAUCACAGAUUAACACACAAAUAAUAACAUAUCUAAUAUUCACAUGCAAUUAAUAUAUUCCUAAAUAUUAACAUGUGUUGCACGUGCGCAUUUACUAGUAAGCAUAUAGUAACUCAUGUCUGAUGAUCACAUGUGGAGAAAAUUAAGGUCGAAUACAUCAAAGAUAGCCACAAUCCAUCCAGUCUAAUUAUAUAGCAAGCAAAGCAUAGCCCAAAUACUAGAGUCGAUCUGGAUAUUAACACUACACCAGCCAGCUACUAGAUUCGCAAAUACGGCAUUACUCCAUCAAUCGUCACUGCGGAAUUAAUGCAUACUGCCCUAAAUUAUUCCCUUGCAGCUUGCUUGCUAGCUAGCUGAACUAAUAGACCGCGUACUGCACUACUGCUUGCACCACCCAUCACCUCGAAGGAGGUCAGACAGGCAGGUCAGGUCGCGCACCACCAUGUAGCAAAUGACCACGGUGUAAAAGAUCCAGCCGAAGACGUAUCCUCCUGAGUAGGCGGCGAGGGAGAUCCGGAAGUGGAUGGCGUACAUGCCAUGGAAGAGGAAGGUGACCGCGAGCGCGAGGUAGGCGAGGGCACGGCGGGCCCGGCGACGGUGGCAUGGGAGCAGCAGCGCCAGCGCCGCCGCGGCCGACUGGGUUGCGGCGCAGCACAGCAUCCCGAUCCAGAG